UUUUUUUUUUUUUUUUUUGGCAGUAAACUUUGAAUACUCAACUCUGGUUAAAUUUUGACCACACCCACAUCCUACCCCAAUUCCAACAUCAUCACAUAAUAAAACCUUAUCUUCUCUGUAGAACACUCACACACACUCUCUCUCUCCUCUUUCUCUCUCUAAAAUACAGCAAAUCUAAGCUCGUUAAUGUCGAUUCAGAUCUGAGAGAAGAAGAAGAAGGAAGAAAAAGGACUACUGUAAAUCUCUCUCUCACUGUGAAAUUACACUUUUGCCCUUCCCCCUCCAUUACCGUACAACAAUGGCGUAUGCAUUCCCGGAGGAAGUACUAGAACACGUCUUCUCCUUCCUCACCACCGACAAGGACCGUAACGCAGUAUCUCUAGUCUGCAAAUCAUGGUACGAGAUCGAACGGUGGUGUAGGAAGAGAAUAUUCGUUGGAAACUGCUAUGCCGUUAGCCCUAGGAUCAUGAUCCGACGGUUUCCGGAAGUCAGAUCUGUUGAGCUUAAAGGGAAGCCUCAUUUUGCUGACUUUAAUCUUGUACCGGAAGGUUGGGGAGCUUAUGUUUAUCCUUGGGUUUUGGCUAUGUCUAGGUCUUAUCCAUGGCUUGAAGAAAUUAAGCUUAAGAGGAUGGUAAUUACUGAUGAGUCGUUGGAGUUGAUUUCUAAGUCGUUUAAGAACUUUAAAGUGUUGGUUUUGUCUUCUUGUGAUGGGUUUACUACUGAUGGACUCGCUGCUAUUGCUGCUAACUGCAGGUGAAAUUUUUUGUCUUACUUGACAUUUCUCUUCUGUUUUGCUCACUUUAAAGUAGUUAGUGGUGAGAGAAGUCUUAAUCUGUAAAGUAAUUAGAUCUAAUUUUGGGUAUUAGUUUGGACAAUGACUUGUAUUGUUGUUAAAUCUUAAGCUUUUGGAUGAAUGCAGUAAGCAUUUUGGGGGUUUGUUAUAAUCCCUUGCUAAACACGAGAAUGAAGAAGCACUUUUCUUGCAGCUGUUUGUUCUGUUUAUAGGAUAUGUAAUGUAUUAGUGGAAACGAAGUAUCUACUGUAGAUGAAUUCGUAGUGUGUGAACUUGAAGAACUGACAUUUCUUCAAGUGAUUAUGGUAUUAUUGGAUACGUCUUGCUGCUACAUUGCAUCAGUCUGGUUCAUCUGACUUUAAUACUUCAAAGAUUAGAGCUUUUUGUUUGUUUCUUUUAGCUUCUUUUUUUUGAGGUGAACUUCUGGGAAUUAAUUUUUCGGAUUUUGAUUGAAUGAGCUAAUGUCAAUAAUUUCUUGUACUUCCUUCCCCAGAAUUCUACAUUUGCAUUCUAUCUUUACAGAUCUCUAAGGCCUUAUAACAGAAAAUGCUAACUUGUGGGUUUUCUUAAUUGUUAUAGGAUUUAAUCAGUUGGACUUCCUUUUAGCAUUAAUUUCUUGUGGUAUACACUGUGUAAACAUGCCCUUUAGCUUUGCUUUGUUUUGAAGUUGUUGGAGAUUUGAAUGUUAUCUUAAUUAUCUGGAGAUUUCCAUAUGUUUGUUUCUUGGUUCUCUGGUGGGAUUAAUUUGUUUUAUCAGGAGGGAGUUUUGUAAUGGAGUAUAGUUGUAGUUCAAUGUUGAAAUGGUUAAGUGGGUUAGGAAUAUGAAAUGGUGAUUUAUUGAAAUUCCAAUAGGAAUAUGAUUCUAAAUCUUUCUUAUUUAUCUUGUUCAUAUCGUCUGUGAUUUAUUAUCAUUUGUUGUUUUCUGUUGAGUCUGUUGAUUUGCUUCAAUUUAUCACAGAAUAAUUGUGUAGAUGGGUAUUGUCAUCUAACUCCCGUUUUGCUGCAGGAAUCUGAGAAAACUAGACUUGGGAGAGAGUGAAGUGGAGGACCUUAGUGGGCAUUGGUUAAGCCAUUUCCCUGAUAACUGCACGUCACUUGUUUCACUUAACAUUGCCUGUUUGGCUUCUGAGGUCAGUCUAUUAGCUUUGGAGCGCCUGGUUACUCGCUCUCCUAAUUUGAGAACUCUUCGGAUAAAUCGUGCUGUGCCCCUUGAGAGGCUUCCAAACUUGCUCCGCCGCACUUCCCAGUUGGUCGAAUUUGGUACAGGUGUUUUCUCUGCUGAUGUGCGGUCUGAUUUUUUCUCGAACCUGACAGAAGCUUUUUCGAGCUGCAAGCAACUUAAAUGCCUGUCUGGGUUUUGGGAUGUUGUACCAGCUUACCUUCCAGCUUUAUAUCCAGUGUGCUCAAGACUCACCUCCUUGAAUUUGAGCUAUGCUACAUGUCAGAACCCUGAGCUUGGCAAGCUCAUAAGUCAGUGUCACAAUUUGCAGCGUUUGUGGGUAUGUUCUAAAUGUUUUGAAGUCUUAAUUGAUGUUCUUGAUACUGCAACUGCAAACAUGUUUUUUUUUCUUAUAAAGAAGAAGAGGCAAUGAGAUUGUAACAUCAUACUUGCUGUGAUGACAUUUAGUAUAUAUUCUUAGUGAAGAAUAAGAAAAAACCUAACUGCUACAGAUCAACCAAUCAACCACAACUUAAUCCCAAUUUAGUUGGUCUCAGCUUUAUGGGUCCUCUUAAACCAUAUUGCUAUAUUCAGGUCAUUUUCGUUCCGAUGCUAAAUUAUUUGUCUUUACGCAAUAAUUGCCAAGGAUAGGAAAAAAGUAGUUCAUUCUGUAGAUAAACUUCACCUAUGCUGGUUAGGAAAAUUCCAGGCUACAUAUAUUUGAUAUUAUAUUGCUAAGCAGCUCACUUUCCUUGGAAGUUGAAGCCAAUUGUUACAUGCUUCAUAUUGUGAUCUGGACGAAUGGGUUUCAGUUUUUAAUACUUGUGCCUACCCAAUGCACGUAAAAAUUCAUCUAAAUGUGAUGGUUCUAUGCUGAAAAAUGUAUCUAUUCUUCCCUAGUAGCUUCCCCAAACUGGUUCUGUAAUAUAAACUCCAGUAUCAAGUUUAAGUGCUGAAUUACUUUUCUUGUAAUAUAUGUGACUGCAGGUGCUGGACUACAUUGAAGAUACUGGUCUUGAGGAACUUGCUGCCAAUUGUAAGGACCUUCAAGAGCUGAGGGUGUUUCCUUCUGACCCAUUUGCUGCAGAACCAAAUACAACCUUGACGGAGCAAGGCCUUGUAGCUGUCUCAGAUGGCUGCCCAAAGCUCCAGUCUGUCUUAUACUUCUGCCGCCAAAUGACUAAUGCAGCUUUAGUUACUAUUGCUAGGAAUCGACCUAACAUGAUCCGUUUUCGCUUGUGUAUCAUUGAGCCUCGAACUCCUGAUUAUUUAACCCUUGGUUCAUUUGAUGCUGGUUUUGGGGCCAUAGUAGAGAACUGUAAGGAAUUGCGGCGACUUUCACUUGCUGGCCUCCUUACCGAUCGUGUCUUCGAAUACAUUGGCGCCCAUGCUAAAAAGUUGGAGAUGCUUUCCAUAGCUUUUGCUGGUGAUAGCGAUUUGGGACUCCACCAUGUUCUCUCGGGUUGUGAUAACCUUCGGAAGUUGGAGAUCAGAGAUUGUCCGUUUGGAGACAAGGCUCUUUUGGCUAAUGCUGCAAAGCUCGAGACAAUGCGAUCCCUUUGGAUGUCUUCUUGUUCAGUAAGUUUUGAAGCAUGUAAGAUGCUAGCUCAGAAGAUGCCUAGGCUUAAUGUGGAAGUCAUAGAUGAGAGGGGUCCUCCAGAUACAAGGCCAGAAAGCUGUCCUGUGGAGAAACUUUACAUAUAUCGAACUGUGGCUGGACGAAGAUUUGACACACCUGGUUAUGUUUGGACAAUGGAUGAAGAUGCAGCUGUAAGGUUGACCUGAGCCAUACAUCAAAUGGAAAAUUCCAGCAAGACUUCACAUGGAAAGAUGGGCAGGUAUUAGCGCUAUGUUUAUCCUCCUGCAUUUGUUUGUCACGCCUUAUGUAGUUGCAGUGCCAGUUGAGGGUUGGAACUUCACUGCUUUGAAGUAGAGACUCCCGAGCUCAUACGCCAUCAAUUUUAUUCUUGGCUGAGAGCUACUUUACAGCAGGUAGUUUUUAAUAAAGAAUUUGAACUCUGAGUUUCUGUGUAUCAUCUAGAGUAACAAUUAUUCGUUUUCUUUGGGUGGGAUUUUGCUUGGGGGGUUUGGGGGGCAUAUUUUUGCCAUGUAUGUGUUAUUUCCAGACUUUGCUUCAUUAUGUAGUUCCCUUUAUUUAUUCUAUUGACUUAUUCUCUAUGAAAUGGAGUGUCUUCAAAAAUGUUAGUUUAGCUCUUUCAGUAAAUUAAGCACAUUGUUGAAAGGGAGCCUUGACGCAAUAGUAAAAGAUCAAGGAUUCAAGACAAAACUCUUCGAUCUGGUGUCCUUGGAGCUUAGUGCAUUGGGCUCCUCCGGGUAUCAGCCUUUUAAUUUGACAAACUCUAAAUUACACCCUCUUACCAACAUUCAACAUCUACUAAAUCUGUAGGCUUUUGCUUACUUAAACUUCAACAGAUACAAAGAAAUCACUUGGUUUUUGUUGGAACUCGCAAAUAUGUCUUCCAUAGUUUUUUGGCUAGGAAGCAACAUGCAUGUUCACACUACCCAUUACCUAUGUUUAUGGAUGAGACAUGGCAAUUUUUGUUAUUACUUGGUAUCUGUUGCUAGUCGGAGGUUACAGGUAUCUCGUUGAAUUAAUCAAAAAAACGAUACAUGGUAAUAUAUGUUAGUCAUUUUUUGUUGAAUAGUGGAGCACGUGAAAGAUUCCAUCUUGGGAGAUAUACAAGGAGAUUAUUACUAUAACAUUAUUUUGUGUUCACAACUUUUUGAGGAUUACUCUCUCCAUUCCACUAUCACUUGAUAGAUGACUAGUCAAAACAAUCCAAAAAACAAAAAGAUGAAACCAAAACAUGUUGAGAAAUCUCUAUAGGAUAAUCUUACAAUUAUUGUAGCCACAAAUUUAAUGAAAAUAAGAUACGAAUGGUGUGUGGAUUUAUUUUCUUUCUCUAUUAUGCAUUUGAAUAGUACCAAAUAAAGACAGAAACAGUGAGACAAUAAUAUAACAGACACCUCAUCUGGCAGAAAAGGCUGAAUCUCCAUCAACCUCCCCACACACAAAAAAUUAUAAAAAUAAAAGUAGUGGUAUACUAAUACACUACAGAUAUUCCAGAGUAAAAGAAAGCAAAAGCUGGAAUCUCUGUCUCUGCUCUUUCUGUCUUUUUCUUUAUUUUAUCAUAUUCCUCUCUCCACUCUCACCCUCGUUAGCUCGUUUAUAUUGUUUGUCUCAAAUUCGAAUAAAUUGAAAUUAUCAUAAGAUUACAAUGAGUAUAUUUGAGAGGAUUUUUUUAAUUGACUUAUGAUGCUUGCAUGUUUUACUUUUUUUGGUCUAUUGAUUUAUGACUAUCAUUAUAUUCAUAAUUGCUUAUUCGUUUCAUCAUUUUAUUCUUAUUAUUAUUAUUAUUAUUAUUAUUACAGUUUUAUUUUUUCAAUCUUUGGCUUUGGAUUCUCUUUAAUCUUUCUAUAUCAUUCUUGCAUAAUAAUGACAAUGAUUAAAUCUUGCUACUUGAGUUUUGCAUUUUUAGUGGCUUAAAAUCAUUUCUCAUUUAAGUUUAUAUAUUUUUUUUCAUAAUUAUUUUGAAAAAAUAAAAUAAAAUAUCUCUUCAUCACUAACUACUCAAUUAUUUUUCUUACAAUAUAAGUUGACUGCUGGCAGUAUCUAUUCCAACUUUCCAAGUGGAUUCUGACGUGUUUGGGUGUUGCUUUUGACUCAUUUUGGAUUUUCUUGUGAAAUAUCACCUCAAAAAGAAAUUCGAGUUCGAGUUUUGAAAAAGAAAGAAAAAAAUAUUCUGAUUGAAAGUGUUUUUUCCUUUAAUGAAUCUUAUGUGGUAUAAAUUUGAAUUACUCGAAUCUCAAAAUGAAUAUUGGAUAUUAACAAGUUACCUUUGAUUCUUUUUGGCUUCGAAUUGUUACACUUUGAAGCUCCAACAAGUCCUCAAGUCUUUUGUCGUCUAAAACUUUGCUAAAAAAAUGUUGCUUUAUGUUUGGUUCUAUGUACUUAUAUAAUGCUAUGCGUUCUCUACUUUUGAAUUUCACAAGAAGAGAAUGUGGUUUUUCCUUUUGACUUUCUCUCUUAUUCAUGAAGCGAAAAAAAACUUUCUUUGUCCGAAAAAUUCAAAAGAAUCUUACAAAGAAAUUAGUAUUAUUUGCCAUUUUCAUGUGGUUGUUGAAAUUUACUCGUUAUAAUAAUAAUAAUAAUUAUAAAUAUAGUUUAAUUACCUUAAAUAAUUGAAAUAUUUGUGAAAUUUAAGAAAGGAAAAACAUUUAAAAAAUAUACAAAUGAAACGCAAAAUAAAAAAAAGAUAUAAGAAGGAUUACAAUAAAAGAGUUAAGUUUUUAGAAAAUUAUUUCAGUCAUCCUUUUUGUUUAAUUUGUUUUAUUUAGCAAGCUAACUUAAUUAAAAGGCCAUAAGUCUUUUUUUUUAACCAAAGAAAAGAACUUUCAUAUAGUUUUCAAUUUUCAUUUUUUUAAUAAUCUAUUUUUUUUAGUAAUAUUUUCCGAAUGACAUUGUAAUCAAAAUCAAAUCUUUCUUAGACAUUAUUUAAAGAAGCCAUCUUUUAGAUUGUAGUAAAGUUUCAACUCUCACUCUUUUUCCUUUUAAGUAACGUGAUUCAUGUUCUAUAGUUGGCAUAUUUGAAUCCUAAUAUACAACAAAAAAAUCACUAAUAGAAAUAAAAGAUUUUUUUCACCAUGAAUACUAAGAAAUUAAUGAUAUAGAAUUAGGAUCGUCUCAAGCAUAUUAGUUACCAAAAGCCAAACAUGAAUUCAGGAGCGGCUAAUUCUUGAAACAUAGUUUAUUCUUCCAGUUUUUUUAAGAUGCAAAGUCGUUAAUAUAUUAUAGCUAAAAGUACGGGCAAACAACAAAAAUAUCACUAGUUUAGGGUCUAAUUACAUAUCUUUUGUGAGUUGGCGAAACUACCAUUCGUGCAAGAUUUCGGUUCCUAGAUACAUGUAUUUGGCGCAUCCAGAUACAUGUAUCUCAGACACCAUGGAGUCGAAAUUAGGUAUAAUUUGUUCUAGAUGUAUUGUAUCCAAGUGGAUUCACAUGUAUCUGACUCUUUAGCUCGCCUCUCUCCCGUGUCACUCGCCUCUCUGCCUCUCUCAACCGUCUUUCUUCCUAUGUAUAUGUAUUUUAGAAUGUAUUUGAUAUCCUUGAUACAUGUAUUUAGUGUGAUUCACAUGCAUAUAUAUGAGAUACACAAGCUCUCUCGCUCGCCUGCCUCCUAUCUGGCUCCUCUCUCUCUCUCUCUCUAUAUAUAUAUGUAGUAUGUACAUAUAUUUUAAUGUGAUCAAGUAACAAAAAUACAUGUAUCUAAAUGUAUUUAAUUUGAAAUCUGAUAUAAAAUUAUUAAUUAGACACAAUAUGUAAUUAUUUCAAAUUAUUGGAAAAAAUAAUAAAUAUAAUAAAAAUAUUUAUGUAAUUAGAUAAUUUUCUUUAAAAAAAAUAAAGCAUGCCUUAUUUUCAAGGCCUAGAGCCGGCCUGUUUAUAGCACUCUAUUCUCUACAACGAAAAGAAUAAUAUAUGUCGACAAGUCAACAAUAUAUAAUGUGCGUCCUAGUCUUAAUUCUUAAGUCUUGUUCAUGCAAAGUCAACUUUAGUCCUAAUUAAAAGCCACCUAAAAUGAAAACUAUGGGGCCACUAAAAAUUCAUAUACUAGUUAUUAUUGUUAUUAUUAGGUUUAAUAAUUUGAUUAUUUUUAUACGUAUAUCAUUGAUGAUGCUUAUAUAUCCUUAAAAUUUGUUUAAGAAAAUGAUUGAUUUUAAUUUGUAAAGGAGGAGGAAAGAAAUCGUUAGGGAUUAUUAAAAGACCUAAACUGAUUUAGACUUAUUAUAAAAUUAAUAGGCCUAUGAAUUAUGAUGCAGUGGCGUAGCCAUAUCUAGUGAAGGGUGAUCAGUUGAGCACCCUUCAUAGAAAAAUUAUAUUGUAUAUAUAGAAAAUUAUACUAAGUUAAUUUUGCAUUUCACAAAUUACUUUUUGUGAGUAUAUUUCUCUUAUGUAUUCUUAACAAAUUUUUUGACUUGAUUGCUUCUAUGAUGGACAAGUAAAUUUGAAACUUUUCAUUAUAGAAUUAUCAUUUAUAUUUAAGGGAAGUGCUAAAUGGCCAGAAAAUUAAAAAAAUUAUAAUAUUUUUUUAAUUUUAAAACAAAUUGAUCUUUUUUUCAUUUUUUAGUUAAAAUGUAUUUAAGUUAAAAGGGUAAAAAUAUUUAAAAAGUUAAAAUAACAUAGAAAAACUAUCAUUCUGGCCAAAUUUUCUGGCAAAAAAGAUUUUCCCUAUAUUUAAUACCUCUUUCGAAAACCCAAUCGUUAUUCAAGGGGGAUAAUACUAAGAAGAGGCUAGGAAAAAAUGAAAGGGAAAUGCAAUAAAUGGACAAAGACUUUGAAAUUGUCUCAAGUCUACCCAAAAAGUAUUAAAAUUAAUAAUAAGUAGACCAAUUGAGAAAUUUCAUUUUAACUACAAAUGUUCACACUUAACUAACAUUUAACACAUCUUAUAAAGAUUGCUAAUUGCUAUAAUUAGCCUCAUUUCACCUUCUAAUCAUCAGUUGUCAGAUUAUAUUUGCAUCGUUAACGAAUUUUGGUACGUACCUAAAUUCGAUCGAAAAUGGGAAAACUUGUAUGCGCGGAGGUGGAUGGAGGCAAUUCUUUUGAUGUGAGUCCACUCUUCAUAGCUAUUGUUAUUGCUAUCCUCUUCUUAUUCAUUUCAUGUAUGAGUCCACCGCCUCGUCGCAGAUUUAUUGCGGUCAAUCGAUUUUAUUGAACGAUUAUCAAAAGUUAUGUUGCUUGAAUUCUUUAGAAAUAUUAUUUAUCAGAAGUGUAUUGGAUCCUCCAAAAACGUACACUAGCAGUUUUGAAGGGUUUGGACAACAUAUAUCAACAAGUUAAAGCUUCAUGAGAUGUCAUUUUUGUUCUAAUACUUAAUUAUAUAGUUUUUUUUUUGGAUUUGAGUUAUUAUUUUAUUUCUGUAAACGAAUUGGGAUUACAAAUAAUGAAUUCUGAUCUUUGGGGAGUAGAAUUCUCUUAUGUAUCUUUUGUCAUUAAUGUUUACACCAUCUGAUUCAAUUUAUUUGGCUUGAUUCGAAGUGUGAGGAUAUACUAACUAAUGUUCAAUGCAAAUUCAGAUAUAAAGUCUUUAAUUUUUUUAAAAAUGAAAUUUACAUAUUUAGAUGCUACAUAAAAGUACUAUCAGUCACAAUAGUUAACAAUUAUGAAUAUUUAGAAAGUAUUCGAAAAAAUUAUGAUCAAAGAAAAUAUCCUUUGACUAUAUAUCCAAGUAAUUCACUAAGACAAAUAAAUUGAAAGACCAAGUAUAUAAUCGUUUCUAGAUUUAGCCAUUUCAAAAUAAAGUUCGAACUCAUGGGUUGUAAAUUUCAAGGAUUUCAAUUCACAAGUAUGAAAUUUGGCUUGUCAAAACCUAAAUGUAAAGUUUUUUUAUCAUUGAUGCCUAAAUGAAAGUCCAAUAUACAAUAGUUGGGAGUGUUUGAUCGCUAGGGGUUCCUUCGAUCAACCAUAGGGCCUAUUCUAAUUUUACCGAAUUCAUUCUAUUGAAACAUAACGUAAAAAAGUCCUUCUCAUCUUGCAUUUCUUUGGUAUAAACUACAAAUAUGACUACAGCGGUGCAAAGUAUUUUAUUGGCCUCUGAAACUGAGCCCAAUGUAUUUUAAUAGGCCCAAAAGGUCCUUCAGACUCAUUUUUAAGUAUAGUAAAAUGCUAUUUUUUUGGAAAAAUUAGAGAAAUCUCAUCUUUUAGUUUACUUAUUACCAUUAUCCCCUAUAAGUUUUACAAAUAUCCAAAAUCUCUCAUUUUUGCACAUCAGAUUAGUGUAUCUCGCGCAUUAGAUUAAUGUAUCAGCACUUAUAUUAUUGUAUCUCGCGCAUCAGAUUAGUGUAUCAUGUAUAAAAUGUAAUGUAUCUUACUUAACGAUUAAUGUAUCUCGCGCAUCAGAUUAAUGUAUCAGCGCUUAUAUUAUUAUAUCCGUUUGAGAGAUUUCUGUAAUUAUAAACUUUUAAGGAAUAGAUUGUAAUUUUACCUUAAAAGUAUGUGAUUUCUGUAAUUUGCCUUUCUUUUAUAACUUGAAUUGAUUUUGAUUGUUUGAAAAUAAAUUUGUUCAAGAGGAAUAAUUUCGAAUUCUUCAAUUUUCCAACAAAAGAUUUCAGACCUUUGAAUCCUUAAACCUUAAACCGUAAUAAUUUUUACAAAAAAUAAUUCAUAUCAACAAGUUAUAAUUAGUUCAAUAGUGUCAUAAGUUCAAAUCUAAGUAACGUCCUAGAGAACUUCCGUCCAUUUUUAUAAAGUGUUAUUUAUUGUUUGAGUCUUCAAUAUAGCUCAAUAUGGACAUAUGUGAUCUUUAAAAUGUAAUUAACAAAAUUGCGCUAAAUUUAUCAGAUUUCAAUAAAUAAUACUUCUCAUAAUUAUACAAUUAAACUUUGAAUGUCAAAAAUUAUCUACCAAAUAGAAGAUUUCAAUAACAUAAUCUUUAGAAAUUAGGAACAUAUCUCUUAUGAAAAGGGUGAAAAAUAUUAUUUUUAAUUAAAUCCUAACCAAUUAUUUUGAACGACUACAAGAGUGCCAAGUUGGAAAAGCAAGAUAUACGUUGUUUCACCAAACAUAACGAUAUAAAGUUUAAUAUAUGUCAUUUUAAUUUGUACGUAUAUAUAAAGUUUUAUUAACUAUAUGUCAUUUAAUUUGUACAUAUAUAUAAAGUUUGAACUCGUAACAUUGAAUUCAGUCGAACCGACAAACUCAUAAUUAAAUUUUGUUUUAUUUUGGAUUGUCAAACCACUAGAUUUUUUUUUUUUUUGAAAAUAAAAUAAAAUGAGUUAAACAGAAAAGAAAAGAUUUGGAAGGGAUAAUGAAAGAGACAUAAUUAAGUAGUGGCAAUUGAGUGUUUUCCAUUACGAGAAUUUGGUCAUGUAAUAUUAUUGCAAAUAAUAAACGUAGAAGAAACAUAAACAAAACAAUUGAGACGCGGUUGUCCGUAAGUUUUUUUUUGUUGAAUCCAUGAAUUUUGCAGCUAUUAGUUUCAUAAUGUGUUGGACAGGAUUUGGACGAGUUAAAAUGAGUUGUGUAUAUCCAAAAGUUACUUGGUGAAAUAGUCUUAAAAUGGAUCAACACUAUGUAUAAUGUAGGCGUUCUUGACCCACCAACACUUCACCGCAUACAACAUAGUUAUUGACAAUUAGUACGAGCACCAUUUUAUAGAGUUUACCUUUAAGACUUGGUGACACAUUUUUACCUGACAAUGCUCUAGAUGUGUGCCUCCAUUUCAUCCAGCUCCAAUAUGAUGUGUAAUGUCCUCGUCAAUCUCUAUAUUUUAUUGGAUUAUUGACCCUGAAUACUUGAAAUUUCCUCUCUUGGAGAUGACUUGUGCAUCAAUCCUCACUUCUACACCUGCCACGUGAGUCACAUAUAACUGAAUUCACAUUCUAAGUAUUAAUUAGUCCUACCCAAUCUGAACCCUUUAGUCUCUACAGUCUGUCUUCGAAACUCCAGCCUAUCGCUAAUUUUUUCGCGUGUCACUUCAAUCAAAGCUAUGUCAUCUUCAAAUUACACCAUGAAAUCUCUCUCUUGGAUAUGUUGUGGCAGAGAUGUGCUAAGAAUCGAUCCAUCGUGAAACCCCAUUUCGACUACGAAAUCUCUCUCUUGGAUAUGUUGUGGCAAAUGUCCCCUCGCUCCCACUAUCCUUAUCGGCUUCAUCAUACAUAUCUUUAAUCACCCUAGUGUAAUCUUUAUAAGUACACCCUUUUGUCUCCAAACACUUUCAUAUAUAGACCCCCAUAGAAACUGUUUUAUGCUUCAUUUUUUACGUCAAUGUACACCAUAUGUAAAUCCCUAUUUCUUUCUCUAUACUUCAUCAAGACUUCUAUAGUCAAACGCUCAGAUAUGAAUUCAAAAUUAUUUCUCAAUAAUAGACACAUUCCUUCUCAUCCUCAUUUCCGCCCUCCAUUCUCAAAAUUUCAUAGCGUGCUUAGCAACUUGAUAUCAUGACAUAUCAAAUUAAAAAGUAAAAAAAUAUUUUAAGAUUUCUUAUGGACCAAUUUGAAGUACAUAUUAAUUCAAUUUUUAGAUGCUUAAUUAGUUUUUUUUUUUUAACAAGUUGGAUGAUACUUCGAUUACUAGUUCCAACACCCUAAUUAAUUUCAUAUACUAAAGGCAAGCAAUGUGCCAAUGUCUAAAGGACAAAGCGUCAAAGCCAAUGGGGAGUUAGGUCAUCAAUAAAAUAAAUUACUAAAUAGAGUAAUAUAGGACAAACAUUUUCCAUAAGAAUAAAAUUGCCUGAGAAUAUUGAGCUAAACAAAACCCAUAUUGAGGUUGUUGUUUUCUACUUUUCCUUAUCCUAUCAUUACAUUUACCUCAAUUUUUGCUUUAGUUUGUUAUAUUAAGUUAGAACAAACCUUCAAGCAUUUACUUGCUACAUUAUUCCAUAUGAUAAGUCAUGAGUACUUUUUUUUUUUUUCAAUUUGAUAUUCGAUAUUUAUAUAGAAGUUUGACUAAAUUUAAAUUUGUACAUUGUAGGGUCUAUUUCUGAGAAUAAUACUCUCAACGGAAUUGAGAGCUGAUCUAGUGGUUGAGCACUUCUACCAGUAAUCGGUAGAUUGAAAGUUUAAGUCACACUGAAAAAUAAAUGAAAAUACUAUUGAUCCUCCUGAUUAUUUUGGUUGAAGUGGGAUGAGCAAUAAAAUGAUAACCCAUCUAGUUUAAAUGUCAGGUGUAAUUAUCUUAUAUAUGACUUAUUAAUGUAAUUAAGAAAAAGUUUUUGCAUAAGAUAUGUAUAGAAGUUGAACGCUCUUUCUAUUCAUAUUUGUCUCUCACACAUUAUUUUAUACAUUUCUGUCAAUCGCAAUAGUAUUUUAUAGCUUAUCGUCAUGCACCUAUUGAACUAGAAACCUUUUUAAAUUAUAAACAUUUUCGACAGUUAUUUUUUGAUAGUUAUUUAGUAAAUAGUUAUUUUUUUUAAAAAAAAUUUCUUGCAAUUUAUGGAUAUUUUAAAUCACGAUCUAAAGAUCCUUUGUGGGGAAAUUAAAUUGAAUAUUUUAUGAAAAAAAAUAUUGGAUUAUUGUUUAAAAUUAGGGGAAAAUAAGCAAAUAGCCCAUAAAAGCAAAAUAAUUACAAACAUAUACCCCUUUACAUUCAUACCCACUAAAUAACUACACUAUACACCCCUUACUAAUUUCGCUUAAUUGAUACUCUUUGUCCCUAAUUACUUGUCCACUUUGCCUUCUUUAGUUGUCCCUAAUUACUUGUUCAUUUUGACAAAUUAAGAAAAACUUAUUUUUUUUUACCUAUUAUACCCUCAAUUAAUUACUUUGAAAAAUGAAAAUCUUAAGUUUUUAAUUCAUUCACUUCAUAAUUAAUAGGGGUAAAAUGAUAAAAUCACUAUGUCAAUUAUUGUUUUCUUAAUAUAAUUGCCAGUUCAAAAGUGGACAAGUAAUUAGGAACAGAAGGAGUACUAAUCAGUAUCAUAUAUUGUAUUGGUAUUAUUAAGGCUGAUAAUUUUGCUUAACUGAUACUAAAUCAGUAUCAUAUACUGUAUUGGUAUCAUUAAGGCUGAUAAUUUCGCUGAAUUGAUACUAAAUCAAUAUAAUAUAUAUAUAUAUAUUGUAUUGGUAUCAUUAAGAUUUCUUGUUAAGAAAUUACCCAUUAGUCAUUGAUACUUUAAUAGCAUAUAAUAUACUCCUAUAUUAUCAUUGACUAAUGAGUAAUUUCUGAACAAAAAACCUUAAUGAUACCACAUCAAUAUACAUAUAUACUCUUAUAGUAUCAUUGACUAAUAAGUAGUUUCUAAACAAGAAACCUUAAUGAUACCAAUACAACAUAUAUAUACUGAUUUAGUAACAAUUAAGCGAAAUUAUCAACCUUAAUGAUACAAAUAUAGUAUAUGAUACCGAUUUAGUAUUAGUUUAGCGGAAAUUAUCACCCUUAAUGAAUGAGGGUAUGGAUUGUAAUUAUUUAUGAGAGAAUAGAUAUUUUACGAAUUACUUAAGAUUUGGGUAUAAAGUUGAAAUUAUUUUGAAUUUUAUUACCCAUUUAUGUAGUUUUCCCUUUAAAAUUUUAAUAGUUAUUGCAAUUGUUAGAUUACAGAGUAAUGCUUUGUCUAUAUGAUCGAAAAUUGUAGGAGAAACGAUUUAACCCAAUGCCUUUUUCAAUAAUCAUAUUUGCACAACCACUAAAAAUAUGAAUAAAAUCUAAAUGGUAAUUAACUUAAUUUAGGAAUAUUUUGUUAAACAAACCUUUUAAACAUGAUGUGAAUAUCUUUGCAUGCUAUUAGAGCUUGACAAACACGGAUGAUGCAUGGUUGUCAUCAGCUCAUACCAUAAGGUAUUGAAUUAAUUAAGUUUCAUAACGAGUGCAAUCCUCGUGUAUAUCUGUCAUUGUUAAGUUAAAAUCCUUCACAAAAUUCUCAAUAUUGAAUUUGAAUUCAACACUUAUUUUAAUUAGUCUCAGUUUGUGAUGGUAUAAAUUUCUUCCUACAACUCAUGAAUUAAGAAUAGCUAAACAACUAUAGUAAAAAGAACGAAAAGCCACAAGUCAAAGUGCAUGUCAGUUUUUCAAGAUUGAAGGUUGUCGUCAACUCAUGCUGUAAGGUAUUGAGUUAAGUGUCAUAACGCGUGCAAUCCUCGUGUUUAAUUGUUAUUGUUGACUUUGAAAUUUUCAACAUUCUCAAUAUUGAAUUUGAAUCCAACACUUGUUUUAAUUAGUCUCAGUUUGUGAUGAUAUAAAUUUCUCCCUACAACUCAUGAAUUAAGAAUAGCUAAACAACUACAACCAAAAGAACGAAAAGCCACAAGUCAAAGUACAUAGCAGUCUUUUCAAGAACGAAGGUUGGCGUCAGCUCAUGUCCUAAGGUAUUGAGUUAAGUCUCACAAUGAGUGCAAUCCUCGUGUUUAAUUGUCAUUGAUGAGUUCGAAAUUCUCAAAUUCUCAAUAUUAAAUUUGAAUCCAACACUUGUUUUAAUUAGUCCAGUUUGUGAUGAUAUAAAUUUCUCCAUACAACUCAUUAAUUAAGAAUAGUUAAACAAAUGCACCAAAAAGAACGAAAAGUCACAAGUCAAAGUACAUAGCAGUUUUUUCAAGAAUGAAGGAUGUCGUCAGCUCAUGUCGUGAGGUAUUGAGUUAAGUCUCACAACACGUGCAAUCCUCGUGUUUAAUUAUCAUUGUUGAGUUUGAAAUUCUCAACAUUCUCAAUAUUGAAUUUGAAUCCAACACUUGUCUUAAUUAGAUCAGUUUAUGAUGAUAUAAAUUUCUACCUUCAACUCAUGAAUUAAGAAUAUCUAAACAAUUGUAGCUGAAAGAACGAAAAUCCAUAAGUCAAAGUGCAUAGAAGUUUUUUGAAGAAUGAAGGUUGUCGUCAUCUCAUGUCGUACGGUAUUGAGUUAAGUCUCAUAAUGCGUGCAAUCCUCAUGUUUAAUUGUCAUUGUUGAGUUUGAAAUCCUCAACAUCCUCAAUAUUGAGUUUGAAUCCAAUAGUUGUUUUAAUUGAUCCAGUUUGUGAUGAUAUAAAUUUCUCCCUACAACUCAUGAAUUAAGAAUAGCUAAACAACUAUAGCAGAAAGAACGAAAAACCACAAGUCAAAGUGCAUAGUAAUUUUUUCAAGCACGAAGGUUGUUGUCAGCUCAUGUCAUAAGGUAUUGAGUUAAGUCUCACAAAGCGUGCAAUCCUCAUAUUUAAUUGUCAUUGUUGAGUUCGAAAUUCUCAACAUUCUUAAUAUUGAAUUUGAGUUCAACACUUGUUUUAAUUAGUCUCAGUUUGUGAUGAUAUAAAUUCUUCCUUAUAACUCAUGAAUUAAGAAUGACUAAACAACUGCAACAGAAAGAACGAAAAACCACAAAUCGAAGUGCAUAACAGUCUUUUCAAGAACGAAGGUUGUCGUCAACUCAUGUCCUAAGUUAUUGAUUAAGUCUCACAACGCGUGCAAUCCUCGUAUUUAAUUGUCAUUGUUGAGUUUGAAAUUGUCAACAUUAUCAAUAUUGAAUUUGGAUCCAACACUCAUUUUAAUUAGUAUAAGUUUGUGAUGAUAUAAUUAAUUUCUCCAGACAACUCAUGAAUCAAGAAUAGCUAAACAAUGCACCAGAAAGAACGUAAAGUCAUAAGUCAAAGUGCAUAAUAGUUUUUUCAAGAAUGAAGGAUGUCAUGUCGUAAGGUAUUCAGUUAAGUCUCACAAUGCGUGCAAUUCUUGUGUUUAAUUGUCAUUGUCAACUUUGAAAUUCUCAACAUUCUCAAUAGAGCCGUUAAAAUGGAGCCCAUGUGUCCGGCCCAACCCAACCCGUUAUUGAGGUAGGGUUGGGAUAAGAUUUUUCAAGCCCAUUUAAAACUAGAGCUUAUAAACAUGUGGCCCUUGAGACUUGAUCGGGGAUGGGCCCGGGUCGGUCCAUGGGCCAAAACUUUUUAUUUAAGGGUAAGUUACAACAAUCUCACUAGUAUAUAAUUUAAUUACUUAAAUGCACACUAUUUUGUAAUAUUAUGAAUCUUACCAUAUUUUGGUACGUCCUGAUACAUGUAUCUCGGAAUAUAUGGACUCAAAAUCAGGUUAAUUUGUUCUAGAUACACUUUAUCCUAGUGCAUGUAUCUAGGAUACAUAGACAAAUCCCGCUCCCUCGCCUCCCUCUCAUCCUGCUUGUCACUCUCUUAUCUCACUCGCGUAUCUGGUAUGUGAGAUACAUGCUAAUUACACUAGAUUUUUUGCUAGUGUUAUUGAAACAACAUCAUUGUUUGCCAUAUUUGAUUUGAAAAUCUUCUCAUUUUCUUGAUGUUAUAGAAUUUUAAGUUUGAAAGGAAAAAAAAUGAAAAAAAGAGCUAGCCCUCCCCAGCCCUCGACCCAUCUAAGGUUGGGUUGGGUUGAGCAUUUUCAGACCCUUCCAAAUGAAGGGCCUGUCCGCCCUAGCCCAUCAAAUUCCUUGGCCCACAAGGCUUGGGCCGGGUGGGGCUGAGCCGACCCUUUUUGACAACUCUAAUUCUCAAUAUUGAAUUUGAAUCAAACACUUGUUUUAAUUAGUCUCAGUUUGUGAUGAUAUAAAUUUUCUCCAUACAACUCAUGAAUUCAGAAUAGCUAAACAACUGCAACAGAAAGAACGAAAAGCCACAAUUCAAAGUGCAUAGCAGUUUUUUCAAGAAUGAAGGUUGUCGUUAGCUCAUGCCGUAAGAUAUUGAGUUAAGUCUCAUUACGCGUGCAAUCCUCGUGUUCAAUUGUCAUUGUUGAGUUUGAAAUUCUCAAAAUUCUCAAUAUUGAAUUUGAAUUCAACACUUGUUUUAAUUAGCCUUAAUUUGUGAUGAUAUAAAUUUCUCUCUACAACUCAUGAUUAAGAAUAGCUAAACAACUGCAACAGAAAGAAUGAAAAACCAUAAGUCAAAGUGCAUAGCAAUUUUUUGAAGAACCGUGAAGUAUGCACAAACUUCAUCAUUUAAUAUAUAUAUGGUAAGUCCAACCAUGCAUGUGUUGACGACAAUUGAAAUUGCAAUAUAUUCCAUAUGUAGAUAAUAGAUAAAUUCAAUGGUCUAUAUUUGAUGAUUUGAGAGAUAAAAUGAGACAUUUAAAAGAUGUCAUAAUGAAAUAUGUGUUAAAUAAUUGAUCAAAACUAAAUUGAUUACUAUCAUGAUUGUGAAAAAAAACAAUCUUGAUUAUUCAAAGACCACACAUGAUGUGUUUUUAAUUUAAUUCAAAUUAGGUAAAAAUCUCUGGAUGUUACAGCACCAUCCACCUAUUACAAUUUCCAUAAUUAAUGAAAUAUAAAAUUGCUGCUUGAAUUGAAAUUUAGGACAAUUUUGUAUAUUUUAUAAUAUAGAGGAGAUGAACUUGGAAAAGCAACUUAAUAUAUUAUAAAUUGCAGAGAUAUUCAAAACUCCACGUUAAUUAAAUCCAUUAAUUGGGGAAUGAGAAAACGUGUAUCAUAUAUAAUUUGCUAAAAAUAUUGUUUAUAAAACCUUAAUUGAGAAAACAUCAAAAAGCAAUAAUAGAGUUUACUCAUUUUCUAACAUAUCAAUAUAAAUUCCAUUUUUGCAAAUGAUUAGUUUGUACGGAAUAUAUUCAGUCUAAGGCCAAACAAAUAAUAUGAUAUAUAGACAAAUUGUAAAUCCAACUACUUAUAUUCUAUAGUUUGAUGUAACUUAAUAUUAAAGUCCACUCAUGAUCACUUUCUUUUUUAAGUAAUUAAGUCCAUUCAUGAGCAAAGGUANNNNNNNNNNNNNNNNNNNNNNNNNNNNNNNNNNNNNNNNNNNNNNNNNNNNNNNNNNNNNNNNNNNNNNNNNNNNNNNNNNNNNNNNNNNNNNNNNNNNNNNNNNNNNNNNNNNNNNNNNNNNNNNNNNNNNNNNNNNNNNNNNNNNNNNNNNNNNNNNNNNNNNNNNNNNNNNNNNNNNNNNNNNNNNNNNNNNNNNNNNNNNNNNNNNNNNNNNNNNNNNNNNNNNNNNNNNNNNNNNNNNNNNNNNNNNNNNNNNNNNNNNNNNNNNNNNNNNNNNNNNNNNNNNNNNNNNNNNNNNNNNNNNNNNNNNNNNNNNNNNNNNNNNNNNNNNNNNNNNNNNNNNNNNNNNNNNNNNNNNNNNNNNNNNNNNNNNNNNNNNNNNNNNNNNNNNNNNNNNNNNNNNNNNNNNNNNNNNNNNNNNNNNNNNNNNNNNNNNNNNNNNNNNNNNNNNNNNNNNNNNNNNNNNNNNNNNNNNNNNNNNNNNNNNNNNNNNNNNNNNNNNNNNNNNNNNNNNNNNNNNNNNNNNNNNNNNNNNNNNNNNNNNNNNNNNNNNNNNNNNNNNNNNNNNNNNNNNNNNNNNNNNNNNNNNNNNNNNNNNNNNNNNNNNNNNNNNNNNNNNNNNNNNNNNNNNNNNNNNNNNNNNNNNNNNNNNNNNNNNNNNNNNNNNNNNNNNNNNNNNNNNNNNNNNNNNNNNNNNNNNNNNNNNNNNAUAUAUAUAUAUAUAUAUAUAUAUAUAUAUAUUUGAAAUUCUAUUACCUCUCAUCUAGUUUAUGGAGCUUAAAAUCUUUUAAUUGUAGUGAUUUUGUGGAUUUUUGACACAUAUAUGAUCUAAGCCAAACAGUAUCGAGUUCAAAUGAACCAGUAACUAUUUAAUGGAUCUAUUUAUAUGUAUCAGACAUUACAUCAAAUCAUAUAAAUUAAUUAUGAUUAAAUGAUUUAAUAAAAGUUAAAUUAAUGAAUACAUAUUAGUUAACCAUUAUUUUGAAUUGAAUGGAAGAAUAAUAUUAUAUCAAUAUUAAUUUAGUUUGUGACACUUUAUCUUGGAUGGUAUGAUAAGACGUACAAUAAAUAUCGCGUAUGAAUAAGUAUUUUCGAAGUAUAUCAUUAUAUCAUUUGUAUCCUAAAUAACACCUUGGGAAUCGAAACUGGUAGUACCUGAACUUAUUUAUUAUACAUUUCACUUGGGGAAAAAAGACAAAUUUGGUAUAAUAUAUAGUAUUUAAAUGAGAACAAAAUUGUGGAAAAAAACAGAAAAAAACCAAUUUGUUAAGAUUUGGACCUCACACAUAUUUACUAGUUCCAACUUCCAAUAUUAAUUCAUUAGGUACUCAAUUUUUUAUAAUUUAUAUUAUAUUGUGUCACAAGUGGAAUAUCUCUACUAACAGACUUUAUCAUAUUAGAAUAUUACUAUAAUGAUAUUCUCCCCAAUCAAAUUAAUUAGGAAGCUGUUGUAAAAAUAAUAUGACUUUUUUAAAAUUAUGUGAUAUAUUAUCAUUUUCAAUUUUCAAUUUUCUUAAUAUUUUAAAAUAUGAGUCAAAUCAAACUAAAACACAUAGAAAAAUAUUAUUUAUAGUCAUAUAUUCGAGAGAAAUAAAAGUAGGUACAUUGUAUGGAGAAAAGCUCGUCUAAAGGAAGAAGAAAAGGAAAUCCAACGUGGUGCCACCUAUAGUAUACUAAAAGAUUUUUAAAAAAGCUAAUAGAUUCGAUAUUUUGAAAAUGAAAUAUAUUACUUGCUACAACAAAUGAAAACGACUUUAUACAUAUAUUAUUUAAAAAAAACGUAACGGAAGAACAAAAAAGUCACGUGCAAACUACAACACCUUAUGUUAUGUUUGCAUAACCCUCGCCGUUCCUUCUCUCUUUUGAUUUCCUUCACGUAACUGAUCUCAUCUUACGUACGUACUUUGUCUCAACACUAUUUUGUUUUCUUUUGUUUCUGUUUUGCUUUUUUAGAGGCUUCUCGACAAAAAAAUAUAAGUUUGGAGUUAUAAAAAAACAUAUUUAUAGACAUUAAUAAAGUUGGUUUAUAAUGUGUUCAAAAACUUCAAAUUGAAUCAUCUAUUAGGAGUACAUUAUAUUUACUACUGAAAAUAUUCUUGAAUUUGACAGAUAUUAUUAGUUUUGUUUUUGAACAAUUGUCAGUUUUAAAAAUAAUUUUUUAUUUGAUUAACUAAACUUAGAUAUACCUUCGAUCUGCCACAUGACAUUGCAAGUGGUCUUAAAUUCUUGUAGAAGGAUGAUGCUCUUAGUAAAAUGUCGAGAAGUGUUGAAAAUGCUCCUAAACUUGAAAAGAAUUUAGGGGUGUAUUUUCACUCAUGUUGCAAGAUUGAUGGUGUUAUUAAGUUUAGUUAGUUAAGUAAAGGGGUGUUUUUAAGUCUGUCAAUAGUUUAAGGAUGAAACUAAUAAUUCACGUUGAGUUUAGGAAUGUUUUUAGUACUUCUCUCUUAUAUUUGUUGAUGAAGAGUCUAGAAAUCUUAUGAUGAGAGCAGCGGUGGAGCUAGUAGACUGCAUAUGAAUUCAAUAGAGUAUAAUACAUUUGUUCAAAUAGUGUAUUUGUGUAAAUUUAUUAAAUAUGUAUAACUAAUAAAUUUCAAACGUAGUUAUUGUCACUUUAAAGUCAUCAUUAUAAAAUUCAGAAUUCAUAAAAUUGAAAUCCUAGCUUCGUCUGAAUGUAUGUGAGGUCGUAAAAUUCAAAAUGUAUCCAUUUCAUUUUAUUUCAUGUGAAUGCUUGAUUCAACAUAUACAUAAUUUUAGAGAAAAUUAAAACGUCUUAUAUAUUAUAAUAUUUAUAAUCUUAAACAUGCAUGUUAUCUGCGUGAUUAUAAAAUCAUGUCCUCGCUUUACAUGCUUUAAACCAUAUUAGUCCCUCCUCAACGCGGAGCUAAUAUAUAACGUAUAUAACGUAUGAAUUUGAUCGAAUUCAAUAAUUUAAUUUUUUCUACAUUUUGUAUAUGUAAUCACGAAAUAUGUUCUAAUAAGGGUCUAAUAAAAAUAUAUGUUUUUUUAUCUCAUAAAGGUAGAGAUAAGAUUUACGUAUAUUUUAUUCUUUUCAGAUCUCACUUAUAGAAUUACACUCGAUAUGAUAUAGUUGUUUUUUUAUGUAUAAUUAUUAAUUUAGAACUAAAUAAUUUUUAAAAAUUAGAAUCUUAAACCGUAAAUUUAAAAUCUUAGCUUCGCUUCUGUCUCUCGUAUCUUUCUAUAUAUAGUUGAUCAACAUAAUUCAGCUUUUUGACAGAACAAAAUAUAAUUGGUUAUAUAAAAUAAAUCAGUAUUUUCCGUGUUAAGAAUAUGUUAAUUAAAGAAUCAAGAAUUUAAACUAUAUAUCCCGAAUUUUCAUGAAAGUACUUCUCUUAAUUAAUCUAAAUUAAUAAUAUUACAGAUUCAAAGUUUCUUUAAUUAAGAUGAACAACAAGUAAAGAAAAUUGGCAUUAAAUGUAUAUUUUUUGUUUUAUAAUACUCUUUUUUUAAAUUCUAGUUCAAAUUGUUUUUUUCCAAUUUCAACCAAAUAUUAUCCAAACAAUUCCCGUUUCAACGGACCACAUAAAUGGUGUAAUUUAUACUAGCUAUCCAACACCUAAAUAACAAACUAUAUAGAUUGGUGAGAAAAGAUAUAUCGUACAACAUUAGCAUUCAACAAAAAUUGUGAUAUUCAAGAAAAUUAACUACCUACCUUUAUUUAGCCCUAUGGGAAUAUAUUGAAUUAUACUUCUUCGUUGCAAAAUACUUGUCGUCUUUAUUAAUAAUAUUUAUUUAGAAUUUUAAAAUAAAAUUACGUAAUUAUUUUUUUCAUUUUACUUGAUUAUCUACGUCAAUCGCGUUAAGCGUUCAGUUCUGCACUUGUAGGUGACCGGCGCCGCCAAUUUGAAAGCUUUGUCGCGACGAGACCUGUCCUUAAUAGUAAUUGUGCUUGAAAACUAUAAAUAUCUCAAUUAUAGCACAUAAAAAGAGAAUUCGUUCAAUGAAGAUAUUAAAUGUCGAUCCCUCCUAAUUAUAUUACACCAUCUGUUCCAAAAUAAGUGGUGAUUUUAGAUCACCUCUUAAGAAACUACUCAUUCCUGAAAAAUAAUGAAUGUUUUUACUAACUUGAUUCUAAUCAAAGAAAAACUAAUUAAUGAUUCUUGGUUAGGUAAACAAGGACAAUUUUAACAGUAUAAGAUCAUUUCUUCUUCAAAUGCUAAAACACCACUCAUUUUGAAAUAAAAUAAAAAGGCCAAACAUCACUUAUUUUGAUAUAAAGAAGUAUAUAUCUUACUAAGAGUCGUGUAAAUGAAAAACACAAAUAUUUUGAGACAAAAAGAAUUAGAAGUAUUAUAUUGUUCACAUUUAAAACCAAGUCGAUUAUAAACAUGAUUUUUAGGACAGCUCAAAGCCAAAGGUAUUGUGGAGUAUUUUCAAGUAACAAGCAAUCUUUUUCAGCAAUAACUCACUUUAUUAUUCCUAUAUAAACAUUGGCAAAACAAUUUAUGUUAUUCCCCUCUCAUACUUUGAGUUAUUUUUCUCUCUUUGUAUCAUUUUUCAAUAAUUACAACAAGUACACUCAAGAAUGCCUCUCUUUACUACUAUUCAAUUGGCCUUUGCUUUUGGCAUUCUUGGUACUUAAUAAUUCAUUUCUUUCUAUCUUUCAUUUUCCUCUAUUUUUUCUCAAUUAUAAUUAACUAUCAUGUAUUUUUUCCACAGGAAAUGGGGUGUCGUUCUUGGUGUACUUGUCCCCACUGUAAGAAUUAUCAUCAUUAUCAUUAUCAUUUUUCUUCUUAUAAUACACGGAAUAAUGUUCUUAUUUGCAAAUAUUCUUAUUUUACAGGCCGACUUUCUAUAGGAUAUUUAAAAGAAAAUCAACCGAAGGAUUUCAAUCGAUACCUUAUUCGGUUUCGCUUUUCAGCGCGAUGCUUUAUUUAUACUAUGCUUAUCUAAAAAAAAAUGAGAUUUUGCUCAUAACAAUUAACAGCUUUGGAACUGGUAUACAAUUGAUAUAUCUCACUAUCUUCAUGAUAUACGCCACUAAAUCGGCUAAGGUAUAUAUUCUUAUCGCGAAAUUCAUAAUAUUUUGAAAUUAUGAAUUCAGAACGAAAUGUCUUAAGUAUUUAAAUUUUUUUUGAUUUUGUAGAUUUUCGCUACGAACCUGUUGAUUGGGUUUAACAUAGUGGCAUUUGGCGCAAUUGUUGGGUUGACAUAUAUAUUUGCUAAAGAAAAUGAGUUACGAAUCAGUAUCGUUGGAUGGAUUUGUGCCGUCUUUUCUGUUAGCGUUUUCGCUGCUCCUUUAAGCAUUAUGGUACGUAUCAUAAUCAAAAAAUCAAAUCAAAUCGAAUAUCAUUUCAAUAAUUUUUAUAUUUCGUGUCAUGAUACAAACAUUUUUUUUUUUUGCAGAGACGCGUUAUUCAAACAAAGAGCGUUGAGUUCAUGCCAUUCCCUCUUUCUUUUUUCCUUACAAUCUGCGCUGUCAUGUGGUUUUUCUAUGGUCUAUUGAAAAAAGACAUGUACAUUGCAGUAAGUCAUGUCUUACAAGUUACAAAACAUUGUUAUUUCCAAUUUGAUCGAUUAACUUAUAUACAUUUGACAGUAUAUGCUUAUAUUUAACUUUGGUUUGUGAUUGUAUAAACAGAUGCCAAACAUUCUAGGGUUUUCAUUCGGAAUUGCACAAAUGAUAUUGUACGCAAUCUACAGAAAUAGAAAGCAACAAGUUCUACCGGACCUUAGUCUGAUGGAUCUGAAAGAAAUCGCGAUUGACAUGAAAGCGGUGGUGGUGGAGAUAAUUCAAGAAAAUGUUGACGAUGAGAAUAAGAAUAAGAAUAAGAAUAAGCAAGAAGAAGUUGAUAGUGUUGAUGAAAAAAAGGAUGAUAAUGAUAAGCAAGAUGUAGUUGCACUAACAACUUCUAACGUAUGAGAAAAUUAAUUAAUGCACAAAAAAUUAAGCUACAAAGAGAUAUAUAUAUAUUUGCCCCCUAAUAGCCAAAGGCAAAGAAGGGUUAAAAAUGUAAAAGGGGAAUUUAUAUAUAAUGUAUCAGAUGAAAUUCAUGCUAAUUAAUGUGUUAUUUACUUUUGUUACAUUAUUUACUGCUUUUUACUAAUUAAAGGAUGCAUUAAUUGCUUCCUUGCUUUGUGUCUUGAUUUUAUAUAUCAAUGCAAGUUGAAUAUAUUAAUUUCCUGAUUUUGCUCUCUUUAAUUACUUAUUCAGUUUGUAUUUUGUACGUUUCUUAAAAUGAUAUUGCUUAAGAAAUAUGUUUUUAAGGACUUUUGUUUUUCUUGGCAUACGUUAUUUUUUGGUGCAAAUUAAGGAUAAAAUUGAAAAAGAUAAUUUAUUCACUUUUGAUUUUGUUACGAUAGAAGAGUAAAAAGAAAAAAAAUUAUUUUAAAAAGAGAAAAACGUUUGAAAUAACAAUCACAUAAGACGCAUUGUAAGAAAAUUCUUCAAAAAAAGAAAUGUAAAAAAAAAAAGAGAAGAAAAUGACAAGAAACUUCAGUGACGUCCAUUUGGUAGAAACUAGAAAGCAAACUUUCAACUUUUUGUCUUUUUUUUUCUUUCCACGAGAAAAAAAAACUAAUUGAUCCGUUUAUUUUAUGCGAUCUAGUUACUAUUUGAUGAAUUAAUUUUUAAAAUAAUUAAUUUAUUAAUUAUUAUGAUUUAAAAUGUUUUUAUAGUUUAUAAUUAUAGAAAUUUGAUUUUAAUUUUUUUUAUAUUGAAUCAUAUGAAAUAAUUUGAUUCUGAAAAUAAAAUCACAUAAAAUAAGACGGAGUAAUUAGUUGAGUCACAAUUUUGUAUCAUUUCUAAUCCCCCCUUAGGAGGAAGUGAGAUACUAGAGCUGUUAUGUAUCUUUCAAUGAAAAUUGAUGGAUUUUCUAUAACGCCCUUAUCUAAUUUUAAUUUUUUACAUUAGGCACAAUUCUUAUAUGUGUGCAUAUACUAUCAGUGUAUAUAUAAUAUAUAUAUAUCAACAUUGUAUGCGCACACAAAUAAUGUAUAUAGUAGGUUUUGAAAAAAUAUACUACUAAGCAAUGUAAGUGUUUAGUUGCAUUACCUUUGUACUUUUUUUUUUUUGAGAUAAUUUUAUAAAUAGAGAGAUUUGUAUUUUUUGGGGACAAAUAAUAGUCAUAUAUCUCACAAUUAAUAAAAUUACCUAAAAAAAGAAAAGAGGUAAAUGCAACUAAACACUUAGAAUAUCAGAUAUGUUUGUUUGAUUGUUUUUGGUAGGGUGCCAAGUCAAACUCAAAUAGUUUGGGCUUUACAAAUAGUUCGUUUUUAAAAGGAAGGACAAUUGAUAUACAUAUAUAUACAGAUUUUAGAAUUAUCUUUGUAGCCAUUGGGUUAACAGUUGGUAUUGGUAUUUGUAGCCCAUUUAGCAACAUGUAACUCUUACACUUUGUUUGGAUGGUUAGUACGUAUUGUUUUAUAAUGUAUCACAUUAUAUUAUAUCAUACUGUAUUAUUUUAAAGAAUAUAAUGUUUAGAUAGAUUGUAUCAUUCUCCGUCAUUAUAUAAUGUCACACAUCUAUAAUUUGAAUGAUAACCUACAAGAAAAGUAGGGUACGAGGUAGAGCUACUAUAAAAAGGUAGGGUAAAUGAUGAAAUAUAAUUAUUGAAUAAUAAAUAAAGACAAAAUGAAAAGAAAAUCUUAAGUUUACGACGUGCUCGUACCAAGUAUGUCGAUACAUAAAAUGAGUCUUUUCGUUGUUACCUAACAAUGGAUUUAAACCAUACGAUACAAUAGAAUUUAAGUAACAAUAAAAAUAAAUAUUGUAUUUAAACUAACUGUCACUCCUCGAGCCUACACCCCGGACGUGGUUGGCACUCGAGAACCAUUGCUAGCCCCAAGCGAACCCUUGGUCUGGCUUAACUCUUAGUGGAAGACUUAACUCAUGAUAAAAGAAAGUAUUAAAAUACAAUCAUACUAAACUGUCUCAAUGAAUAACUUAGAAUGUUUUAAAGAUCAACAUUCAACUGGCCAAAAAGGGCAACUCAAAUUCAACAUAAGCCAAUAACAAGAUAAUGACAAAUGAACUAACUAACUAUCUAUGAAGCCUCUAAAACUGUGAGAGAUGUCGGGACAAGACCCCCGAUCAUCCUAACAACUGAAAACUACUAAAGAAAUGUAAAUAGGGAUCCUCCGGAAAGCAAGGAGGCUCACCACAAGACUCUGAAUACUCAACUGGAUCAACGAAGCGCUGGAUGCUGAUCCUGGUUACCUGUAUUUGCAUCAUAAAAAGAUGCAGACCAACUGACAUCAAUACAUUGAAUGUACGAGCAUGCGAGGGGAAUACUAAACAAGACAUAAGCUUGGAAUGAACUGAAAGAACAUACCUGGGCUCAACUCAACUCAACUUAACUCAUUUCAAUAUAAAGCAAUAAUAUGAAUGCAGUAUAGAGAAAAACUUUUAAAACAUGGAUAAGAACUCUGUGUAUUUAGAAAUACAAUAGUAACACUGUAUGUAUGCAAAGAUACAAUAUGAACUCUGAAAUGUAUAUAAAAAUACAAUUUACUUCUGUGUAUAUAAGAAUACAAAAUACUUCUGUGGGAGUUUCUCUAACCGACAACCAUCACUUAAGAGCUAUUGUGAUGAUACAACGUUUUGCCUCACACUGCCAGAGCCACUCUAUACCUUGCCGAGGGUAUAGAACCUAACUACUAAGUGGAUCCAAUAGUCUAAGCUAAAAAGCACUAAGAAAUCAUCUAAAAAGUAUGACCAUUUUCAACCCAUGAUGGCUACAUGGUUUAUGGGGGCAGGGAGUUGUCUGAACUCUCCCCCAUAUCGAUGCUCAAUACUACUCUCAAAAGAUACUAGCUCAUAUGUUUAAAAACAUAACUUCUUUCUGUGGUUUGAGAUAAUUGCUCAAAACUUAGCUCAAAGGCUAUCUUGGAAAUCAAAGUUUCUUCUCUUGCUUAAUUGUGAAAUCAUUUACUCUUUACUGAAAAACUAGCUUAAAGGCUCUUUUGGAAAUCAAAAGUUUCCUUUCUUGUUUAAAUGUGAAAACAUUUACUCUUUGGGAAUACAUAGUCCCAAUAUACUCUUUUGAAGAAAUGAACUUCAAUCUUUACUCUUUACUCAACUCAAAACUCAAGUUUUGAAGCAAAGUUAAAACAUUUGUAAAAGACUUUUGGAAAACUUUAUGAACUUCUUUUGACUUGACUCUUAACUUUUCUUGAAUUGAAUUAUGGAUUCAAGGGUCAUGAUCUCAUGUCAUGGAUGAUUUCAUGUGUUUAGACGUACCUUAUAGUGUAGAAAUCAACUAGAAAACAUAGGUACGUUUCAAGGGAACUCGUACGGAAAGAAGUGGGAAAGGGUAGAGAACCUGGCGUCCCUGGCGCUCUGAGUGGUGCGGGGUGCCAAAGCUUAAACUUCAAAACCUGGGUUGGGGACCACUGGCUGGCACGGCGCCCCAGAGCCCAAACUUCAGAACCCUAAGUGGGGGGCUCUGGUUGGCGCGGCGCCCCAGACCCCUGCCCAGAAAAUCUCUGAUUUUUCUUGCUCGGUUUUCAACUCUAAACCCUUUAGAUUCAAUUGGUUCUUUCCCCAAUCACUUAGAUUCGACUACAUAACCAAAAUAUGCAAGAAUCUACUCAAAACGACAUCUAAUUUUCAUGAAUUUAAAUCAAGAACUUCUCAACAACUUCACCAAUCAAGAACCCAAUAGAAACUUCAAACAAAUUGAUCAAGAACUCAAUUUCUAUACUUUCAAGAACAUAAUUUGGCUGAAUAAAAUCACGAUUGACGCGUGGGUGAACUAACCCAACACUAUGUGAUCUCACAUACCUCGUAGGGAUCAACCCUUGGCGAAAUCCACAAGCAAAUCUUCAAGAAGGCGAUGAUUCUAAGCUUUUUCUCCUCUUUUCUCAAAACCCUAACUUAUUUUUAUGAAGCGUAAACUGAAUCCAAUCAGUUUAGACCCCAACUUAAUUACCAAAAAUAAAUUUAAUUAAUUGGGUAGUGAAAAGACCAUAAUACUCUUCUAAAAUCCGGUUUUGACUUUUCUUAUCUAGACAACCCAACUUCAAAUGAGCAUAUCUCCCUCAUACAAACUCGAAAUUGAUCAAACUAGGUGGAGUUGGAAAAAUAAUUCAAAGAUAUUUUCUACAGUAUCUUGUAGCACACCUAACUCAUCCUGAUCUAGGAGUUAUGAUCGUUUGAAGUUGACCCAAAACUCAUACUUAACUUAUCUUUGUCAAACUUUCCAAAUUUGAUUAUUUCCAAAAAUGGUUUCUUUCUAAUUCUAAGUAUUUCUAGUAGCGGGGUGCAGUGGCGGACCCAAGAUUUUCAUGAAGUGGGUUCAAGAUAUAAAAAAUAAAACUAAAAUGUGGCAUUAGGUAUUUGAACUUGGGUUGGUUAGGAAAAUUGAACCCUCUUCACCACUCGGCCAAGGGUCACACUUGUGUUAGUGAUGUCAAAAGUUAAUAUAUUCAUAUGAAUUUUUAAAAACUGAUUAAAUAUACAUACAUAUACGGUGUUACACUAACAAUACAAUAUAAUACAACAAGUAACAACCAUCCAAACAAGGUGUUAUAAUAUUUGCAUAUAUAUAUAUAGAGAGAGAGAGAGAAAUAUGUGUAUAUAUUCGUAUAUAGUCGAAUUUAUGUAGCAAAUUAGUGAAAGAAGAGAAUAAAUGUAGUACUGGACUCUUUCUCCAUGCUGAGAAUGCAAUAAUAGAGGUGAAUUUGACAGAAGAAGAUCGUAUUAGGGAGAAGGAGGAGAAAUAAUGGUGAAUAAAACUUGGGAUGAGAAAUUUAGGAAAGAGAAUGAAUUGAUUUGGAGUGAAUGCAUAAUUAUGAAGAGAAUUAAGUUGAUAUAUAAUUAAGAGAUCUAUUUUAAGCUAAUUUUACAAAAUGAUAUAUCUUGAUGUAUCCAACUUAAAAUAUGAUACAAAAAUUUUAUUUGAAGAUAUAUAAUUGUUUGAAAGUAUAAAUAUAAUUAAUGAAGAAAAAGAUACCCUCAUAUUUCAGUAUUUAUUAUUAGAAGAUAUUAGAUGGGAAUCGUUAGCGAUGAUUGAGACUAGGGGUGUACAUGAUCGGGUUUUUCAAAUAUCAAACCAAAUUAUUUGUGUAAAAAUUUUAAAUUUAUAAACUAAACCAAACUAAUAAAAUUCGGAUUUUUUUGGGUUUUUCAACCUCGGGUUGGUUCAGGUUUUUUCAAAUACCAAACCAAAUCAUUGUGUCGAAUUUUUUAAAUUUAUAAAUCAAACCAAACUAAUAAACCUCGGAUUUUUUCGGUAAGUUUGCAUACAAACAUAUAAUUAACUUGUACUCCAAAUAUUUCUUUAGUCCAACCAAAAUAUAAUUAUCUAAGGUGUUUCUUAAGAAAAUAACCCAAAAUAUGAGAUGAGUACUGAUGACACUAAAAUAUUCAAUAAAAAAUAAUAAUGAAACAUCAUAUAAAAUAAUUAUUGCAAAGCCAUAAUGAAAAUGAUCAUAAUUUAAAAGUACAAAAUCAUGCUAAAAUAAGUUUAAUAAGUAUUAGUUACAUUACUAAAUAUUUAAGGAAAAUUAAAAUUAGAUUAUGUAUUUUAAUUGUCGAAACCAAUGUAAAACUAAAGAACAAAAUAAUUCAAUAUUAUUGUCAUUCUUAGUGUUGAAUUGAUUUUCUUUUUUGUCAUUAGUAUUAAUUUGAUCUUGAUUUAAGUUUUAUUAUAAUUAUCAACAUCUAUGAACUAUAGUCUUUAUUGGACCAUUCUGAACUUUAAAUUUUAAACUUGAAAUAAUAUAUUAAAAGAUAAAAACUAUGUAAUAGUAUAAGAAAUAUUUUAAAAUUAUAUCAAAGUAAAUAUUUUUAUGUAUAAAAUAAAAUUUUAAAAUUACAUAUAUAAUGUCGGGUUGGUUUGGUCUCGGGUUGUUUUUUUUUAGUUAAAAAUCAAACCAACCCAAAUAUAGUCGGAUUUUUUUUUCAAUACCAAACCAAGUCAAACCAAACUACUAGUCGAAUUUUUCCUGAUUUGAUUCAAUUUACAAUUUGAUUCAAUUUUCGGUUCGAUUUUGUACACCCCUAAUUGAGACUGUGGCCACUGAUUAAUUUCUAGGAAUGGUGACUGAAUUUCACAUACAAAAAGCCAAAUCUCAAUUUCCAGAAAAUGAUUUUGUGGUCCUACAUAUGAUAAGAAUGGAAAUAUUUAAUCAUUCAUUCACACUCGUUAUUUACAUCAAAUCAUAUAACCUUACAAAUUACUAUUAAAAAGUGAGUGUGACUUCAUUAUGGUUAGUUGUGAUAAAGUUUAUGCAACAUAUAUAGCUAUAGUGUAACUACUUUUACAUCAUUAGGUCAUAUUUUCCUAUGGUAAAGAUCACUUAAAAAUAUAGUCAUGUUUUAUUUAUAUAAAAAAUAGCCAAAAUUAUAGAAAAUAUAUCGCAAUUGUAGAAUAUAGCUUGUCAAAAAUCAUAGAAAGUAUAGAGUGACUAUACAAUAUAACUUACCUAUAUAUGAGCUAUACACUGACUAUACAUUAUGAUACACUCAAAAAGCUGAAUAUAGCGUAACUAUACAUAGAGUAUACAUGAAGUAUACACCGACUAUUCAAUCUCAAUCACCUCUAAAUAGUCCCAAAUUCUAGAUAUAAAAUCCUCUCGAUAUUUCGAGUCUUUUGAUAUAUAAUCCGUUCGAAACGAUUCAAAAACCGGAAGAAGAAACUGGCACGACAAUGACAACAAAGGUGGAGAAAAAAUUGACCAUUUUUUUAUAAUCAAAUUGACCGAAUGAUCAUUUGAUGUAAUUAUCCCUAUUUUAUUUUUAAGUUUUCAAAUUUCAUAUUUUUAGGAGGUUUAUUUAUAAAUAUCUUUUGAAUGUUUGAUGUUGCAAAAUAGUAUUUUUCACUGAUGGUAUGAAUAUAAGUUAAAGUCAAAUUUAAUAUAUAAAAAGCUAAGGAUAACAAGAUAAUUAGUCCAUGAAGACAUAAACUUUCAAUCCACUAAACCGUCCAUUUAUUAGUUCAUCUCAUAUUGAUCCAUCCAAUUCAAAUAUUCUAAAAUCUAAGCUGAUAUGUAGCUCAAAUUAACUAAUGAAAAACUCAGUUAUUUUUUUUUUAAAAAUAAUUAGUUUUAUUGUUUUGUUGAUAUGUAUUUUUGUUAGGUACUUAAAUCAACUACAAAUAAAUUAAAUCAAUUAAAAUUAAACAAAAAUUAAACGAGUUUGAGUUAUGAUUCAUUUUGUAAUCUAUUUCGAUCCAAGUUACCUAUAGUUCUAUCACCAUAUAAUUAGUGUAAAUAUAAAAUAGUAUAAUAAGGCAUCCAUUAAUGUGGUAGCUAGCUUUGGUCUAUGGAGAAUUGAAUACAAUGAACUGCCGGCAGAAGAUAACGUACAUUAUUUUCCUUGUUUAAUUUGUCUUUAAUAUAUAUAUAUAUAUAUAUAUAUAUAUAUANNNNNNNNNNNNNNNNNNNNNNNNNNNNNNNNNNNNNNNNNNNNNNNNNNNNNNNNNNNNNNNNNNNNNNNNNNNNNNNNNNNNNNNNNNNNNNNNNNNNNNNNNNNNNNNNNNNNNNNNNNNNNNNNNNNNNNNNNNNNNNNNNNNNNNNNNNNNNNNNNNNNNNNNNNNNNNNNNNNNNNNNNNNNNNNNNNNNNNNNNNNNNNNNNNNNNNNNNNNNNNNNNNNNNNNNNNNNNNNNNNNNNNNNNNNNNNNNNNNNNNNNNNNNNNNNNNNNNNNNNNNNNNNNNNNNNNNNNNNNNNNNNNNNNNNNNNNNNNNNNNNNNNNNNNNNNNNNNNNNNNNNNNNNNNNNNNNNNNNNNNNNNNNNNNNNNNNNNNNNNNNNNNNNNNNNNNNNNNNNNNNNNNNNNNNNNNNNNNNNNNNNNNNNNNNNNNNNNNNNNNNNNNNNNNNNNNNNNNNNNNNNNNNNNNNNNNNNNNNNNNNNNNNNNNNNNNNNNNNNNNNNNNNNNNNNNNNNNNNNNNNNNNNNNNNNNNNNNNNNNNNNNNNNNNNNNNNNNNNNNNNNNNNNNNNNNNNNNNNNNNNNNNNNNNNNNNNNNNNNNNNNNNNNNNNNNNNNNNNNNNNNNNNNNNNNNNNNNNNNNNNNNNNNNNNNNNNNNNNNNNNNNNNNNNNNNNNNNNNNNNNNNNNNNNNNNNNNNNNNNNNNNNNNNNNNNNNNNNNNNNNNNNNNNNNNNNNNNNNNNNNNNNNNNNNNNNNNNNNNNNNNNNNNNNNNNNNNNNNNNNNNNNNNNNNNNNNNNNNNNNNNNNNNNNNNNNNNNNNNNNNNNNNNNNNNNNNNNNNNNNNNNNNNNNNNNNNNNNNNNNNNNNNNNNNNNNNNNNNNNNNNNNNNNNNNNNNNNNNNNNNNNNNNNNNNNNNNNNNNNNNNNNNNNNNNNNNNNNNNNNNNNNNNNNNNNNNNNNNNNNNNNNNNNNNNNNNNNNNNNNNNNNNNNNNNNNNNNNNNNNNNNNNNNNNNNNNNNNNNNNNNNNNNNNNNNNNNNNNNNNNNNNNNNNNNNNNNNNNNNNNNNNNNNNNNNNNNNNNNNNNNNNNNNNNNNNNNNNNNNNNNNNNNNNNNNNNNNNNNNNNNNNNNNNNNNNNNNNNNNNNNNNNNNNNNNNNNNNNNNNNNNNNNNNNNNNNNNNNNNNNNNNNNNNNNNNNNNNNNNNNNNNNNNNNNNNNNNNNNNNNNNNNNNNNNNNNNNNNNNNNNNNNNNNNNNNNNNNNNNNNNNNNNNNNNNNNNNNNNNNNNNNNNNNNNNNNNNNNNNNNNNNNNNNNNNNNNNNNNNNNNNNNNNNNNNNNNNNNNNNNNNNNNNNNNNNNNNNNNNNNNNNNNNNNNNNNNNNNNNNNNNNNNNNNNNNNNNNNNNNNNNNNNNNNNNNNNNNNNNNNNNNNNNNNNNNNNNNNNNNNNNNNNNNNNNNNNNNNNNNNNNNNNNNNNNNNNNNNNNNNNNNNNNNNNNNNNNNNNNNNNNNNNNNNNNNNNNNNNNNNNNNNNNNNNNNNNNNNNNNNNNNNNNNNNNNNNNNNNNNNNNNNNNNNNNNNNNNNNNNNNNNNNNNNNNNNNNNNNNNNNNNNNNNNNNNNNNNNNNNNNNNNNNNNNNNNNNNNNNNNNNNNNNNNNNNNNNNNNNNNNNNNNNNNNNNNNNNNNNNNNNNNNNNNNNNNNNNNNNNNNNNNNNNNNNNNNNNNNNNNNNNNNNNNNNNNNNNNNNNNNNNNNNNNNNNNNNNNNNNNNNNNNNNNNNNNNNNNNNNNNNNNNNNNNNNNNNNNNNNNNNNNNNNNNNNNNNNNNNNNNNNNNNNNNNNNNNNNNNNNNNNNNNNNNNNNNNNNNNNNNNNNNNNNNNNNNNNNNNNNNNNNNNNNNNNNNNNNNNNNNNNNNNNNNNNNNNNNNNNNNNNNNNNNNNNNNNNNNNNNNNNNNNNNNNNNNNNNNNNNNNNNNNNNNNNNNNNNNNNNNNNNNNNNNNNNNNNNNNNNNNNNNNNNNNNNNNNNNNNNNNNNNNNNNNNNNNNNNNNNNNNNNNNNNNNNNNNNNNNNNNNNNNNNNNNNNNNNNNNNNNNNNNNNNNNNNNNNNNNNNNNNNNNNNNNNNNNNNNNNNNNNNNNNNNNNNNNNNNNNNNNNNNNNNNNNNNNNNNNNNNNNNNNNNNNNNNNNNNNNNNNNNNNNNNNNNNNNNNNNNNNNNNNNNNNNNNNNNNNNNNNNNNNNNNNNNNNNNNNNNNNNNNNNNNNNNNNNNNNNNNNNNNNNNNNNNNNNNNNNNNNNNNNNNNNNNNNNNNNNNNNNNNNNNNNNNNNNNNNNNNNNNNNNNNNNNNNNNNNNNNNNNNNNNNNNNNNNNNNNNNNNNNNNNNNNNNNNNNNNNNNNNNNNNNNNNNNNNNNNNNNNNNNNNNNNNNNNNNNNNNNNNNNNNNNNNNNNNNNNNNNNNNNNNNNNNNNNNNNNNNNNNNNNNNNNNNNNNNNNNNNNNNNNNNNNNNNNNNNNNNNNNNNNNNNNNNNNNNNNNNNNNNNNNNNNNNNNNNNNNNNNNNNNNNNNNNNNNNNNNNNNNNNNNNNNNNNNNNNNNNNNNNNNNNNNNNNNNNNNNNNNNNNNNNNNNNNNNNNNNNNNNNNNNNNNNNNNNNNNNNNNNNNNNNNNNNNNNNNNNNNNNNNNNNNNNNNNNNNNNNNNNNNNNNNNNNNNNNNNNNNNNNNNNNNNNNNNNNNNNNNNNNNNNNNNNNNNNNNNNNNNNNNNNNNNNNNNNNNNNNNNNNNNNNNNNNNNNNNNNNNNNNNNNNNNNNNNNNNNNNNNNNNNNNNNNNNNNNNNNNNNNNNNNNNUAUAUAUAUAUAUAUAUAUAUAUAUAUAUAUAUAUAAAAUUGAUGUUUCAUUUAAUGCAAACCAUCAAUAAACGUGUCUACUAUUACAAAAUUUAAACAAAGAAAGACAAAUUAUGUAUUGACAACUCAUGUAAAAAUACUCGAUCUUUUUCUUCAUAAUACUCAAAUAGGGUAAACUCAUUUUAAAAUUAAUUUAAAAUUAGUUAUUCAUUAUCCUUGGUACUAAAUGAGCCUUUAAUAUACAAUAAUAACAACAUAUUCAGUGAAAUCUCACUAAAUUGAAUCUGAAGAGGAUAGUGUGUACGCAUAUCUUACAUUACCUCGAGGAGGUGGUAAAUGAGCCUUUAGUAUAUGACAAAAAAUUACAAAUAAAAAUAAAAAUUGGAAAUAUCUUUUUGUAGGAAAGGAUGACCAAUUUAUAGUCUUUAGUCAAACACCAUAUUAAUCAAUGUCGUCCCAUUAUUUCAAGUUGAGCAAGUCAUGUCUCUUUUAUAAAUCAUCAUGCACAACUUGUCUUUUCUUCUUUUCUAUUCCCAAAUCACUAAAUUAGAGUAACACCAAUAAGGCUUAAUCAUGAAUUAAAUGCAACAUAUCCUCCAACCAACGCAAUAGGCAAGUAGACAACUACCACAUUUAUCAAUCAUAAAAUAAUAAUUCAUGUCUAUGUUGUACUCUCUAUUUAUAAUUCCAAAUUUACAAACAUUAUAUUCACACAACAAUAUAUACAUAUCUUUGUUAUGUACUUUAGUCUUUAUAACUUGUCUUCAAUAUAACUAUCCAGUAUUCGAAAUUCACGAUCGACCAUAUAGUAGUAACCAUUAUGAAGACAUUGGAGACAUGCAAUGGGGCAAGUGGUUCUAAUGAGGGAAAGAAUAGAUGUGAUGAAGAAAUGGUUAAGUGUAGAAGAUAUGAAAUGAUUUUGAGAAUUAUGGGGCUAAUUUUUACUUUAGUAGCUGCUAUUGUGGCUGGUUCUAAUAAGGAUACUGAAUCAGUUGCAAUAUCUCUUGUAGAUGGAUUGCCUCCUUUGCACCUAACUCUAACUGCCAAAUGGAGUUAUAUGUCUUCCACUGUGUAAGUUUAUUCUAACACAUACUAUAUAAACUCGAUCGCAUACUGUCUUAUUUUUCAGGUUACUAAUUCAGUUAUUAUAAACGGUUAUGUAUAGUUAUCUUUUUUUACAAAUUUUAGUUAGGUAACUAACUUUGCCUUAUAUAUUAGAUUACUAAUUUCACUUAUUAUAGAUGCCGGUUUACUAUACAAAGUCACCCACUAUCUUAUUUUUCAGAUUACUUAUAAUUCAGUUAUUAUAGACAGUUACAUGUAGUCAUUUUUCUUUAUUAGUUUUAGAUAACUAGCUUUGUCUUAUUAUUCAGAUUACUAAUUUCACUUAUUAUACAGAUGCUGGUUAGUGGUUACAACUUACGUGUAGUUAUUUUUUAAAACUAGUUUUAGGCAUCUAGCUUUGCCUUAUUUUUCAAAUUACUAAUGUCACUUAUUACAAAUGUUGGUUACAUGUGAUUAUCUUUUUAACUAGCUUUACACUACUAUAACUUGUUAUUUGAAAAAUUAGUAAUUUCAUUUGUUAUAGACACACUACAAGAAAAGUGUGAAUUACAUGGGAAUUUUCCUGGGGAUUAGUAUGAAAAUCCGUAGGAAACUUAUUUUUCUGCAAAUUUUCAUACUAAUCCCCAGGAAAAUUCCCAUGUAAUUCACACUUUUCUUGUAGUGUGUCUAUAACAAAUGAAAUUACUAAUUUUUCAAAUAACAAGUUAUAGUAGUGUAAAGCUAGUUAAAAAGAUAAUCACAUGUAACCAACAUUUGUAAUAAGUGACAUUAGUAAUUUGAAAAAUAAGGCAAAGCUAGAUGCCUAAAACUAGUUUUAAAAAAUAACUACACGUAAGUUGUAACCACUAACCAGCAUCUGUAUAAUAAGUGAAAUUAGUAAUCUGAAUAAUAAGACAAAGCUAGUUAUCUAAAACUAAUAAAGAAAAAUGACUACAUGUAACUGUCUAUAAUAACUGAAUUAUAAGUAAUCUGAAAAAUAAGAUAGUGGGUGACUUUGUAUAGUAAACCGGCAUCUAUAAUAAGUGAAAUUAGUAAUCUAAUAUAUAAGGCAAAGUUAGUUACCUAACUAAAAUUUGUAAAAAAAGAUAACUAUACAUAACCGUUUAUAAUAACUGAAUUAGUAACCUGAAAAAUAAGACAGUAUGCCAAGUAAUUCACACUUUUCUUGUAGUGUGUACACUUACAUGUAUUAUCUAUUUCACACGUCUUUUUUAGCAUGUUCAGCUUCCAAAAUUCUUGGAAUCCCCCCUACAAAAUUAUUUAAAAAAUAAACAUGAAUAGUAAAUAAUUGUUUUGUUAUUGUACAAAACAAUUAGUUCUUCUAAUGUUGCUUUGUGCAACUAUAUUCAAUUAAUUGAGUAGAGAGGCAACUAAAUCUAAUCAUCAAUUAUAACUCUUGCUCUGAGGAAGAAGUCAACUUAAUAACAUAAUCACAUAAACUUAUUAACACCGUCAGUGUACAAAAGUUAAACCUUUCGUUGUUCAACAAAUGACAGGUACUUUGUGGCUGUGAAUGCGGUAGCAUGUGCAUAUGCAGCGAUAUCUAUGGCGUUUAUAGCUCUAAUAGGAGGAAGUAGAGGAAGAAAUUGGAAAGGCUCUAUUCUUGUUGUUGCUCUAGACUUGACUAUGGUGGCAUUACUUUUUUCAGCCAACGGGGCGUCGGCUUCAAUUGGACUCAUUGCUUUGAAUGGAAACUCACACACUCAAUGGCACAAAGUUUGUUAUGCUUUUAAGAGAUAUUGUAUCCAAGGGGGAGCUGCACUUGUUAUAUCUAUGUUUGGUUCAUUCUUCUUUUUUUGCAUUGUGUUGCUAUUCACUUAUAAUCUUCAUAGAACUACUUUAAAUUAUUAAAGGGUCUAUGUCGAAAUAUAAAAAAGCUAUGAUGACUCUCGAAAUGAAGUUAGAUGAAAUUUGUACUCAUAUUUAUUAUUUGUCAGCUAUAUUUGUAGCCAUUACAUUGCAAUGAACUACACUAAUAAUACACCUACUAUUUAUAAUGGAAUUAACUCCAAUUGUAUAUGUCUUAAAAUCGUUUCAUAUUAGUUGUCUUUUCAGAUUUUUGCACAUAUCUUUAAUAAAGACGACAUGUAAUAUCUUUAACCAUGAGAGAAUUAUCAAAAACAGUAUAUUAAUAUCAAGUCUGCAUUUAUAGUCAUAAAGGGAAUAAUAAAUAUAGUGGGAUGGAUCUUGGAUCUUAGACUUCUUGUUGUUGAAUAGGAAUAGGCCACGCCCUACCGGCAUACCCCAUCAACCUAAGCCUCAAUAUGAGAACUGACGCUUUUCAACUCUCUAUGAGGAGCUCCACCCCUACUUCAAUAAAAACUCGCCCCUCGUUUUUCUCAUUUUUAAACUUCUAAUAUUUUGUACGCAUUCUGAUGAUUCUUGGGUGAUUGUUUCACCCGUGGCUUUGCGUUGUAUUGACUAUUGAGGUCAGACUUAGCCCCCUUUUGCUCCUUUUUUGCUAAUACAACACGAUCUAGAGAUAAUUUGGAUAAUUUAUUUUAUAAAAUAAAAAUCAGAAGUCACUCAACCAUUAAAAGAUUAUACUUCAUAUCAAAGAAAGGAUUCAGCCAGAGACAUAAUUGAAAAAACAAAACACUAAGGGUGUGUUUGGUAGAAAGGAAAAUGUCUUUCGUGAAAAAAUAUUUUUGAAAAAAAUAAGUGUGUUAUACUUCUUUUCUUGUGUUCGAUACAUAAAUAAAAAAUAUUAUUCUAAAAGAAUUUAUCUAUAAUUUAGACAACAUCAGAGGUGGGAGUUAGUGUAAGGUUGGUGGGGCUGAGGGAAAAGAUGGGGCAUGUUGAAGGGUGAAAAGUACAUAAUCAAUGUAAUACAUCACAUAUGAAACUUGUAUUCCCUACUUGUACUAGGGGAUCAUUUUCCUAAUUUUCAAAGAACUUCCUAAAGAAAAAAAUCAAUUUUUUCUCUGUGCCAAACACUUCCUAAGAAGCAACUUUAAAAGUGGGGCAAAAGAAAAUUAAAGGAGAGAAAAAAAAACCAAAAAGGUACUAACAAUGAGUAUUUAGAAGUCAAAAUUAAUGGGGGAGUAAGAAAACUUCAAACCUAUUAUGACUUGCACCCUAAAAUGAUAUGCUCCAAUUGGAAUCACAAACACAUGAUAUUGGUCCACAUGGCAUGGUUGCUGAUUUAUGGAAAGUCACAUGGCCAUGUGGGAGCAAUCCGAACCCCGGAAAAUUACAAACGUAUCUGUAAGGUUAAAAUUAUUUUUUUAAACAUAUAGAUUAGAUGAUGAUACUCUUAACUUCCUUCAUAUUCUGAACUUGUUAGUAAAAAUUCUGGCUCUGUCACUAUCAACAACCUGAAGACUCUGAGUUCAUAAAAUCGAAAUUCCAUCACAUCUUUGAGUAAAAAGAAAAGCUGUAACACAUAGAACUGCAAAAGUUCACUAAUUUGAUAGACACUUGAAUGAGGUAUAAUAUAAGCUGAACUGCAAAAGCCUACAUCACAACAAGCUACACAAAAACAACUAUACUAAAAAUCUCACUUUUUUUUACCCCUUUUCUAUGCUACAUGUUUUUAUCAACUUUUUUAGCUUUACAAAUUACUAUAGUCUAUAAAUACAUGCUGAAAAAAGGAAAAAGACUUCCUAAUUGCCUCUAUAGAUCCUACGAUCGAGCUAAUAACAGAUUUGCAGUCCACAUAACAGAAUUGACAACACGUUUUUCAUUACAGUAUACCGAUGAUCUUCAAGCAGAAUGUCCUGGAUUGUUUGCUUAUGCAACCUUAUUCGGAAAAAAAAAACAACCUUUGACAUUACUGAUGCACGGAGGAAUCCCUGUAAUCCAUCUUGGCAAAACGUCCCUUGAUUCGCGUUCUAGUUUCUGCACGAGCCUUCCUUGACUCGUACCUAAUAUGCUUCUCAUAUCUGAUAAAAACAUCUCAGUUAGAAAACAGAAUAGAAUACUAAUUCAGCUCUAAUACCAAGCAAAACGCGACUUAAAAGACAUAAUGAAAAGGCAAAGUGUUGUUACCUCCUUGUUUUCUUCUUCUCCUUGUACCGUGACACAGCAGUUUCUCUUUCUUGGCUGUUUAACUCGCGAUGAACAACUUUAGGUACCAUUUGAAAUGUUUCAGUAGUGGGAGGAUUAUGAGAUUGUUCUUCAUUUGCUCCACCCGAAGCAUCACAAACAUCUGAAUCUCUGUUGGGAAGUAAGCACUUCGUCUCAAUGAAGCAGUCCAUUAAAGAAGAAGAAAAGCCUUGAUCUGCGAAUUCACCAGUAUCACCGUGCCAAUGAAAGGCACUUCCCUGCAGGCAAGGACCAUGAUCAAGUCAUGUUGUUCAACACUGCAAAUGCUAAACUUCCUCUUUUUAAGAUCAUUUUCUAUGUCAAAGUUAACUCUGCCUCGUUCACAUUGCUAGUCUCAAGCUCAGAUAAAGGAGGAGGGGUUGCCGAGGGUCAAUCAAAAACAACCUCUAUAUCCCAUAAAGGUAGGUAAGGACCGUACAUCUUAUACCCCAUACCCUACUUGUGGGAUUACACUGAGUUUGUUGUUGUUUUUGUUUUCUAAGUGAAGGUUGAGUGCAACUAAUUGUGAUUCAUAAAACUAUCAAAAAGAUAAUAUUCAGUGUUUAUAAGUCGGAUUGUUCAUGCAUCCAAUACCGUAUAGUGUCUUGGUCGAACAUGGAUGGGGUUGGACAAUUCUCACCUCUUGAGCUAAUUUUUCGAAUUAAUUAUAUCCAAGGUUCAUUUAACGCUCUAACAACUUAAGUUUUUAGACAAACGUCACACAAAUCAAACAUUUAACAACUAUAAGAGGAGUAACAGAGAAUGAAAUAACCUUUACCUCAGAUGAAGGAACUACAUGUUGAUCUGAAUUCUGCAUAAAUCCCAAACCUUUAAAUCUCAACGGACAAUUUUGGACAGGUUCCAUAGAUUGAAAUCCUAUAGUUGGUACAGUUUCAUCUUGAUCAUCACCAGAAUUUGGUUCCAACUUUGAUAAUUCGCGAAGCUGACUAAGUAUUUCUUCCUUGUGUUUUCCACAAGCAGCAUUUCGGUUCUGAUUACAAAAAUAUAUUAGGAAAAAAACCUUAGCAUGUAAGAAUCCAAUACUAUUUAUUUUGUUAGAGAAAACACUAGAACAAUAUAGUGUCAAAGGAGCAUGAUAAGAGAUACCUCAACCUGUCGAAAACAUAAUUAAGUAAAUUAAAAUAUGUUUUCUCUAACAGUUUGAGGUUUAAAAUUAAAUGAGUUUAGUCACAAGAUUCAACAUGGUAUUAGAACUAAGUUUCGAGUCUCAUCGCCAUCUAUUAUCAUAUAAGAUUCAUAGUCUUUAUACCAUUCAAGCUCGCAUUGGUGUGAGCGCCUGAGCGGAGCCAUUCAUUUUAAUUGUUAACUAAGGGUCGGAAGAACUAGUAGGUUUAGCUCAAACUUUGUAUUUAUGUUAAGACAAAUUCAUUUGACAUAUAUUAAAUAAUCUAUCCAAAAUCUCAUUAAUCAACAAGAUUAUGAUUCAGAAUUCAUAGACUAAAACUCCUGAUUCUACCUGUGUGCACGAUGACAUAUUGAAGACACGAUUAAGUAAUCCGAGCUAGCGUUUGACCAUAGAUGUUAGAUCAAAUUUUGAAAAUUUAUCUUCAUAUAUCUGUUUAGCCAUAAAAUCUUAUCGGAUUUUGAAAUUUCAUCUUCAAAAUAUAUUAAAGUUUUCAGUCCCACUCACAAAACUUCAAAAACUCAAAAUUUCAUGUUUCAAUUGCAAAAUCUAUGGCCAAACGAGAGCUCAAAAUUUCAAGUUUCAAUUGCAAAAUCUAUGGCUAAACGAGAGCUAAGAUAACAAAUGGAUAAAAAGUAAUAACCUUAGGUAGAGGAGGAACCCCAAUAGCUUGAAAAUUAUGUUCAGAAUCAUUAUUAGCAAUCAGAUCAUCAAGACUAACAACAGAAGGAGUAUCCCAAAUAACCCAAUCAGAGAAACCAUAACUUCCAUCACCGCCAUACAAAAGUUCCUUCUUCCCCAAAUCUUCAAAUCCAAGAAUAGACAACAGCUCAGAGACAGAAGGACAUCCGCUAAACCCCUCAAGUGGCCUCCUUUCAUGUAGAGACAAUUGUUUAUUAUGAGAUUCCCAAUCACAAUUUUGACACAAAACAGAGCUCUCUGUACAACAGAGUAUAGAAGCUGGAGAAGAAUCACAAAGAUUACAGAGUAACCAACGAGUAUGUUUAGUGAAAAGCUGAUUAGUAGAAUGAACUUCACGGUCACAGGUAAAACAGAGCUUAGCUGAAUCUGCUCUGCAAUACAAAAGUGCUGUGUUGUUUCCACAAAAAUCACAAAGAUGUCGCCUUUGUGGCUCUUGCUGCUGCUGCUGAUGAUUUUCUUGAUCUUUUUUUAGUUCAGUCAUGUUUAUUGGUACCCUUUUUAGUGAUGAUUAGUUAAUUGUAAAGAAAAUGGAGUUUUGGUAGAGGUGGAAGGAGUUUCUUGGAGAGUUUUUUUGGUCAGCAUUGGCUGUUGAAAGGUGCAGAGUGUUUGUUAGGCACAAGAAUCUUAUCACUUUUGAAAAGGGAUUGGGGGUCCAGGAAGAGUGGAGAUAUUAAUAUCUCUCUUAUUUACUUUUUUGUUUGUAUCUCCCCAUACGUGUGAUUGAUCACGGGGAUAUUGGGGUGGGGGUGGGGAUGGGGUGGGGGGUUGGAAACUAAACUGUUCAAGUUGAGCAGGAUGAAGGUCAAUGAUGAUAUCCCACCUUGUAUUGAUGUAGCGUGAAUGAAGUAAAGACUUGACUCUGAAGUGUGAUAAAAAGUUACUGUUGAAAAUAAAAAAUAAGGUUCUAUAGAGUGGUUGUUAGGAUGAUAUUGUUGUAUGAGAUAGAGUGUUGGUCUGUCAAAAGCUCACAUGUUGAAGAUUCAUGUUGCAUAGAUGAAGAUGCUGAGGUGGAUGUGUAGUCAUAUUAGGAGUGAUAUGAUUAGAAACGAGGGUAUUCAGAAUAAGGUAAAAGUGUCCUCCGUGGUGUACAAUGUGAAGAAGAGAUGUGUAGAUGCAUUAGUAAGGAAGUGCGAGAGAUUGGUUAUAGAGGAUAAAAGGAGAGACCAAAGAAACAUUAGAGAGAGGUGAUAAGAUAUGAUAUGACACAACUUCAUGUUACUGAGUACAUGAUCUUAAAUAAGAGGGUGUGGAUGACAUGUUUUAGGGUAGAAUGUUAGUUGGUAGUGUAAUGUUGUCUUGCUUAAGUUGGUUGAUGUUUGUUAUUGUACUAAUUGUAUUAUUGUAGUUCUUGUUUUUAGAUAUUUAUCAUUGUUUAUUGUAACUUUUAAAUAAUCUAUCCUAGUACAUUGUUCAUUAUGUUUUGAUUAUCACACUAUUUUGAUGUUGUUUUUGCUCCCUUCUUGUAGACUUAGCACUAUUUUCCUUACUAUUUCCUUCUUCUUUGAACCUUAGUUUACCACACUUUAGCCUAGAGUCUUUCGAAAAGAGCCUCUCCACCUCCACGAGGUAAUGAUAAGAUCUGUGCACAUUCUACCUUCUUAGACCCCACUUGUAGGAUUUCACUAGUACAUUGUUGUUGGGAAAUAUGCACCACAUAAUAUGGAAAGUCCUACAUCAAUUAAAGAAAAAAAAAUUCAAUAUCAACAACAAAAUAAUGUGAUAAUUGAAACAUAAUAAACAAUAAAUAGUAACAAAUAUCAAGAAACUAUAUAAAUAAACCAGAGGAAACCCUUCAUACAAGUCACCGACUCUUCCAUCCCUCAAAAACAGUAGUUCAACCAAUGACUAAAAAUUACAAAUUAGUAUUACUUAAUUAUAAUUAAUUAAGAUAUAUUAUUUAUCACAAUUUAUCACUUAUAACUAGUACAUAUACAUAAAUGAACAUAAUUUUAUGUAAAAAAUAGGUGUGAAGUUGGUACUUUCCUUGAAUGUAGUUAUGAGUAGUACUCUAUUUUAUUUUAUUUUAAAAAGAAAAGGUAAAAAGGAAAAGGUUUCUUCAAGUGCCCUAUCCUCGAUACUUUCUCUUUUUAACACUUUUUCUUAUAACGUUCAAUACAAGAUGAAGGGAAAAGUUCGAGAUCUUUUUUCCCUUUAAAAAGUUUGACUUUUCUCAAAGAAAGAAAAAGAAGGAUUCCGAUAAGUUGACUCAAUUAUUUAGUAGUGGAUCUAAAAAUUUUACUUGGGAAGUUUAAAAAAUAAAACAAAAUAUUUGAGCUUUAAAUUUGAAACUGUAAUGAUUAAGUUAACUUCUAUUUCUUAUGUUCAUGAGAUUCAAAAUCAAUAUAAAUAUGUAAAAUAAUAUUAUAUAAUUUUGGUAAAAAAUUUUCAUAUAAUUAUAUAUCAAACUAAAAUUUAACCUCUAUAUACAAUGAAAUUUUUCAACGUAGGAGUGUCGCUCGACAUCCCUUGAGUAAGGGCGGUCCGCCCCUAUAUAUAUACUAGAUAUUUGGUGUCCGUGCCAGCACGAGCCCAAUAUAUAUUACUCUUUUUUUAAGCUCAAUCACAGACCCAAUAUAUGUUAUAAUUCCCUUUUUAUCUCAUAUGUGAUACACAUAAAGUUCGAAAAAUCAACCAAUAUUUUAUAUGUUUUUUAUAAAAUAUUUGAAGUUAUUAAAUUUGUUGUUGAUUUAUAGUAUUUUUUUGUGUAAUUUUUGAAUAAUAUAUGUUACUCCUAUUUCAAUUCACGUGAAUAAUCAUAAAUAUUUUAAGUUGUUAAUUUGUGAAUUCUAAAACUUUUAACGUCAUUUUAAAAUAAUAUAGGUUACUUCUUCUAUUCUAAUUAGUCAAUCAAAUUUCUUAUAUGAUUUAAAAUGUUUUCAUUUGCUAAUUAUUGUGAUAUGUAAUAUCCUUUAAAUAAUUUUUUUAUAAUAGAUAUUAUUACACCUGUUCAAAUUCAUCUGACAAUAAUAAAAUUUCUAGAGUCAAUUAAAUCUUUUUUAAAAAUUGAAUUGGAAAAAAUGUGGAAUAGGUAGAAACAAGGGGCCCACAUUUUCGGCAGGGAAAUAUUUGUGGGCUUUUAUGUCCAAUAAAUAAGAAAGUGCAAGCAGACAUGUUGAUGAACUGCGGCUUUCCUUAUAUAUAUAUAUAUAUAUAUAUUAUUUACUAUUAUUAUUAUUAUUGUUAUAGUCAGUUAGUUAUAUUUUUUGAAAAAUAUUUUAUUUUAGAAAUUUAAGUUCCUUAAUUUUUCUAGUGAAAAAAACCAACAAAAAAAACAAGUUAUGUAAAUAGCACUUUAUAUUAAUUAUCUACCUCCAACACACACCACCCUCUCCCCAAUCUACUCAUCGGCCAUCCCCACGCCCAAAGGCGGACCCAUUCUAUCAGUGACAGAGUCAGAAUUUUCAAUAAGGGGUUCAAGAUCUGUAGAAAUAGACACACGAAGUAGCCAAAGGGGGUUCAUCAUCUACUAUAUAUACAUAAAAAAACAUUUUAAACAUGUAUAAUUAAUGUAAUUUUCCGUCGAAGGGGGGUUCGGAUGAACCCCUUAGUAUAAGGUGGCUCCGCCCCUGCAUCCUAUAGGGUGAGGCUGCACGUGUACCCGUCAACUUUGGAAAAAAAUAAUCAUAUAUACACGCACAAGCUAGUGGAAUCACUCACAAGACUUGGUUCGAAACUAGCUACAAUGCUAUUUUAUUGUUUUGUUUUUUAAAUUUAUCUUAAAGCUCAUAUUUAAACUAAAAUAAUAUUAAUGCAUCUGAAGUCUUCAAAUCCUGAAUUCGCUUCUGCCCACACCUAUAGCCCCUCAUACAAAUCCUUUUUUUUUUUUUUCAUACAAAUCCAAAUAGCGUCUGCAUAAAAUAUAACAAAAUAUUUCUGAAAUAAUAAUUUUUAUCAAUUUAUCAAAUAUAUUAAAAAUAAGUAAAAGAAGGAAUGACUUACUUUUUAAAAAAAUACUCUCUAAAAAACAUUUUCCUAUCAAAACACUCCCAAUUUAUUUGCACCUGAUUUUUUCCCCCACAGACUCAUUAAUUAUAAGGAAAAGGGUCAAAAAUACCCCUCAACUUUGGUUUAUUGUUUGACUACGCCCUCGCCGUUAAAAUGAAGUUAUUUUUACCCCUCCCGUUACAAAUUUCACCAAAUUUACCCCUCAAUUGGAUGGAAAACCCCAAAUUGACUCAGUUUAACCCAAAUUUUAAAAAAAGACCCAUUCCCCAUUUUAAACCCAAUGCCCGACCCAUCCAAAGUUGAGGGGUAUUUUUGACCCUUUUCCUUAUAAUUAAUGAGUCUGUGGGGGAAAAAAACAGGUGCAAAUAAAUUGGGAGAGUUGUGAAAGGANNNNNNNNNNNNNNNNNNNNNNNNNNNNNNNNNUUAACAGAUUGUCAGAGUUAAGUAAACAAUAGCUGUACUUGUACUAUGAGGGGGAGAAAAAGAAGCAUAGUGGAAGCUUUUGAUGUGAAUUAGUUUGUGGGGGAAAAAGGGGAAAAGAGUGUAAUCAACAGUAGGGGAGGGGAGUAACUGAGUAUGCUCUACCUCAGCCUUGAUUCUCGCCUGAUUGUGUUGUUGGUUUGAUCUGUUAGCGGUGCUUCAGUUGUUUUCCGAUGGGGUUUUGGUCGGGGUUUUGUUGGUUGGUUGUUUGGAGGUCGGAGAACUGGUGGUCUGGUGGUCAUUUGCUGGUUGUUUUAGCUUGGGUGAUGGAGGUCUGGGUUCUGGUGGGCUGAAGUGUGGUUUUACCACUGGAUUUUGGCGUGGAGAGAGUGGUGUUUGAGAGCUGUUUCAGGUCGGUUUCACGGCUGUUUGAAUGAUUCCGACGGUGGGUGGUUUGCUUAAUGUUGUUCCAGCUUGAAACUGGCCGGAAAUGGAGAAGAAAGAUCUUGUUGUCGUCAAUGGAAAGUAGAGGAAAAUGGGUUUGUUGUUAAUGUUUUCUGCUUGAUGUCGUUUCUGGUUUUUGGGGGUUUUGAGUGGUGGUUUCAGGUGGUCGUUUGGAGGUUGUUUUGGUGGUGUUUCGCCGGAAAACGGAGAAAAUGAAUGGCGAUUACCGGAGCUUGAUUUGGGGUUUUAAUUUGGUAUAAAUGGGUCGGGUUCGGAUUAAAAAGAGAAAAAAUUGGGUUAUUUAAUUGAAAUUGGGUAAUUUUAAUUGAUUUGGGUUUUCCAUCCAAUUGAGGGGGUAAAUUUGGUGAAAUUAGUAACGGGAGGGGUAAAAAAUAACUUCAUUUUAACGGCGAGGGCGUAGUCAAACAAUAAACCAAAGUUGAGGGGUAUUUUUGACCCCUUUCCCUUAAUUAUACAGAGUUCGAGUCAGAAACGGUAGAUUUUGUUGAUUGAUUAAAAUAAUUAUAUUAGUUAAUAUAUAAAAUUAAAAGAUAUAUGGUAUUUUAUAUUACUUUUUUUAAUGCAUAUCAUUUAAUAAUAAAUAAAGAGUAUAUAUUAUUGAUUUAUUAUUUGAGAGUUAAUGGUCCAAUUUAUUUUUUGAUUUUCCACCUGGUGUUUGGUACCUAAAUUGGAGCCCCACUAAGGCUGAAUUCAUGAUGAGAAGUGCUAUAUUGAGAGGUAAUGUGUUCCUUGAUAAAGACGAUUCCACACUCGAGAAGACGUAACCUUAGAGGCUUAGACCUUUGAUUAAGAAUGAAAUAGUACUUAGCACUUCAUCACGAUUCUUAUUUAUGUUAAUGGUCCAAUUCGUUAUACGUCGGCCUAGUUAAGUUUCAUAUUCAACAAGUUCAAGUGAGCAAAAACAGGUUUGGCAAGUCAAGGUGGUUGGUUCCAAUAGGAAAUUAAUUAAAUAUCUCUUAUGAAUAAAUGUGUGAAGUCAUUACUUUUUGAAAGUGAAAUAUCACCACCUUUUAUUCAUAGAAAAUAUAGAUGUAGAGUAUUAUUAUUUGUGCAAUGACUAUGACUUCACCUUUAGGCACUAUGUACUAACUAGAGAACUCUCUACACAAAUCACAAUAGACAAUACACAUGCAUAACGUUGGUGUUAUGACUAAGACUUCACUUUAGUAUACUUGGGGAACACUUCUACAUAAAAAGAGUAAAAGACACACACAACAUAUAUCAUCCUAUGCGUCAUUCAAAUUGACAAGUCUUUUUUAGUAGAUAUGAUAUAAUCCAAUUAGUUUAUCGAGGACAUGAUCUUAAAUAGGAGGUUAUGAAGGAUACAAAUUAGGGUAAAUGGUUAGUUAGGUAGUUGAUACUCCCUCCGUUCACUUUUACUUGUCACAGUUUGACUUGACACACCCAUUAUGAAAAAUAUUCAAUGAUAUAAGUAUUUUACCAAACUGUCUCUUAUUAAAUGAUGUCUAAGAAAAUGAUUUGAAAAAAUAAGCAUUUAAUGUUGAGGGUAAAACACGAUUUUUUAUUUUAUUUUUUUUAUAUGUCAAAAGUGGCAAAUAAAAAUGAAAAUUUAUUUUAGGAAUAUUUGACAGGUAAAAGGGAACGAAGGGAAUAGUCAGUUUUUUCACUUUUUCCUUUAUAUUAAUUAAUUGUCGUUGUAUUAUACGCUUAGAGUUGCUUGUUAUUUCAUUUCUAUUAGUAUUGUUCGGAUAUGAGGUGCGAAUAGAAAAUGAGAAAAAAACUAAUUUUAGAAUUAAACCAAAAAAGAUACCUUUUGGAUGGGACUGUUUUGCCUUUUUUAGAUUUUAUAUACUGAAAUACAAAUAAGUUUGAAAAUUUUCUCUUCUUAAUCAUGCAUUGUUCUCAACUAAUUAAAACAUAAAUGUUGUGUGAUUUUCUCCGUUUGUUAAAUUUGUAAUUUGCAUAACCGCCUAUUACAUAAAUAUUUUUUCAUUCCAUCUUAGGAGGAAGUAACCCAAACCUUGGCAAUAGUAGGGUGGGUGGGGUGGGGAGUGAGUGAGUUAUAAUUCCUUAAGGAUACACAAGCAAUUUAUGGACUCAGAAUAAUAUUCUACUGCUUCUACAUAUGUUUCUUAAUUACUGGAAAUAUCAACAACUAUUUAGUGUUUCUUGCACUUUUCGAUUAUCAUAUUAUUUUAUUCUAGUGAUUGUUUCUUUUUUAGUAUGCUUUAUCAUACUUCCUUUAGCAUUUUAUCUUGACUGCUUCUUUCCUGUUGUUUUCUCUUUUCAAGCUAUUUUUACUUGAAUCCAAGGUCUAUUCGAAAUAAUUUUUCUAUAUCUCCAUGUACGCAUAACUAAAGUUGUCUACAUACAUACUAUCCUUCCACACUUGUGAAAUUAUAUUAAAUAUAUUAUUAUUAAAAAUUAUGAAGAGACACAAACAAGUCUUUAUCGAUCUGAUUAGAGGCUUAAGAAUUGGAGAACAUAAUAAUAAAAUGUCACACCUAAUGCCAGCUUAGAUUUCACCUUGGUACUUGUGGAACACUCUACAUAAAACACAACAUUAUCCUCCGGAGUGGCCCACGUAUAUUUGAGGGGUGUCAAUAAAAAUCUCUUCAUCGAAUAAUUACUCUUUAACUUCUACGCAAUUUUACUACUUUAUAUUUUGACAUCUCUUAAUAGGUCUUAAGAAUUUUUUAAUUUACUCACAAAAAUUUAACUAUAUUUUUACUCCUAAGAAUUUUUAAACAUUUAUAACCAAUUUAUAUCCGAUCUGGUUGGUCGAAACAUCUUGAGCUGAAUUUAUAAUUAAUGAAGAGAUACUUAUUUCUAGACAACUCUCUUAAAUGACAAUAUAAACUUCUAGACAACUCUCUUAAAUGACAAUAUUACAAUAUAAAUAUAAAUAAUGACAAUAAGUGAGGUGCACGUACGUACUACAGUUGAAUUAAAAAGCAUUUAAUAUUUAAAUAUGUUAAUUGGGCAGAUUUUUGUAAUAACACUAGGGUGUACAUGACUGGGUUGGUUCGGGUUUUAUAAAUAUCAAAUUAAAUUAUUUGUGUAAAAUAUUUAAAUUUAUAAACCAAACUAAUAAAAUUAGGGGUUUUUUGGAUUUUUCAACCUCGGGUUGGUUCGAGUUUCUCAAAUACCAAACCAAAUCAUUGUGUCGAAUUUUUAAAAUUUUAAAUCAAACCAAACUAAUAAACCUCAAAUUUUUUCAGGUUUUUGAAUUUUUCCGGUAAAGUAUACAUACAAACAUAUAAUUAACUUGUGCUCCAAAUAUUUCUUUAGUCCAACUAAAAUACAACUAUCUAAGAUGUUUCUUAAGAAAAUAGCACAAAAUAUGAGAUGAGUGAUGACACUAAAAUAUUCAAUAAAAAAUAAUAAUGAAAUCAUCAUAUAAACUAAAUAUUGCAAAGUCAUAAUGAAAAUGAUUAUAAUUAAAAGUAACUAAAUCAUGCUAAAAAUAAGUCUAAUAAGUAUUAGUUACAUGAUUAAACAUUAAAGAAAAUUAAAAUUAGAUUAUGUAUUAUAAAUGUCUAAACCAAUGUAAAACUAAAGAACAAAUAUUCAAUAUUAUUGUCAUUCUAGUGUUGAAUUAAUUUUCUUUUUGCAUUAGUAUUAAUUAGCAUUGAUUUGAUUUCGAAUUGAGCUUUAUUAUAGUUAAUAGGGAUAAGAGUCUGAAAAAUAUCCCAACUUUGGUCGGAUUUGCUGUUGCGAUACUAAACUUUCAUGAGGACCUAUUACCUCCCUAGACUAUUUAAUACCGUAUUUUUUACCCCCUGAACUAUUUAAUAGUGUAUUUUAAAGGUAUAUAUGUGCCCAUGUGGACACAUUCUAUUUAUAAUUUUGCAUUAUUUUUUAUGUCCACGGGGCAAAUAUAUAUGUUUAAAAUACGGUAUUAAAUAGUCUAGGGAGGUAAUAGGUCCUCAUGAAAGUUUAGUAUCGCAACAACAAAUCCGACCAAAGUUGAGAUAUUUUUCAGACCCGACCCUUAUCCCUAGUUAAUAAUAUCUAUGGACUAUAACCUUUAUUGGACCAUUCAAAAUUCUAAGUCUCACAAAGCUUGAAAAAAUAUGUUAAAAGAUAAAAAUUAUGAAAACUUAUAAGUAAUAUUUAGAAAUUACAUCUAAGUAAAUAUUUUUAUGUAUAAAAUAAAUUUUAAAAAUUAUAUAUAUAUAAUAUCGGGUUAGUUUGGUCCCGUCGGGUUUUUUCCGAUUUAACUCGAUUUGCGGUUUGAUUCAAUUUUUGGUUUGAUUUUGUACACCCCUAAAUGACACUAUUGGAUUCAUUUGACGAGAAAUAGUUAUAAUAAGUGAGAUUACUCAUGACCUAGAAAAUGAAAAAUAUAAUUUAUCAUAACAAAUUAAUUAAAAUAUGCUAAUGGUCUAAAUUAUAAAAUUUCACUAAUAAAUAUAUGUAAUUUUAGUUCUUUUAAGAAUUAUUUGGCCAUGGAUAGUGUUAUCUUUUCUCAUAAUAUUAUUGUGGAAAAUUGUUUAAACAUAGAAUUGUUACAAUUCGAAUUCCAUAAAACUAAUUUUCACUCUAAACCACUCACAAAAAUUCAAAAAUAACUCCAAUUUAUAUUAGUAUCCAAUUACAGAACUCCAAUUUUUAAACUCCCCCCCCCUCCAAAUUUCACGAUUCUUACGUCCAAACGCCUACAUAAUAGCGUACUCAUUAUAUCUGAUAGAUUUUAUUAAUUCAAAAUUUUGAGGGAAAAUUACACUUCAUGUGAGCCAAACAAAAUUGUUACUAUCAAUUUUGGCCCAAGUAUAUCAUAUACACACACAUUAUUAGGAAAAUGAAAAUAGUAAGUUUCUUCUUCAAAUUCCACAAUCACGUAGUGGUACCACUACAUCAACACCACCAUAUAAUACAUUAGUACUUGAAUCAUCAAAUUUCGGAAUAAACUCGUCAUUAUAUAUAUAUAUAUAUAUAUAUAUAUAUAUAGAUACCCUUGAAAAUAUGUGUGUAGUAUACAACGAUAUAUUACUUAGUAAUGAUAUUGAUCAAAGCUGGUUUCUUAGGAGGAAAAUUGCACUUGAGUGCACAUGUUACUAGUAUGACUUUUCUAUUGAGUUCAUUAUCAUUUGUUGAUCCAUGAGAUAUGUUACAUAUGAAGUUUUGAUGAUAAACAAAUAUAGUAACAAUUAUGUUGGAAGAACAAGCUACUAAUCAUGUUUCAAAUAAGGAUCAGUAGUAUGCAUUUGCUGAAAAUAUUGUGUAGGUGCAAUUUAUAAAAGUUAAAAAAAAAAGUGAUUUAGGUUCGAUCAGAUUUUCUUUCUUUUAGCUAGAAGUUAAUGAUAAUUAUGAUUGAAAGUAAAAUGUCUCGUUAAUAUAAACAUCGAAGAUUAAAAACAAGAGAGUGAUUAAAUAUUUUGAAUCAAGAUAGCUUGUUACAACUUACAAGUAAGAAACAUGAGAUGAUCAUCGAUAUCUUUAACUUAUUCUUGUUUGAUUUGGAGAGUAAGAAGCGGCCAUUCCUACUCCUAUAGUAUAUAUAUAUAUAUAUAUAUAUAUAUAAGAGGCGGACCCACACUAUGGAGAGGGGGUGCACGUGCACCCGCUCCCGCUAACUUUCGAAAAAAUCAUAUGUAUAUAUGUAUAUUUAUUUUGAAAAACUGGUAGAAAUUAGGAUAUAGUUAAAUGUGCACCAUGAGAAGCAUAGAAGUGCUUUUGUGCUACUGGUUCAAGCUAGAGAUACCACCCUUGAGGCUAGGGUUCAAAUCCAACUAUAAAGCCUUUUUUUUAUUGUUUUUAUUUUAAGUUUAACUUAGAGCUCAUAUUUGAGCUAAGGUUAUAUAUAUAUAUAUAUAUAAAGCAUUACAUUGACGUUCCGAAAGAAGAGAGAAUUUAUUCAGUGUGAAAAAAAAACCUAGAUAUUAUUGCUAUAAUUCUUAAUUAGUUGUCUAUAUAAUUUGAUUCUUUUUGUUCUUAAAUUGUAAACCUUUUACUGGGGCGUAUUUAGAGGGGGUGCCGUGGGUUCACGUGAACCCAUGCUCCCCUCUUUAGAUCAUAUAUAAUAGUGUUAUAUUUUUAAAAAAUAUUUAAAUAUAGAUGUGUGAACCCACGUUUAAAGUAUCAUAUAAUAAUACAAUAAUGAUUGAGUGCACCUCUCUAAGUAAGGAUAAAAAUUUAAGUCUUAUAUCUAUCUUGUCCUUUUGAGUAACACUCCCUAAGUGGUUAUCGAUUAUACUUUUGACGUUUCAACUAAUUUUUCUUUUGUUUUUUCCUUUAAUCUUUCAAAAUUUUCAAGUGCCUUACAUUGGAAGCUCUUAAAAACUUUGCACUAUAAGAUUUUUAUAUAAUUAAAUCAAAUGUGUAUAUUAAAAUUUAAACUAAUAGUAUUAUAUAUUUUGACCUAUAAUUUUAAAUUUAAUGGUUUAUAUUAAGAACCUAAAAGUCAAAUUUAUCAAAUUUAUAUUUAAAAUACAUUUUUUCGUAUUCGUGCACCCAUCUUGACGAAUUCUUGGAUACACCUCUGCUUUUACAUUCAUAAAGUAUUCAUAUUAGGCGUUUAAUUCUUGAGUUGUAAAAACUUUCAAUAUUGAGGUCGAAUCUUGAAAGGGAUAAUUGCAAUUAGAAAGAGUGAAAGGUGUUAAUAGUUAGGCCAUUUGAGUUGUAACCAUGAAUUUUUCUCAAGAUUUAGUGAAAAUUUGAGAGAAAAAUCUAUUGGCAUGUCGUAUUUUUUUACUCAUCGGAGCAAGGAGUUUUCUACGUAAAAUCAUGAUAUUGAUUAUUAUUCUGAAUUUACUUCUUGAUUAUUUGUUGAAGAACCUAAUUCUUCAGUACAUAGAUGAAAACAUAAAAUAACAUAAGCUUUUUAGCUAGGACUGAUAGGCAUAUAUGUAAAGUCGUUUAAACAGUUUUGAAUUACUCUACCCGUCGCCUUACCUUACUAAAAAAUUACUAUUUUUUUUAUUAAGAAAUAUUCAGAGAUUAUUUCUACAAAUAUUUUGAUUGUAUCGGUGAAAAAGAAAAAAAUAUUCAGUGGCAUUUCUAGUAAAUUGGUGAGUAGGGGUGUACAUAACCGAACUGAAAACCGAAUCAAAUCGCAAACCAAGUCAACCUGAAAAAAACCCCGACUAGUGAUUUGGUAUUGGGAAAAAAAAUCCGACUAUAUUUGGGUUGGUUUGGUUUAACUAAAAAAGCCCAACCCGAGACCAAACCAACCCGACAUUAUAAUUUUAAAAUUUUAUUUUAUACAUAAAAAUAUUUAUUUUGAUAUAAUUUUAAAAUAUUUCUUAUACUAUUUCAUAGUUUUUAUCUUUUAAUAUAUUAAUUCAAGUUUAAAACUUAGAAUUCGGAAUGAUCCAAUAAAGAUUAUAGUUCAUAGAUGUUGAUAAUUAUAAUAAAACUUAAAUCAAAAUCAAAUUAAUACUAAUGCAAAAAGAAAAUCAAUUCAACACUAAGAAUGACAAUAAUAUUGAAUAUUUGUUCUUUAGUUUUACAUUGGUUUAGACAAUUAAAAUACAUAAUCUAAUUUUAUUUUUCCUUAAAUAUUUAGUAAUGUAACUAAUACUUAUUAAACUUAUUUUAGCAUGAUUUAGUACUUUUAAAUUAUGAUCAUUUUCAUUAUGACUUGUUAAUUUGCAAUAUUUGUUGGAGCUCAAGUUAAUUAUAUGUUUGUAUGCAAACUUUACCGAAAAAAUCUGAAAAAAUCCGAGGUUUAUUAGUUUGGUUUGAUUUAUAAAUUUAAAAAUUCGACACAAUGGUUUGGUUUGGUAUUUGAAAAACCCGAACCAACCUGAGGUUGAAAAACCCGUAAAAAUCUGAAUUUUAUUAGUUUGGUUUGGUUUAUAAAUUAAUUUUUUUUUUACACAAAUGAUUUGGUUUGAUAUUUGAAAAACCCGAACCAACCCGGUAAUGUACACCCCUAUUAGUGGGAAUCUAUUUUCCAUCGUGCAUUUUUUUUUAGUAAACUGAUUCAAUGGGAAUGGAUAUCAUGUUUUAUUACAAAAUUUUUCCAUUGAUUCACGGUGAGAAAAUCCUAUAUUUCUAAUAGCAUUAAGACUUCGGUUUUAUUUUUUUUAAAAUUUCCAUCAAUAUCUUUAAUUGGAAUCUUAGAUUCUUUUGCACAUAUGAUAAUUUUUUGAAAUUCCCCUUGUUUACUUUUGCUACGUUGGUGGAAAAAGCAAUUUACUUUGACAGUAUAGUAUGAGAGCAACUUGUCAAAGAGUGGAGAAUUUUAUUUCCCUUUCCCAACUUUAAGCAAAUGGAGCAAGAAUGUAAUAUAUCAUGAAGAGUACAGUAUUUUUGACUCCUUUCUAAUAUGUGAAGAGUAUCUAUACUACAUGGUAGUGCAAAUUUUGGAAUAAGUUCUCAAAAUUAAUGCCAAUUGAAAUUUUUAGUAGUGGACUAUUUUUUUUUUAGGUUUUGAGUCUUUAAAAAUUAAGUUUUAAAGAUAAGGUGUAACGUGAAUGGAAAAUAAAGGGAGGGAAAUUUGAAGCUAAAGUUUAUUUUGAUAUAUAGAAACUUUUUUCCUCAUUCGUAAUGAAGAGGAGAACUUUUGUGCUUAUAUAUAUAGAAACACCUCUUCUAACGCUUAAAGAGUUAAGAAGCGUUUUUCUUGCAUCGUCGUUGUCGUCGCUUGCUCGAUUUUAGCAAAUGAUGUGAUUGAUUGAUUCAUUGAUCGAUCGAUCUUUGAACAUAUACUUCCUUCCGAUAGACACCAGGCACCGAACUAUUCUGAACAAGUGAGUUUACACCUUUUGAACCCAGAUUUUAGGCUAUAAUUAAAUAAUGAGGGUUUAUUACCCUUCGUUUUUUGCAUUGAAUUUACUUCUUUUGUUAUUUUUUACAAAUAAAUAUAGAGUCUGUGUGAUUGUGUUGUCAAUUUUUGUGUUUGACGAAGGUACCGCUAAUAACUUGUAUAUCUCUUUAUUCAUAACCUCGAAUACAAUAAGGAGAUUAAAAUUGGCCAAAGUUACUCGAUUCAGAUGAGCUUGUAAUUUAUGCAUUACAAAUAUGUUUGGUGUGAAGAAAAAUAUUUUAUUGAAAAUAUUUUCUAUAAAAAUAAGUGGGUAUCUUAUUUUUAUUUUUAUUUUUUUGUGUUUGAUAUGUAUGCAAAAAAUCGUAUCAAAUUAUUUAUAUAUAAUUUAGACAAUUAUUAUGAGAGGUGAGGGUUGAGUGGAGGAUGGGGGGGGGGGGGGGUUCCAAAGAAGANNNNNNNNNNNNNNNNNNNNNNNNNNNNNNNNNNNNNNNNNNNNNNNNNNNNNNNNNNNNNNNNNNNNNNNNNNNNNNNNNNNNNNNNNNNNNNNNNNNNNNNNNNNNNNNNNNNNNNNNNNNNNNNNNNNNNNNNNNNNNNNNNNNNNNNNNNNNNNNNNNNNNNNNNNNNNNNNNNNNNNNNNNNNNNNNNNNNNNNNNNNNNNNNNNNNNNNNNNNNNNNNNNNNNNNNNNNNNNNNNNNNNNNNNNNNNNNNNNNNNNNNNNNNNNNNNNNNNNNNNNNNNNNNNNNNNNNNNNNNNNNNNNNNNNNNNNNNNNNNNNNNNNNNNNNNNNNNNNNNNNNNNNNNNNNNNNNNNNNNNGGGGGGGGGGUGGGGGGGGGGGGGGGGUUCAAAAGUAGUAUUGGAAGUGAAGAUAAAGUGUGUUGGAGGGUGGGGAGGACACAAUCAAUGUAUGAUAUCACUUGUAGAACUUGUUUCCGUACUUUUUAAAAGCAAACUUAUUUUCAAGAAAAUAUUUUCUAAAACUUUCGACCAAACAAACUUAAGAAAAUCGAAAAAUAUUUCUACUUGGCCAAGUUUGUCCAUGGCCAUUCAUUUUCGUGGACAAUGAGAUUUGAACUCAGAAUAUAUGUUACUCUACUUUAAUACUAUACAGAAUAAUGUAACCAUCACAUCUAAACAUUGAAAUUGUUAGAAGGAACACAAUUUCAAUUACUCAUACAUAAUUAUAUUGUAUUGUCCAUUGAAACAAUAUUUAUUUUUGAGGAAUGAGAUCUCUUGGCCAUUUACAAAUCGUAUAGAAGAAAAUAGUCUUUUCAAAUCUCUUAUAUAUAAAAACAAAUAUCUCUCGCUCUACUCUAACACUCUAUUGAACAAUGUAACCUUCGCAUUUAAAAAUCGAAAUUGUUAGAGAUAAUACUCUUUCAAUUACUCAUACAUAAUAUAUUGUAUUGUCUAUUGACAUAAUAUUUUAUUUAUGAGGAAAUGACAUCUCUUGGACAUUUCAAAAUUGAACAAAGAAAAUAUUUUUUUCAGAUCUCUUGUAAAAUAAUGAAGACUUUAUUUUAAAAAAACAAUUUGUAAAUGACCUACAAAAUCAGUUCUCUCGAUAUUUAGUUUCAUUGUUUUCCCCAUUUGUAAAGUGAAGAAUUCUCCAAACAUGUUGAUCCUCCACAGAAAGGGAAAAAGAACAAAUUAAACUUAAGUAAUAAUGCUAACUUCCAUUAAUUGAGAUACAAAUGAGAAUACAUUCUUUAAUAAUUUGAACUAGGGCACACACAUCUUCACAACAAUUACAUAACAUUUUCAUACUACAACUUCUUCAACUCAACAAUUUAUUUAUUGUUCCUAGUAGUACUACUAGUACUAAUUAAUAUUAAUGUCAAACUUUUCUUGAAAUAGGGGUGAGGUGGGGGUGUCCUCUUGGAACCAUGGGAAGGAUAAGCUAGAACCAGAACCAGGACAUGUGCUACCUGCUAUUCAAGUAGCUUCCGAGAGGAGGGGGGGGGGGGGGUCUUAAUUGCUUUUUAAACCAGAUAUGUAAGGCUUGAUAAGUUUAAUAAGUGAGCCUUGAAGAUGAAGUGACAUGACUUCAUUAGUAGAACCAACCAAUAACCCCCCAAUAAAAACAGCAGGAAACAUGAAUGAACUAUUGACACCCAUCCUUAUUAAGGCCUUUUCCAUUUCUUUUCCAUCAGACUCAUGAUCAAUUUCACAAACAUAUGGAAUUACACCAAGAUCUUGAAAUAAUAUACUCACUGCAUAACUCAAACAACAUGUACUCUUGCUAAAAAUCACCACUCCAUGUUCUCUAGUCAUUCUUUGUACCUUCUCCAUAUUUUUUUUGACAAAAAUUAGAUGAAGCAACUAGCCAAAAAAAGAGCUAGAGAAAUAAAAGGAUUUUUAUUUCACAAGCUCAAAGAUAGAUAGGCUAGGUUGCUUGAAAAUAGGGGUGGGCAUGGUGAGUCUAUUUAUAGUUAUAAAUGAAUAAAGAAAAGAACCUUUUAAAAGAUUGUGAGCUUUAUUUAGAUGCUUUGAAAAAAAAGAUCCUACUACUACUAUUUUGUUCCACAUAUAAAGGGCAAGUUGGAAGAACAUAUAUUCUAUGUGAUCAUGCAUGCACGUUUUUAAUGGAAUUUAAGUUAUAUACAUUAUCGAUAUAAAAAAUAUAUAUACAUUUUAUAUUUAUUUGUUGUAGCAGGUGAAUGGUGAUAACACCAUUUUUUGGACUAUAGGUUUAAUUUUCCAUUCAUGAGCCCACUUUGGUCUGUAGAAGUGAAAUUUCUUCCUCUCAUAUUAUAUUAGUGUUGAGUUUUGCUCUUAAAAGUCUUUCUUGAUUUGUGUGCUCCUUAUUUAAUAUUUAAAAAAACUUGUUGAAUUUUGAGGGAAUAUCUCAUAAAGGACAAUAUCAUAGAUAUGUUUUAAGCUUUCAAAAUUUUUCUAUAAUUUUCAAGAUCAAAUAUUUUUCUAUAACAUUUCCAAUAAGGAUGGCAUAAAAAGUGCUCCAUGCUCUUUUUUGAGAUUAAAUUUAUACUGUCAGUCAAAUACAUAAUAUAUAAUAUAAUCUUGAAUAUUCCACACGUACCAAAAUGACUCAAGAUUUAAUUGUCAAACAACUAGGAAUUAUUCCACUAAUCUACAACUUAUAAGUAAUAAACAAUAUAUCGUAAUCACUAAUUAUUUCUCAGAAAAGAAAUUGACUCAUGUUGUUUCUCAGAGAACAUAAAAUAAACAAAACUUUGAUAAACAAAUUAAAAUUUGAAACUAAAAAGUUUGUGAUUGAUAAAUAAACUAAUAAAAAUAAGAAAAUGUAACAUGAUAAUGGAAAAAUGAAAAAGUGUCUCGAUCAUACAUGAAUAAAUACUAAGUAAGUAAUCUUGGAGAGAUCAAGCUUUCUGUGUAAGUGAACCCAUUCAGAAAUUUACCUCGAGGCAAUAAUGUAAAGGGUCCUCUUUGUGUCCUAAAUUUAAUGUCCCUACCUAGUAAAUGUGCGCACCAGAAUAAUAUUUCACCAUUUGCAAACUUAUAUUUUGGUGUGGCUCUAAGAAGAUAACGAUCUUCUAUAGAUAAUAUUGCAUUCCAAGAUUCCUUGAGAUUAUAAUCUCUCAUUACCCAUACCUUAAAAGGACGGAUCCCCUGAUCACACGUCUUAGAAUAAGCACAAAGCAUUCCUUCCAAUAUAGAAAUUCCAGUACUGCCGGUCUUCAACAAGCAUAUUUCCUCUGGCAAUGAUAUCUCUCCAUACAUUUCAUGAGAAAUAUUAAAUGAAACCACAAAGUAUUUUUUUGAAUAAAACCCAAUCCAAUGAAAUGUCCCAUGUAUAAAUGCCAAAGAAUCCAUACCAGACACCUUAUUGCCAGUGACACGAGGAUGUUCACCAAUUUUUCGCCAAGAACCACUUUUUAGUGUGAAAAUUUCAUCAGGCACUUUGUGAUUAUCAAAUUCAUUCCCCUCAAUUUUUAGAAUCUUAUACUCACCACUACUUGAAUCAAGACCCAAUCCCAAACAAGAAGUUAAUCCCUCUGAAAAUUCUGGAAUGGGAAGUACCAUUGAUUCUCUCGUUGAGGGAUUCCAUAACAAAAGUAUAUUGGGCUCAACAGUAUUUUCAAGAACUUUAAUAAUAAACAAGCCAUUACAACCAUUAUAGAUUGUGCAAAACCGUGGUUCAAUGUUUAGAGGAAAAUUCAGUUUAUGUGUAUCCUCAACCAACUGAACCGGCGAUAAAGAACAAGAGUAUAUGGGAAAUUCAUCUUCCUCAAUGUAUUGUUGGUAAAAAAGAAAUUUUUGAGAAUUCUGAUCAUUCUUUGCAUGGUUGAGAUGUUUCAUCCUAAAAUAUGAUUCAUCAAUUAAUGUUUUCCAAAAUUUUGAAACACAUUUAAAUCGAAGAAGAGACUGCACAGGUAACCUGCUGAGGAUGUCACUAAGUGUGCCCUCUUCAAAGUAAACUUUCAUGGCCUAAAUAGGAAAAAAAGUGAUAUUAGACACUUAGCUUACUCUUAAAAAUGUCAAAAUAUUUAUACCAUUUCAAUCAAGAUAUUAAAAAGAUAAACCUAGAUUGAUCUUUUUCUAUUUAUUAUAAUAAAACAAACAAACGGAGUAAUGAAAUUUAGAAAAAAAUUGGUGGAGGAAAAUUUUCAAGACCAUAGUAGUGGCAACAAGAGAGAGCAACACAUGAGCCAAUUACUUUAAGCAUUUUCAACAUAUUUGAUGUUUAAGUGAAGACAUAAAUUUAUCACCUAACACUAUUUAUAAUGUGACUUACAUUUUUAUAUUUGAAACUUUUUUUUUUUUUGGUUUGUAAAAGGAGUUAAUUUAUUUAUAUAUAAUAUGCAUCCAUACAAUCCAGGUGGCUAGAAGCAUUACUAUUGAUACUUGGUAAUGAUACAUCACUUUUCAACUAGCUUUUUCAGUUCGGUAUUAAGAAAAAUAUUUUCUUACUUUUUUUCUUUGUUUCGUAGGUUUGUAAAUAAUAUUAAUAGCAAUUGAUGAAGUAAAUUAAAUUGAAUUUUUUUUUUUUUUUAUCGUAGCAACAAAACACACCUAGAAUCCAAGUCAAAUCGAUAACAAAUUCCAAUAAAUGAACUCAAUUGAUGUAUAGUGAACUUACAUGAUCUAGAAUAUCCACUGAGUUUGCUUUCUUUGAAGACUCCAAAACUAUUUGUCAUGCAUUUAAAAUUGAAUAAAAUUAGCUCAAACACGCACUAUUAUUAUUAAAGAAAAUUAAAACACACAACAAAAAUAAACAUAUACCUUUAGGAGUUUGAUUGGAAAAUUUUAAUUUCUUUUUCCGUUGGCGAUUCAACAUCUUUAGAGCUUUGAUUUGAAUGUUACAAUUUGUUUUUUGUUUUUUUUUAUGUAUUGAUAGGAUUUGAUUGUUUGGUGGCCUUAUUUAUAACACAAUUUCAUUUGUUUUUGGGAAAAACAUAAAUACACUACCAAAAAGAAUUUUUUUGAUUAUUUAUCCAUAUUAGUACCAUCCAUCAAAAAGUAACACUAUAUUAUUUUCCUUUAAUAUCCAUCUUCCAUAUUUAAAAUUAUAAUAAUUUAAUUUAAAAUCUACAAUUCUAUUGUUUUUAGAAAAAAAUAUAAAUAUACCGCCAAAAAGAGAAUUUUUUAUAAUUUAUCCAAAUUAGUAUUAUCCAACAAAAAGUAACACUAUAUUAUUUUCCUUUAAUAUCCAUCUUCCAUAUUAUCAUAAUAUUUAAUUUAAAAUGUAAUGUUCAUUUUGAAACUACAAUAUUCAAUUAAAGAAUACAAUAUCCAACUCAUACUAUAACAAUUAUAGAAUUCAAUUCAAAAGUAAAAUAUUCAAUGAAGUAGAUUAUAUAAUUUAAAACUACAGUAUUCAAUUUUAAAAUACAAUAUUCAAAUAAAAAUUAUCAUAGACAUCUCCAUUUUAUCCUCUUUUAUUCCAUUUGUAUAUAUUUCUCUAUUUCAUUGCAUUUGUGUAUCUCUCAUUUAGUUCAUCCUCUUUUAUUCCAUUCUCUAAAUCGUUUUAAUUGAAAAUAAUAUUUAUAAAAUAUCUCUUUCUUUUAUACAUCUCCAUGGAUUAAAUAAGAUAAUGAUCAUCAAUUUUAACUUGAAAUAUAUGACAAAUAUUAUAGGUAGACUAACAUAAUGUAUCUCAAAUAAACGGGUGAUAUACAUUUUAAUAGACAUUAAAAUGUAUACAUAUUAUUCCGACUAUACAAUAGCUCAGUAUCAUAUUAUUCUAUCUAUAUAUAUAAAAUAAUAAUAUGCAUUCAUAUUAUUUCAGUCAUGCAUACUUAUCAUAUGGAACAAUACUGCUCAAGCAAACUCUGAAGGAAAAAAAAUAAAAUUAAUAAUAAUUGUCAUUUUUCUUACAAUAAUAAUAAUUUUUUUAUAUGGUAUGUGCCAACAAUAAAAACAAUAAUAUAUCUGAUGAAAUUUCAAAUAAUAAGAUUGUCAUGAUUUAAAAUCGGAUCAUGAAUUGAUGACACCUAUCUUUGUAAGUCUAUGAUAUAUAUAUAUAUAUAUAUAUAUAUAUAAGUGUCACGAUCCAGACCGUUGUGAUUGACACCCACUCUAACUCUCCGGUGGGAGAAUCAUUACUACAACCCAAGCUGGACAAUUUAAUAAAAAACUAUGCAUUUAAAGAUAUGAAAACAGGUUUAAAUAACUAUAUAAUUAAUAUUGAGUCCCCAUAAACUCCAAAGGUUUUACCAAACAAAUAACUAAUCAAACUAAUGCGGAAGAACAACCCCUAGAACCUGAAAGUCAUUGUAUCAAACUCUACUAACGACAAGUCUAAGAACAAGGGGUACAACCCCGAAACUAAACAACACCUUAACAAAUAGUAUGAGUCUGAAAAGAGUGGACUUAAACAAGGAAGAUCCAUGGCAGCCUGAAAGAAUUGGCUCACCUUUGAAUCUGGUCACGCUCAAUAGUCACCUAGCUAAGGUCUAUCAAUAACCACUUGAAGAUGCCAUGUACUCAACAAAGAAAGAGCAAGUACAGAAUCAGUACACAACCACAGUGUACUGGUAGGAUCAGGUGGCUAUCCUAAUAAGUGAAACACAUGCAAGUAACCAUAACAUUAUAAAACAGGCAUAUACCGAACAUAUGCAAUAUUAGUCAUCUUUUCAGGAUCAAUGUAGCAUCCCACAUUCUCAAUAAUACACAUUGGUUAUUAAUUUAUAGCAACAUACAGUCUUUCAAUAUCAAUCAUCAUUAGAUAUGAACGUAAUCAUCACAAGUAGAUACACAACAUAAUUCAAUGGUCCUAUCAUGGAACCUCAUUCAAUGGUUCUCUCAUGGAACCCACACCCAAACUGUUAGCAUACCGGAAAGUGGUACCCGAUCCAAUGUUUAUGCCAGAACGUGGCAACCGAUCCCAUAUUUAUGCCAAAACGUGACAACCGAUCCCAGUUAGUGUGUCGGAUCGUGACACCCGCCCAUUCAACAAACCACAAUCACAAUCACAAUGUAUAUUCUCACAAUCAUACAACAAGACGUGAUUCAUGGCAUACAAUUAUUCAAUUAUCCUCAUUUAUGAUUAGGGUGAUCAAUAAUGCAACGUUCGCAUACAAACAUGCAUUAUAAUGAAGCGAUUACAAACUUAUAUCACACCAACGUGAAAUCACAACCAUUACCUACCUCAAAAUAAACUUGAAACCCUAAGAAACUUGAUCCUUCCUUUUUCGGAUUCGUUCCGCUUGUUCUUGGUCUACAAACAACAAUUAUAAUACGAGAAUCAAUAAACGAACACUAAUUACCUGAAUUACUAACAAUUCUAUCAACCCUAGAUCAAUCCAUGAUCUCAAUUAGGGUUGUUUCCACCAUGAAUUCUAGAUCAAUCCCCCCCAUUGAUAAUAACCCAAGAUAAUAGGUUCUACGGAUCAAAAAAUGGAUUAGGGGAGUAAAGUCCUUACCUUUAGUGCUAAAAGAGGUGGAAAACCUUUAAGAAAUAGCCCUGGGUUAUUUCUUAGCUCUUAAGAAUGAACUUUUGCAGAAAAUAACAUUUUUUGAGGGUUUUACCCUAUUUAAGUCGUGACUUUCCUGCGACGGCGGGACCCAUCCCGAUACAGUUGGAUCCAUCCUGCUACAGCUGGAUGCACGGAGACAAAAUGUUACCCGUUCACGCUAAGAUCAUUUUCGAGAGUUCUACUCGUCCAAAUUCAAUUCCGUAAAGUCGUACGAGUUCCUUAACGUCUUAACUAUAUACUUAUAUGGUCCAAAUCAUAAUUAGAUCUUUCAUUCAUUACCAGAUUUACCUAAGCUUUGCUGACUUCGAUUUCGUCCAAAUCUGGACUAGACUAGGAAAUUCCAAGUUACUACCAAAAAGUUUUCUGACCCCAAUUCUUUUCCCAUUGACUUUUCCCUAACGACGAAAUCAGGUCGUUAGAAUAGAUACCAAUUUACCCAUCACUCGUCCCCGAGUGAUCAACUAGAAAAGACUGGCUAAAGUAAGGGUAUAGUAGUACCUGAAUCGCUAAACAAUCGGGGAUACUCGACUCGCAUGUCCUUAGCUUUCGGACAUUACGAUCAAGAAUUUCAACCAGUUCUUCCUCAUACAGAAGGUCUUGGUUAACAAAAUGAGUCUCACUUUAUGAUAUAAUCUUCAUCUCCAAACUAACCAAUUGAAUACUUACACAUCCUCCCAUACAAUGUCUCAAUGAAUUCAUCUCAAUACUCGAGUGAUAAAUAUUAUUAUAUGUAAACUUAACUAACAACAAAAGCGAUUCUCAAUAACCAUCAAAGUUGAUCGUGUAACAUCUUGCACCUAGAAAUGACUAUAAAGAGUUUAAAAUAUGAAAAUAUUGAUUUUUGGAAAGAAGAAGGAAAUCUGAAAAUUUUGUCUAAGUUAAGAAAGUGAGUUUUGGCCAUUUUCAAACGGCCAUAAAUCCUAGAUUAGGAGGAGUUAGGAUCAGAACGUGAUAUGGUUGGAAAUCCCUUGGAGAUAUCUUUCCAACGCCUCCAAGAGUGCACGAUUUCGACAUCGUAUGAGUGAGAUAUGCCUUUCGGAAGUUGGGUUGUUGGAUUGAGGAAAGUCCCAAUCCGGAUUUAGGGCCGGCAAAGCAGUCUUUUCUCUAAUUAAUUUCCUAAUUUGAUUUUAGGGAUUUACUGGGGUAAAAACAUGACUUAGUCAGUUUGGAGAAUUGAGAAAUACGCUUAGGGCUUGGAGAAGAGAGAAAAGAAGAAAAAAAGGGAGAAAAAAAGCAAGAAUUCGUCAAAAUCAUCCAAACUUGCGAGUGGAAUUCGUCGGGGGUGAUCCCUAUUAAGGUAUGUGAGAUCUUUUUGUGUUGGGUUAGUUCACCCACACACCAACUUGUUUCAAUACAAUUGUUUUGAGUUGUUUACAUGUUGAAGAAGUAAGGUUCUUGAAGAACAAAUUGUAGAAUUCUUGUUGGUUGAGUUGUUGAUGCUUGGGGCUGAGUUGAUUCAUGUUUCCAAGUUGUUUUUCGAGUUAGAUUGGUUGUAUAUUGAGGGUACAAUUGAUCCUAAGUGUUUUGGGGAAGGAACUAUGGAAGUUACGGAGGUUUAGAAAGGAAGAACGAAAGAGAAAAGUCGGAAGUCGCUGGGCAAAAGGGCAAGGGCGCCGCGCCUGCCAGAGUGCCACAAAAACUUCUCUGAAGUUUGGCCUUUGGCAUGUCACGCCAGCCAGACUUCUCUGAAGUUUGAGGGCUGGCGCCCUGCGCCUCUCAGAGCUCCAGGGACGCCAGGUCUCCCCAUUCGUUCCCCACCUUUUCGUACUUGUUCCUAAGCAAUGUACCUAUGUUUUCUAGUUGUUUCAAACAAUCUAAGGUACAUCUAAACAUCAUGAAAUCAUCCAUAAACAUGAGAUCAUGAACCUUGAAUCCAUAAUCCAAUUCAAGGAAAGUUAAGAUCAAAGUCAAAGAAGUUAAGAGUCAAAGUCUAGAAGUUAAGAAGCAAGUCAAAACCAAGUUUCUUAAAGUUUUCAAGAGUCAUUAACAAACGUUUUAACUUCGUUUUUAGGCUAAGUGUUAAGUUAAGCAAAAAGUAAAGAGUUGAGUUCAUUUCUCAAAAAGCUAUAAGGGGACUAAGUAUUCCCAAAGAGUUUAUAAAUGUUUUCACAUCUGAGCAAGAAAGAGAACAUCGAUUCCAAGAGAGCUUUUAAGCUAAGUUUUGAGUAAUUAUCUCAAUUCAAAAAAAGAGUUUUGAUUUUACAAACAUAUGAGCUAAGUAUAUUUUGGGAGUAGUAUUGAACACCGAUAUGGGGAUGCGAGUUCAUAUUAACUCAAGCCUCCAUAAACCAUGUAGCCAUCCUGGGUAGUAAAUGAUCAUACUUUUAAGAUGACUCCUUAAGAUGCUUUUAACAUAGACUAGUGGAUCCAUUAAUUUAAGCGUUCUAUAUGAUGACAAAGUAUAAGACAAUUCUGGCAGUGUGGGCAAGACGCUGUAUCACCACUUAGGCUCAUAGUGGUGAUUGUCGGUUAGAGAAUCUCCCAUAAAAGUUGUAGUACUUUUAUAUUUAGGUACAAUUGAGUUUGUUAUUGCUUUAUCUUUAACAAACUAAGUUGUUUACACUGUUUUACAAGCUUUAUAUAUAUUAAAUGUGUCUUAUUGCUUUAUAUUGAGUUCAGUUAUUCAUGAGUUAAAAGAGCCAAGGUAAGUAUUCCUUUGUACUCCUUUCAAGCUUAAGUUGUUGUUUAGCUUUCCAACUCGCAUACUCAUACAUUCAAUGUACUGAUGCCAGUUGGCCUGCAUCUUAUUAUGAUGCAGACACCGGUAACCAGGAUUAGCAUCCAGCACAUCGUUGAUCCAGUUGAGUACUCCAGAGUCAGUGGUGAGCCUCCUUGCAUUCUGGAGGACUCUGUUAUUUCGCUUUCCUAGUUUUGCUUUAUUAGGAUGUUGUGGGGUCUGUCCCAACAUCCAUCUCAGUAUUAUAGAGGCUUCAUAGACAGUCAGAUAAUUAGUAUUAAGUCUCUCAUCUAUGUAUUUGCAGAUACUUUGUUUUGAGACAUAAGUUGCCAUUUUGGCUAAGAUGUUAUCAUUUAAAUUAUUGCAUUGAGUUUAUUCUGUUGAGUUAAGUCUUCCGCUGAGUUAAGUAAGCUAGACCAAAGGUCCGCUUGGGGCCAGCGAUGGUCUCCGAGUGCCGUCCAUGUCCAGGGUGUAGGCUCGGGGCUUGACAGAUCGCACACAUGUCUGCAAAAUAUUGUCAAGGACUUGACACAAACAUUAGGAUGAAUUCUUUCUCACAUAACCAUGAUAAAAUCCAAAAUCAAAACUCGCCACAAUUAGAGGUGAACCUAAACCAACUAACACACGCUCAUGAUACUCAAACAAUCAUAGUUCUUAUCAACAUCUCCAUCCCAUAACAUAAAUUCCCAUGAGCUUAGGUUACAUAAAUUUCAAUCUUUAGACAUCAGAUACUCCUUAAGGGAAGAUAUGUCCACACAUACAAACCACCCAACAACACUAUAAAAAUGCCAAAUUUAGUAAUUCUAGAUUACCUCUUAAGAAUAAUAGAAUUGGAUUCAAUGAUCCCCACAUUCAACCACACAUAAUCGAUACAUGACCUCGACGACAAGAUGAAAUAUAAGAUUGUCGGACAAGCAUAAAUACUCAUGGUAGCUUUUCUAUAAAUUCUCACAAGCAAGGUGGUACAUGUAGGAUGAUGAGUCCAACAAUUAGACUCAUUUAGGGCUUUAUUUUAAUACAAAUAGUGUCCUCAAAUGCUCAUUUAUUCUAAAUAUCUUAUGAAAACACUUAAGUUUCAGGUAUUUGAAGUUUUAGUGGAAGCAUGGACACUUAGGCGCAAAAAGGAACAAAAAGCCUGAAAAGAACGAAGAAGCUGAAGCCUGACGAUCGCCAAGCACACUUGGUGAUUCACCGAAGGGACACAUUCCACCUUUUGUUUCAGUACGCGAGGCCCUGAAGGAGCAUGAUCAAAAAGGCGAUGAAAGGAGCAAUCGGCGUAUCGCCGAAUAGUUUCGUGAAGCAGUACUAUGUCGCCCAAUGACACAGAGCACUACGAUGUUGAAGGCUAGUGCAAGACGGUGACGAACUACACUAAAGGGUGAAUUUUCGAAUUAAUCAACGAUUUCGAUUAACCUCGUCGAACGAUCCGCCAACACUAAUUUCUGAUGUCUAUAAAUACUAAACUUGUUAUUAAUUUUUAGAGGAGUCGAACAUUUAUUUUAAUUUUCACAAUAAAAUAGUACUUUUGGGAUAUAUUUUCUCUCAAGUUUGGAGAGGGUUUUUGGGAGACUUGAAGAAAAAAGGAUUUCAUCUUCCCCAACUUGGAAGGGGUCUUCUCCAUUCUUCUUCCUUUGCUUAAAUCAAAGUUUAAUUCCUUAUACCCAGUUGAUUUUAAUAACAUUUUAGGUGUAUUUUGUUAUGUCUUGAUGUGUGGCAAAAAACCCCAUUCUUGGGGUGUGAUUUAGCAAAUAUGUGUUGAUAUUAUUGUUGGGUCUUGCUUGCUGAUAUGUUAGAUGUAUUUUAAUGGUGAUUUGACCUAGUGGUUGUGGUUUGAUUUAAUAGGUUUGUAGUUGCAAAUACAAAACCACCCAUGUGUUUUUGGCUUGCCCGAGAGGGAGAUCGCGAAACCAAGAUCACUAGACUGAUGGCCUAAAGAGUGUGUCGGCAUGAGGUUCAAUCCUAGUCCCAUAUCCUAACACUCAUCUCGAGAGAGUGAGUGGGGUAAGGCGUAGGCUGACCUUCAUCCGGCAAAUUGGUGCCCAAGAGGAACGCAUUUGAAAUGGGGUAUGUUGCCCGACAGGGAACUUAUUUCCAUCUAAAGCUUAGCCUAGUUAGUAUUAUCUUGCAAAUUUCCUAUCGAAAAGAUAUACCCAACGAUUUAUCUCAACUUGUGUUGCAGUCACACCCCAAGAACUUGUCCCCAUACUUGAUUUUCUUGUUAUAUUUGUUGUUUUUACUACUUGUGACAAAACCCCCAAUUGAUAUUUGACACUUUUGUGUCACCCCCUUUUAAUUACUAUAUUUUUAAUUGUUAAUGUCUUUAUCUACGACUAGUUUGAACUAAAUUUUAUUUCUCUAGUAAUUCUCAAACCUACUCCCUUGGGACAUGACCCCAAUCCUUGGUUGGGUUACUAUAUUAUCAACGAUCGUAGACACUCGUACUGUAUGUUAGUGUCGUUGGUCACGAUAAGCAUCAAAAUGGCGCCGCUGCCGGGGAGUGGUGUUAUUUGAAAUUUUUUAGAUCAAUAGAAUUUUUGUUCUUAUUAGUGGUAGUUCACUAAUUUAAUUCGUAGUUUUGUUUUUUAAGUUGUCUGAAUCUAAACAGGGGAAACAAGCAUGGAAAGAAAUAUUCGGUUACCAAUGGAGUUUUCUCCAUUAGCGGUAAUGAUGUAUCGAAAUAGUAUCCUAACCUUCAAGCAAUUGGAGGAUGGGCGGAUCCAUGAGACAUGGGCAAGAUUCAAUGAACUACUAACUCAAUGCCCUACUCAUGGAAUUCCCGGUACGAUCCUCCUCGAUUGCUUUUACCGAAGUCUUGGCCUCAGAAACAAGAUGAUGGUCGACCAACUCCUUCUUGGCGGGACAUUAAAGCAGCCAUAUGCAAUAGCAGUCCAACUGCUUGACAAUAUGGCUAAAAUGAGCCAAGAGGUUGAAAAAGAUUUCUUGAUGACCGCACUAAACAGUCAAAUAGAUGAGUUAAAAAGAAAUAUGGUGAAGGUCUAAGCUCAUUGCAAAAGGACAGAUAAAUACAUCCCCCAUUAUAAUAGAAGAAAUAUGAGAACAAGAAGAUUAAACGCAUCGAUGGAAUGCUCUCAACGAUUCACCACAAGGUGACCGAGCAAGACAAAGAGAUGGAGGGACUGAAAGAAGACAUCGAAGGAAUGAAACAAAUUAUUUGGUCUCAUUCUAAAGUUGUCCAACUACUCGAGAAGUUGAUGAGUCAUGCAUUGCCUCAACUCCAUCUGCAGAAAAACAAGGGUGGCCUAAUAAGGACACGGCCAACCUCAAUAACGAAACUUGAGCAAACACUUGCGUCGUGCCACGACGGCAAAUAAGGAGCUUCUUGGGAGGCAACCCAAGGUCUUAAAUGUUUAGGAUUUUACUUUUAUGAAUAAUGGUGUGUUAAUGUUGCAGGUUAAAACGAGGAAAGUGUGGAAAAUUUCAAGUUGGCAAGCAGAAAAUCCAUUUCGCGAGUCGCUAAACAGGUCGACAAGCUCGACUAGAUCCGCUGUUUGGAUCAAUACAAGCGUUGUAUAGAGCUUGUAAAACUCAGCGAACUCAAAAAGCAGCUCAGCGCAUCCUCAACAAGUUUGGCGAUCUCGAUGCAGACCGUCGAAUUCACCCUCUGAAAAUUUAAGAUUUUGGAGAAAGGGUGAGAUAAAUGACCUCUCGGCGAAUCGCCGAGUGGGUUGGCGAGUGCGACUAACAUCGCCAAAUGGACAUAAAUUAAACAACAUAUAUUGCCAACAAUCGCACUUAUUCAUUCGUUCUCACUUUCAAACUCCAUAACUUCACACCAAGGUAGUAAUUUACAUUUUCUCACAUUAAAUUAGUAUUUUAGUCACGAAUUAGUGCUUGGAACUCAGAUUUUCGUUGCUGCCUAGCAUUACAAUUUUGUUCACUCAGCAAAAAUGUUAGUUUCUGAAAAACCUAUGUUCGCUCUUGAAAAGAUAAACCUCAUCUGUAAUCUAGAUGCCCAUUAAUGUGUGUUAGAUCUCUCUGAUAUGAGUAGAAAUUCUCGAAUGCCUACUUCUGAUUUGUAAAUUUGGGGACUAUUUGCUUUUACUGUUCGAAUUCCUUUUUCACUCUGCUUACCUUGAAACUAAAUGUUGUGAACUAUGCAUAAUGGGUGUUGACCAUGAUUGGGUGUUGUGCGUCUGGGCUGAAUUUCAUUUCUGCAUAGUUUAAUUUUGUUUUUGGGGUUUGUACGAUCGAUUUUGAGAAGUGAGUUGAAUCUCAGGCACGUUAAGUCAGUUGGCAAGCUGAGUUGAGCUCACCAAAUCACUCUGUGGUUCACUUACUAACCCUGAAUCGCCUUUAAUUUCACAUCUUAAGUGGUGUGGGCUCUAUAACCUUAGGCGGACAUAUGCAUAAUCACCAAAGAGGUUUGGCAAUUCGCUGAGUAAAUCGACGAGUAUGUCUGCAAUUUUGUGCUACAAUGUAAUUACUAAUUACUCUCUCUAACGUUUUACAGAUAUGGCCAAACAACCAACCAAAGGAAGGGAGAAAGGAAUUGUGAUCAGUGAAAAUGUACCUCCACCUAGGGGCAAGGCCACCUCAACUUCAAAAAGCAAGGGGAAGAGCAAAGCCCUCAAGUUAUCCGACGCAAGCUCUGACAGAACAUACUUGUACACAGCUGAGCCACCCACAUAUAAUAGUGAAAGUGCUAGGUCUGACGAAGACUACCAGACAAAGGCAAUGAGGGCUGAAUUACGAUCCAAAAUGAUACAUGAUCCAUAUCGGAUCAGAAAUAGUCAAAUCACCACUUCAACUCCUCCAGCUCCAGAGCAAGCAUUAGUGUUGGCACCUCCAGUACAAGGUCCCCAGCAUGGAUUAACGAACAGAUCAAAGACGGAAGGUCUGAGAACGAUCAUUGAGGAGAAAUGACUUUCCAUAGACGGGGUUAUUGAUAGGUAUCCAGAGGUGAUGGAUUGCCUGAAACACCACAAAUUCCAAAUCUUCACAAGACAUCGCGGCUCUUACAUACCAAGCUAGUUUAGAGAGUUCGACGACGCAUAUAGUGCAUUUGAACCUCAACGGAAAAGGCUAGUCUCAUCUUUUAAAGCAGUUGACUACGUGGUUGUCAGAAGAAGAAAGGUAGCUUGUGACAGUAAGACUAUUAACAUAACUUUGGGUAUGUCCAAUAAAAUUAAUGAUCACUGCCAACACUUGAUCAGGAUACAGAAGCUAGAUGUGACAAAAAAAGUGGUUAGCUCCGCUAGUCUCAGAUGAUAAUGCUCCGACAUGGUUAGCAGAAAAAGUUUCGAUUAAGAAGAAAAAUCUGAAUGUAGCUGCACGAUACUAGUUCGGAUUCAUCAGCAGCACAGUUAUGCCAUCACAGAAUGAAUCAAUCCUUCGCCAUGCUAAGGCAGCUUGUCUUGGAUGCAUCAUGGAGAAAACCAGGAUAAAUCUCGGGAUGAUCAUUGCCUCUGAGAUCCAUAUGCGUGCAAAUCAAAGCUAGACAUCUUUCCCUUUCCCGAUAUUAAUCACUGAAUUAUACAAAAGAACUCGAGUGCCUAGAGAUGCAACGAAGGAUAUGGAAUUGGCUGCUACCGCCUCCACCAGUAUCCAAAAGAUCGAAGCCGAAUAUCUUAAGGACCAAGCAGAAAAGAAACAUAAGGAAGUUGUGGCCACUAGAUCUAUACCUGCAGAAGCAUCUUUGCCUACUCUGGCCCCUGGGCCUUCAGGUAUAUCAAAUGUCAUUACCACUCAUUCUAACCAUACAAGUCCCUUUGCUGCUUCAUUACCACCCAGACAUACGGCUGCCGUUGCCUCCUGUGAGCCGAUCACUCAGGGAUCCUUGAUCCGAAUGGGACAGCUUGCCCAAUCUGCUAAUUGUCAGACUGCCAAAAUAUAAAGCUCAGUUUCUGGCAUGAUUCAGGUUGCCUUCGACGAUACUGUGAGACCACUAAACAUUAAUAUUGAUGCUUUAGAGGCCAGGAUAGUAGUGUGUGAGCACGAUCAAGGAGCCAUAGAGGAAGUAAUAGCCUUAAAGGCCGCGAUUGCAGAGCUGAAGAAAGAUACGAACUACCUAAAGUCCACCGAUAUAUCCAUGAUCUUUGGAACAGUGGAAAUUCCAGAUGUGCCCGAAAUGCUUGCAGGACAUGGAGAUGGAAUGGAGCAUACAGCCGAUCCUGAAUCAGAGGCAGAAACUGACGAAGAAAUGUUUGAGGAAGUUGCAGCGGAUGACAUAGCCGAGACUGAAGAAAUCAUGAUAGAUGUUGUUGUGCAAGCUUCUUUGACAAAGUCUCCUACUGCUGGAUCCAGUGGAGCUAGUCUUUCUGGUGGUCACUCCGGGUACUGAUGCCAGACAUAUGAAGCGAACGAUUAGCCAGGACUCCUUCUUUACCUCCCUCUUUGUAUUUCUUUAUUUUGCCUUUCAGAUUCUGUGUUUAUUUGCAUUUGAGGACAAGCGCUCUUAUUUGUGGUGGGGUGAUGCCCACCUUGUUUUGCUUGUUUCAGAUACUUUGUUUUGGUGUACAUUUGGGUUGUCUGUUUUUAAUUGUGUUUAUAAAACUGCUUUGCGAUUAUUUGAGCUUGUGGCUCCAUUUUCGUUUAUUUUUUAUCGAAAAAUGAUUUUAACCCUAUUAUGACCCUCCCUAAAUUUUUUGAAUUUUUUGCACAUUUUCGCCACCCCUUGUGUUGAAAGUAGUUGUUCUUGUACAAAUUCAAGUAUCGGUUUCAAUCAAUACCGAUGACUGGGAUAGUGCUCUCAAUCGAACAAACAUGAAUGUACGGCUACGAUGAGGCAAAAUGAAGUUGCAUAGACAAUAUGGUAACUCUUUGAAUCUCGUUGUGAUUAGCCAUUUAUCGAAUUAUUUCUCUUGUAAUGACCGUUGCACACUAGCGAAAGUGUGUAGUCUUGUUUGACUUAAGUGUCGAUGCCUUCUGUGAUGAGCUUACUUUGAACCAUGCAUGAAUAAACCUAGAAUUUGCCCCGUUAGUCUGAUUGAUUUAGUAAGGUGUGCUCUUGAAAUGAUCUUAGGCAACUUUAAAGAGUGUGAGUCGAUUUGACAUAUACCUCUUUUGUGGCCUACUCUUGAGCGUGUGAAACUCUUUUGAACAUCCUAUGAGCCUUACCUCUUUUUGGAAGAAUCUUGAUGAACCCUAGACCUUACUUGACCCACUACCUAUAAUCCUUUUGAUUUGUGAUUUAGUGAAUAGCCAACUUAGGCCAAAAGCCUAAGUUGGUGGUGUGGUGAAACGGAAAAUGAGAAAUCAAGAAGUGCAAGAAAAUUCCCCCUUAACCCAUGGUGUUGCAGAACAAUGGAAACCCCUAAAAAAACAUAUUUGUGGAAUAAAGUGUCAAAGAAAUCGGGUUUCCAAGCAAUCCAUGGAGAUGAAUAAAAAGAUGACUUAGAAGCACUAGAAAAAGAAUUGGUAAAGAAAAUGAAAGGAAUGCCUUGAGAACACCACAUCUCAUGAUGAUGAAAAGUCACUAAGCCUAAAUGACCAUACCUUUGCACUCAGCCCCAUUACAAGCCUUAAAAAGACCCUUUCGAUCUUGAGUGAGCCGAACCGAAGAUCAAUUGGAAAAUAAGGGCAAGCCUAUGGGUGAAAACAUGCAUAGUGUUCCUCUUUUUGAGUGUGACCGUUGCAAAUGAUUCCUGAUCUUUAAUUGAUUAACCUAUCUGUGUGAACGAGGAAUCAUUCUUUAUGUGAGGGCAUUUAGAUACUUUUUGUUGAGCUUGAACUUGCACAGGUAGCAAGUAUUUCGAGCAUGAGAAUCUUUGAUAAUGGUGUGUCACAACUUGAAUCUUUGAGUACACAGUUGAUCUUUGCAUGGGUAAUUUGAGUUUUGUUGUGUAUAUUCAUGAUUGAGUCUUGUAUAGCACUGUUUUGAGACAUCCUAUUUGAACUGCUGAACUUGAGUUUUACUUGAGAACAACCAAAAGUUUAAGUUGGGGGCGUUGAUGAGUCCACAAAUUGGACUCAUUUAGGGCUUUAUUUUAAUAGAAAUAGUGUCCUCAAAUACUUAUUUAUUCUAAAUAUCUGAUGAAAACACUUAAGUUUCAGGUAUUUGAAGUUUUAGUGGAAUCAUGGACACUUAGGCGCAAAAAGGCUGAAAAGAACGAAGAAGCUGAAGCCUGAGCAUCGCCAAGCACACUUGGCGAUUCGCCGAAGGGAAACAUUCCGCCUUUUGUUCCAGUACGCGAAGCCCUGAAGGAGAAGGAUCAAAAAGAUAAUGAAAGGAGCAGUCGGCAUAUCGCCGAAUAGUUCCGCGAAGCGAGUACUAUGUCACCCAAUGACACAGAGCACGACGAUGUUGAAGGCUAGUGCAAGACGACGACGAACUACACCAAAAGGGGCGAAUCGCCGAAUUAAUCGGCGAUUUCGACUAACCUCGCGGAACGAUCCGCCAGUACUAAUUUCUAAAGUUUAUAAAUACUAAAAUUGUUAUUAAUUUUUAGAGGAGUCGAACAUUUAUUUUAAUUUUCACAAUAGAAUAGUACUUUUGGGAUAUUUUCUCUCAAGUUUGGAAAGGGUUUUUGGGAGACUUGAAGAAAGAGGGAUUUCAUCUUCUCCAACUUGGAAGUGGGUCUUCUCCAUUCUUCUUCCUUUGCUUAAAUCAAGGUUUAAUUCUUUAUACCCAUUUGAUUUUAGUAUCAUUUUAGGUGUAUUUUGUUAUUUCUUGACGUGUGGCUAAAAAUCCCCAUUCUUGGGUGUGAUUUAACAAAUAUGUGUUGGUGUUAUUGUUGGGUCUUGCUUGCUGAUAGGUUAGAUGUAUUUUAAUGGUGAUUUGACCUAGUGAUUGUGGUUUAAUUUAAUGGGUUUGUAGUUGCAAAUAGGGAUAAGGGUAUAAAAAAUACCCCAACUUUGGUCGGAUUUGCUGUUGCGAUACUAAACUUUCAUGAGGACCUAUUACCUCCCUAGAAUAUUUAAUACCGUAUUUUAAAUAUAUAUAUUUGCCCAUGUGGACAUAAAAUAUAAUGCAAAAUUAUAAAUAGUAAUGUAUCCAUGUGGGCACAUAUAUAUCUUUAAAAUACACUAUUAAAUAGUUCAGGGGGUAAAAAAUACGGUAUUAAAUAGUCUUGAGGUAAUAGGUCCCAAUGAAAGUUUAGUAUCGCAACAGCAAAUCCGACCAAAGUUGGGGUAUUUUUCAGACCCUUAUCCCUUGCAAAUACAAAACUACUCAUGUGUUUUCGGCUUGCCCGAGAGGGAGGUCGCGAAACAAAGACCGCUAGACUGAGGGCCUAAGGAGUGAGUCGACAUGAGGUUCAGUCCUAGUCCCAUAUCUUAACACUCAGCUCGAGAGAGUGAGUGGGGUAAGGUGUAGAUUGGCCUUCAUGCGGUAAAUGGGUGUUCCAGAGGAACUCAUUUGAAACGGGGUAAGUUGCCCGAGAGCAUUAUCUUGCAAAUUUCCUAUCGAAACCAUGUACCCAACGAUUUAUCUCAACUUGUAUUGCGGUCACACCCCAAGAACCUGUCCUCAUACUUGAUUUUCUUAUUAUUCUUGUUGUUUCUACUACUUGUGACAAAACCCCCAAUUGAUAUUUGACACUUUUGUGUCACCCCCUUUUAAUUUACUAUAUUUUUAAUCGUUAAUGUCUUUAUCUCGACUAGUUUAAACUAAAUUUUAUUUCUCUACUAAUUCUCAAAACCAUUCCCUUGGGACACGACCCCAACCCCUGAUUGGGUUACUAUAUUAUCGACGAUCGUAGAUACUCGUACUGUAGGUUAGUGUCGUUGGUCACGAUAAGCAUCAUAGGACUACUAACAUACUUUAACAACUCCAAGACAACGCCAAUUAUGACAUUCGAAAUAACCAAAUCUUCCCAAUCUUCCCACUCCAUCAAGGGAAUAUCGCAGGAUUGGUACCCAUGAUCCACCACUAGGGAUCCACCCACAAAAGUUAAAACACACGUAAUCAUUGCUAGUGAAACAUACUCACUAUACUAACAACCAUCAUAAGCACUCCGACCAUUUACUUUAUUAUAAACCAACACUUUUAAAUGAAAACCUUUCUUAGGUAUUUAACAAUCAACAAAAAUGAACCUUACGACUCAACCCAGGUGUUAGUCCUUUCAAAUGCUCAAUACCGAAUACAAUUGAUCAUUCCUCACCUAGCUAAUUCAUACCUUGACAAAAUACAUCAUCACGAAUGUAGACUUACAAUGAAAAAUAUGAAUUGUUCCACUGUAUAACACAAUCCCUUUCUCUAUCAACAUUAACUUGUACCUUGAAGAUUCUUAUGAAUUCAUAGAUCUUCGCUUAUCAUUGAUCGCAUCUCCAUCGAUCUUACAAUAUCCUUCGGUAAAUUUCAAUCGUACUCAUUACUAAACUCAAAACAAAAACAAAGCACUUAUCAUCACACUCGAGCUAAUGUCUGUACACUCAUUUCUCAAGUGUUUUUCAAUAGUUUUUAACCAAUCCGACAGACUUGUUACAUUACUACCAUAGCCACAGCAACACGAAUGAGAUCACACGUCUCUGAACCCAAUUAUCUACCCCUUUGAAGAUAUCUAUUUAUCCUUUAGAAUCCAAUAAAAAAAGUUUUACUACAUUCUACUAUAUUUUCCUUCAUUAUAACUCUAGCUCUUUAACAUUCUAUUUGAGUGGUGUCCUACCAUCUCUUAUAAUUUUCCAUACAACCACGUUACUCACAAAGUAUUAGGAAACCACAACCUUAGAUACUCGCAAGUCGUAAUUACUAGACACAAAUUUGCUUAACCAACAAUUUUAUUAUAUAGUUGCAUAAAGUAUUAGGAAACCACAACCUUAGAUACUCGCAAGUCGUAAUUACUAGACACAAAUUUGCUUAACCAACAAUUUUAUUAUAUAGUUGCAUCCUGUCACAAUCUAUCACGAACUCUUAUUACCAUUACGCUCAGUCAGCCUUGACUAUCACUCGAAGCCAACAUUUCCUCAACACGACACCUUAAACUCAAGUAAACUCAUCAAAUUCAAAGGACUAACCCCAUUUUUAUACGCACUUUCUUACUAACAUCUUCAAUUGCCUUCACCCAAGUAUACUCAAUGAGACUUUAUUUAUCCAUAAAGUUGUCUUUCUGGUAUUAAUACACUCCUUUAUGGCUAACGAUAAAAUCACCAGUCCUCAUACUAACAUCCUUCUUCCUAAUAAACAAGAAAAGAACAUCCCACGAAGAAGCACUAGGAUGGAUGAAACCUUUAUCAAGAAGCUCUUGGAUUUGAGCCUUAAGCUCUCUUAAUUCUACUGGAGCUAUACGAUACGGAGGGAUGAAAAUGGGGAGAAUGUCAGUUUCCAAGUCAAUGCAGAAAUCUAUAUCUCUAUCCGAAGGCAUACUAGGCAAAUUCGUAGGAAACACUUCCUUAAACUCUGACACCACAUGAAUAGACUCAAUAGAGGGAGAUGAACCUCAACAUUCCGAACAUGAGCCAAAUAAGCCAAACAACCCUGCCCUACCAGUUUCCUAGCCCGAAUAGAGGAUAUGAUCUUAGCUAGAUUAGGCUUGUACACCCCUUCCCACUCUAAUCUUUCCCUAUUGGGGACCUCUAGAGUUAUCGAUUUAGUAUUACAAUUCAGCUCGGUAUAAUAGGGGAACAACCAAGUCAUGCCUAAGAUUAUAUCAAGUCAGUCAUAUCCAGCAUAACCAAUUCAACCCAAAUCUAAAAAUCCAUAAACACAACAGGACAAAAAGAUAUACAUGGGUGACUAUGACUGACUCUUCCACUGGGGUAGAAACAUGGAUGGGGGCAUCAAGUAUAUUAUAAACCACAUCAAAUCUCAAGGUAAUUGAACUGACACAUACAAAUAAGUAGAACCAGGAUUAAACAAAACAAUAGCCAUCCGACACAGACAAAAAAAACUCUUGUGACCACUGCAUCACACCCUCAAACUCGGUCUUACCCGAAAAAAACAUAAAACUGAGCCCUGUCCUCUUGACGAGCAACCUCUUCGCCUGGUUGCACUACUCCUUUACCUACAUUACCAUUUCCCCGGCCUCCACGGCCUCGCUGAUUUUCUCCUCAUAUGCCCAAGUUCUCCACAAUUUUAACAUACUUUAUAACUUAUAUUCGAUUGUUGAACACUGAAUUAGAUCGCGGGGGUUAAUUCGGGUAGGAUUCGGGGUCUGAAUUUGUGAUUAGGAAAACAUGGGAGACAUGGCUGAGAUUCUGUCUCGCCCUGUCUUGCUCUAAAGGGAGGAAUCCCGCAUUGGCGGCCUCGCCUUGGAGGGAAAAGUCCCGCCCCAGCGGCCAAAACGGAAACAGAACCCCUGCCAACAAUUUUUCUGGGGUUCUUUUUUUUUCUAAACUCCACAAAGGUUCCUAGCUUUACUUAGCAAUUUUAGAAUAAUCCUCAUAACUAGAAUAAUCAUUGUCAACCCACGAAGUACUCAGUUUGGAAUCAUUUUACAUCGUUUCAACACUACCACACACAUAUCCCCAGGAUACACCUAGACUCUCACACGGUUAUCAGUUGGUCGCAACACACGUCCAGAUUUUUCGCUUACGAACCACAUCGUAAUUUAUCUAGACCCUUGCACCUAAUCUCGUGAUGACUUUUCUUUCACAACAAGUUUCACAAUACUAAAGCAAUUACAACUUGCAGACAAGUCCAUAUUCUUUAAUUAGUUCGUUCUAUAGAUGACCAUUACUGAUCAUUUAUGCCUUAUAUGGCCCCUAAGGCCAAAUACCAAUUGGAACCUUCUCAGUUCCAAUUAACUUGCUUGUGUCCCUUCAGUCGGGACUACGGCGUUUAGUUCACUUUUUUAAGAUAUCAAUUGGAAUCGGGAGAUACCAAUUGGACUCAACUCAUACCAUAAGCGACAAUAGUAGCUACCAAGCUCCACAAAACUGUUAAUUUCAAUCAUAGAACUUGGUCGAACCCAAUUUUUAACCACCUCAAUCUUUAACUUAUGGUAACCAAACCUUAAAUCAAUCUUAGAGAAAAUUAAUGCACCUUGAAAUUGGUCAAAAAGAUCAUCUAUCUAAGGCAAUGGAUAUUUGUUCUGAAUGGUGACCCUAUUCAACUGUUGGUAGUCUAUACACAUUCUUUUUUGCUAGUGAUGGUGUUACCACUUUUGUUGAUCUAGUUCAGAACAUAGAGUGAAGGAGGAAAGAUAUCAAUUUGUAUCACCCAGAUACCAAUUGGAUUCAAGUCAUAGCAUGAAAGAGUAGAAAGAAGUGAGUUUUUCCUAAAGUCCUAUAGCCUCUCGAAAAAAGUACGGACAUUAUUGUACCAUUUCGCAAGACACUACUAGACUCAUUUUGGUACAAUGAGAUCAACGAACCUAGGGCUUUGAUACCAACUUUGUCAUGACCCAGACCGUCGUGAUUGACACCCACACUAACCCUCUGGUGGGAGAACCAUUACUACAACCCAAGCUAGACAACUUAAUCAAAAACUAUGCAUUUAAAGAUAUGGAAGCAUGUUUAAAUAACUAUAUAAUUAAUAUUGAGACCCUAUAAACUCCAAAGAUGUUAACAAACAAAUAACUAAUCAAACUAAUGCGGAAGAACAACCCCUAGAACCUGAAAGUUAUUGUAUCAAAACUCUACUAACGACAAGUCUAAGAACAAGGGGUACAACCCCAAAACUAAACAACACCUUAACUAAUAGUAUGAGUCUGAAAAGAGUGGACUUAAAUAAGAAAGAUCCAUGGUAGCCUGAAAGAACUGGCUCACCCUUGAAUCUGGUCACGCUCAAUAGUCACCUAGUUAAGGUCUAUCAAUAGCCACCUGGAGAUGGCCUGCACUCAACAAAGAAAGAGCAAGUGUAGAAUCAGUACAUAACUACAGUGUACUGGUAGGAUCACGUGGCUAUCCCAAUAAGUGAAACACAUGCAAGUAACCACAACAUUAUAAAACAGGCAUAUACCGAACAUAUAUAAUAUUAGUCAUCUUUACAGGAUUAAUAUAGCAUCCCACAUUCUCAAUAAUACACAUUGCUUAUCAAUUUAGAGUAACAUACAGUCUUCCAAUAUCAAUCAUUAUUAGAUAUGAACGUAAUCAUCACAAGUAGAUACACAACACAAUUCAAUGGUCCUCUCAUAAACCCUAUUCAAUGGUCUUAUCAUGGAACCCACACCCAAACUAUUAGCAUACUGGAACAUGGUACCCGAUCCAAUGUUUAUACCAAAACGUGGCAAUCGAUCCCAUAUUUAUGUCGAAACGUGGCAAUCGAUCCCAUAUUUAUGUCAAAACGUGGCAACCGAUCCCAGUUAAUGUGUCGAAUUGUGACACCCGCCCAUUCAACAAACAACAAUCACAAUCACAAUAUAUAUUCUCACAAUCAUACAACAAGAGGUGAUUCAUGGCAUACAAUUAUUCAAUUAUCCUAAUUUACGAUUAGGGUGAUCAAUAAUGCAACAUUCGCAUUAAACAUGCAUUAUAAUGAAGCAAUUACAAACAUAUAUCACACCAACAUGAAAUCACAACCAUCACCUACCUCGAAAUAAGCUAGAAACCCUAAGAAACUUGAUCCUUCCUUUUUUGAAUUCGUUCCGCUUGUUCUUGGUCUACAAACAACAAAUAUAAUACGGGAAUUAAUAAAUGAACACUAAUUACUAACAUUUCUCUCAACCCUAGAUCAACCCAUGAUCUCAAUUAGGGUUGUUUCCACCAUGAAUUCUAGAUCAAAACCCUCUCCCAUCGAUAAUAACCCAAGAUAAUAGGUUCUACGGAUCGAAAAACUGAUUAGGAGAGUAAAAUCCUUACGUUUAGUGCUAAAAGAGGUGGAAAACCUUCAAAAAAAAUAGCCCUAGGUCGUUUCUUAGUUGUUAAGAAUGAACUUUUGCAGAAAAUAACAUUUUUGGAGGGUUUUACCCUAUUUAAGUCACGAUUGUCCCGCUACGGUGGGACCCAUCCCGCUACAGAAUGUUACCCGUUCAUGCUAAGAUCAUUUUCAGGAGUUUUACUCGCCCAAAUUUGAUUCCUUAAAGUCGUACAAGUUCCUUAACAUCUUAGUUAUCUACUCAUGUGGUCCAAAUCAUAAUUAGAUCUCUCAUUCACUACCAGAUUUCCCUAGGCCUUGCUGACUCCAAUUCCGUCCAAAUCUGGACUAGGCUAGGAAAUCCCAAGUUACUACCAAAAAGUUUUCAGACCCCAAUUCUUUCCCCAUUGGCUUUUCCCUAAUGACGAAAUCGGGUCGUUACUGAACGAUAAUGCAACUAGUAUCCAAUCCUGAUAUUUCAUACAAAAGUAAGGCAAAUAAUAAGCAUAGCCAUCUUAAGAGUUUGUGUCACGUGUACAAGAGUUUUACUUUUUCCUCUUUCUCAAUUUAUGUGAUACUUUUUAUUUUUUAAAAACAAUUUGUAAAUGACCUAUUGUUGUUCAUCCUGUAUUCCUAAGAAACUUUGAAGAACUUGAUAAGAAACAACAAAGUUUAAAGAACAUUUUCAAAAUUAGAAAAUUAAAAUCAGUAAGGAAAUAAACUCAGAAACAAAUUAGAAACAAUAUACAAAAUAUUUUUCUUAAAAAGGAAAAUCGAGCGCACUGAAUACAUAGUGUCCUCUUAAGGAAAUUAUUCCCCUCAAGUGGCCGAGGUUAAUGAAAUAUAUUCUCCGAGGAUAGAACGAUCUUACUCACCGGUGUAUUGGUACCUAAAACCACGGUGUCAACAAACCACUCAGUGCAAUAGUAAAGUACACUUAGAAUACUAGAUUUAAUAGUAGUAGAAGAAGUCCAGAAAAUUGGUUCUCGUAAAAUGAGAGGAAAUCACUCAAUUUAUAGAAAACAGAGGGUAGUAUGAAAAGGUUCAUAUUGUGCCUAACCGGAAAGGUCACGAUCCUUUGGAAAAGUCACAAUCUUUCGAAAAGGUCACAACCUUUAAUAAAAGUUACAACUUUUAAUAAAAGUCACAACUUUUCAUUUUCUAUUCAAACCUUUUAAAACCCAAGAAUCCCCCGCAUGAAUGGGGAAUGACUCCAAGACAAAGAAACGGACAAGUGUGUGUACUUUACAAGCAAGAAUUAAUUGCAUCUGGCUAAGUAGGUUUCCCCUUGAAUUUUCUGAAGUGAACAUAUGUCGAAUAUACUCAGUCAAUCGGUAGAUUUGAUAUCUUUGAACCGUCAAGCUUUGAUGUAUACCUAGAUAGCGAUGCAUAUGUCACACAAUCAACCCUUUACCGUUUAUGAUUCUUAUGAUUGUGUUCGUUUCAGCCAUGAACACCUCUUUGUUUCAUGAGUGUAUAGAGAGAUGUGCUUUGGACAAUCAUCCUCUUUGAAACGGCUUACCCUUCACACUCACAUAGGUGAUUUCUAAUCGUGUUAUCGCGUAGAUACAUUAUUUGGUCAAAUCUGCCAAACUUAGCAAAUCAUUAAAAACUUUUAGCUAUAUUAACUCAUUAACAAGCCUUAAUGUUGUAUCUUUGUCCCUGAGCAUUGUCUUCAUCAUGAGAAUGGAUUGAGUUGGUUGACAAGGUCAAACCGUCAGUCACAACUUUGUUUUUAUCCUUGAACAUAACUCUUGGGAUCUCCAGUCUGGGUAGAGUUACCUCUAUGAUGACUUAUCCUAAGCAGUAAACUCAUUCCCUUAGAUGAUCUUUCAACUUUCUCUCUAUUUAGGCCUUUUUGUAAGUGGAUCCGACAUAUUAUCCUUUGACUUUGCAUAGUCAAUUGUGAUAAUUCCACUAGAGAGUAGUUUUCUAACGGUAUUAUAUUUAUGUCUUAUAUGACGAGAACAAGAAAGCAUGGAUUUAGCAACAACUUUUUAGCAAUAACUAUAGAGUUGUUGCCUUAUAUCAAUAAAUUGCAACAACUUGAUUUGAUUGUUGGUAUUUCUUGUAAUUUUUAACCACAAUAUUUUUAUUGUUGCCAUAUAUUUUGAUAUUGUUGUUAUAUUCUAUUUUUAAUAUAAUAAAUCUCAAAUAUAAGAAAAUUGCAACAACCAUAAUAUUGUUGCCUAAUUUAUAUAAGAAAAUUGCAACAAUAUAGCUAUCUUGUAGAAUAUUUGGCAACAAUAAUUUUUUGUAUUGCUAAUGUACUUAACUUUGCAAUAACUUAUACAAAUUGUGCGCUGUUUUAAUUUUAUUUUUCAAUUUACCGCCAAAACAGAGCGCAGUCUUUUAAUCUUCACCAAAAUAACUCGGGGAAGUUCCCCAAAUUUUAGCGGCCAAUUUAGUUUUUCCUGAAAUGAAAGCUAGGUUCUUCAGAGAAAGCUAGGUUAUGGGUAGUAUCUGGUAUGUUUUCUAUUUAAUUAUUUAGUCACUUUUCACAAAGUUUGGUGAAUUUUUGCCUAUGAUUGCCUUAUGAUUUUAGUGUCUUUGAUUAUCUUCUUCUUGCGUAUGAACCAUUACAGCCUAAAUUUACAUAGUGAGACCAAUAUACAAUUAUUUUGAACCUCUUGUCUGCACUUUUGAUAAUUUUCCUUCGCAUUCAAUUACGGUUAUGUUAAAUUUUGGUUAAAUAUGUUAAAUUUUGAGUCUUUUUUGUUUAUCUGAGCAUUGUUGGUUAAGUCUUUGCUGGGUGUUUGUCAAAUUUCCAUCUUACUAUCUUGAGUUAAAGUGUUACUUGGAUCAAUAGUGUGUAAAGCUAUAUUGUGUUUUCUUGAAUAUUCCUAAUUAAUUGGGGUUUUGAGGAAGAGUUGAUCGGAUGAUUGUAUCUUGUUUGGGAGCUAGCUACAUUAGAUUUAUGAUUAUAUUUGGUGAAGUCAAUUAUAUCCAUUUCAACUUUUUCGUCAAAUAUCAAUCGGAAAUGUUUGUUUUCCAUUGACAAGUUAAAUUGUCUUAUAAGCUUUACCAAAAUUCUCUGGCAAUCUGAAAAUCCAUACUGAUUUAGGGGUAAACUAGUUUUGUUCUAUUAGUAAGUAUCUUUUAUUCCUUGAGUAGUGGAUCUACCAAAAUCAACUUCUCUACCUCUGAAGUAGAGGUAAGGUAUGUCUACAUUCUAUCCUCCUAAACUCCACUUUGUGAGCUUAUAUUGAGUAUGUUGUUAUUGUUGUUGUAGGCAAUUAAGAUUAUAUUUUAUUCUCAAACAUUCGUAUUAGUUUGUGAAUCCUUCAAGGAAAGAAGCAUGAAUUAAAAUAAAAAUGGGCAUUCUAAACGCAUACCUUAGAGGGUCAUAGAGAAAUUAGUGCUUGGUGACUCAAGAGAGUUGGGGAAGUUGCAGAUCAUCAUUAAUGGAGACCGAAAAGACUGAAAUGUUAUGAAAGAGUGGGUUGGACAAUUGAUCUCAAGGUACAUUAACUGUUUGUUAAAAUUACCAAAAGAAGAGAAAAUGUCUAGCUUUCAUAAGGCACUCAUUCAACCCAAUAACUCUUUUCAAAUAAAGAGCAGUCUAAUUAUGAUUUAUGAUGUGCUUGAAGGAGUUGGCAUAAGAGAAAUAGAUGACCCUGACCAAGAUUUGAACUAGGGAUCCUUUGCAAUCAUAGCUAAUUUGUUGAGAGAAUUCACGAACUAUAUUAAGUAUGCCAUGGAGUGUGGGAAAAAGGUCAAAAUAAGGUACGAUAAUGAAGGUUUGCCAGGUUUUUAUCCGAAACUCAACUAUAGAGUGAGUGUGAGCUCAUGUGCCGCAGACUGUUUGUACAGGAUAACUCUAUCCAGCAAGGAUAGAAAAUAUGAAAAGAAACAGCUUAGUGUUCGUCUCUGUUGGUAUUUAGACUUGAAAUGGAUAAUGGCAGUAAACUUCAUUGAAUCAGUUGAUCGUUGCGUGUAGAUACCUUUCUUCUUUAUCUAAUUUAGGUUUCGUGUUCCCAGGUUUUCCUAUUUUUUUAGGGUUUAAUUUGGUUUGAUAGCUCAUUUUUGGGUUUAAAAUGGCUGAUGCAUUUGAAGAUGAUGCUGAGAAUACUGUUUCAAUUUGAGAGUUUCUCCAAGAUCUUGAACAACAAGAACUGGAGGAAGAUUUGGUCUUAGGUGGUGAUGAAGGCAAGGAGUGCACCUAUAGUAAAGGUUAUAUGAAGAGACAUGCUAUUUUUCUUGUUUGACAUGCACACCAGAUGGGAAUGUUGGAGUAUGCAAAACUUGUAGCCUCUCUUGCCAUGAUGUUCAUGAGAUUUUGGAACUUUGGAUGAAGAGAAACUUCAGGUGUGACUAUGGAAAUUCAAAGUUCGGGGAGUUCUUCUGCAAGCUUGAUGCUAGCAAAGAUGUUGAAAACACGAAGAAUACAUAUAAUCACAAUUUCAAAGAUUCAUACUGCACAUGUGUGCCGGCCAUAUCCUGAUCCUGAUGUUGAAGACCAAUUGGAGAAUCUCCAAUGUUGCAUCUGUGAGAACUGGUUUCAUGAGGAGCAUCUUGAUCUUGAGUCCUCUGAUAUGGUUCCAAGGGAUGACAAAGGGGAGCCUCAAUUUGAGGAUUUUAUCUGCCGGGGGUGCGCAACUGUUUGUUCUUUUUUAAAGCUAUAUCCUGAUUCUAUCUUUGCACCAGUCCAGCAGCAAACUACUACAAAUUCCUCAAGGGACAAGGAGGUGGUUGAAGAUGCACCCUUGACUAUGGGAUCUUCUAAGGAGCUUAGCUAUGGAAGUUCCUCAGUUAAGACUCAUAUAACCGAUAAUAAUCCUAAAGAAGACUGCAACGGAAAGGCUGUUCUUCUUGGAGAAAAUGCCGCAACAAACACUCUCCUUAACCAGCGUAACGCAGUUGUUGGUCCUAGUACCAAAUGUGUUGUUGGACUGAAUUUGUUAGAAGCUCCAAUUAGCCUUGAGAAAAGCAAGUUGAUGUUCCUUUCCAAAGACUGGAGAGAAGACCUCUGUAGGUGUCCAAAUUGCACAGAAUUCUACAAAUAGAAAGGCCUUGCCUUCUUACUUGAUAAAGAGGACACCAUUGCCGAAUAUGAGAAAAUGGCAAAGCAAAAGAGAGCUGAACAUGAGCAAGAACAGAGCGCUGAGUUGCUUAAUAAUCUGGGCAACGUCGAGAAAAUGGAGGUUUUGACUGAUAUCGCUGACCUUAAAGAGGAGAUUGGUACCUACCUGGCAUCCUUCGAUCCAUCAAAGCCAGUUACAUCUGAUGAUGUUUAUAAGAUUUUUGAGAAUCUUGCCAAGAAGCGUAGGCGUAUGUAUUGAGUUAUCUUAAAUGUUCAAGAAAGUGGCUCUACAGCUACAUAUGUAGUGCAGUUAGUUUUACUGCUCAAUGCUCCUUGUAAACUGUUCUAUUUACAAGGAGAAUUCUUAAUGUUGCUUUAUUACUAUCUAACUUUAGCUUAUCGUGUUGUGCUAGCUAUAGUGAAACAAUGCGAUCAUGUUAGUUGUUAAGCUCAAAGAAAUCCUUUGGGUUAGAAAGUAUCUAUUGAAUAAAAAUUUCCUGGUAAAAAAAAAAAGAAAAAAAAAACUUGAGACCUCAUGAUGCUUAAUCAACUUCAUUGACCACUAAGACACACCAUUGAGUGCUUGUUGUUUAGGCUUCUUAAGUAGUGAGAAUGAGGACAUGAGAUACUACUCAAUUCUAUUAUGUUCAGGUUUUCUAGUUCUUAUUAGAAUGUUAACUCUUUGAAUAAAGUCAAAGUAUAUAUGGUUCUGGAUUGAAAAGGUAUAAUAAUAUCUUAUUGUGAUUCAUUAUGUGACACUGAAUGGUAUAAUGUGAUAAUUAGAACUGGCUAGCUGUGUAAGUUUCUUCAUUUAUGAAAUUUUGGGAGAUGCUGGCGAGAGAUGUCUUAUUUAGAGCCGGAGCUAGAGAAAAAGUUGUGUAUUUGGCAGAACCCAAUAGGUUUUGUCAAAAACUUAUAUUUGUGUUGCGAAAUUCACUAUAUAUGAAUUUAAUUUAUCAAAACCUUGUGUAAGAUACAUUUGUUAGAAGGCAGAAUUCAUAAACUUAAAUUUCUGACUUCACCUCUAGUCUUAUUCAGUAAAGCGUUCCUUAACGUGUUUGUUCUUCUAUGUCUAUAACUUGAUAUAUCAACUUAAUUAAUUUUUUCAAUUGCUUUCAUGGAAGGACCGUGGAUAUGUUGUUGCUUUGACAAGAAAAGAACAAUACAUGUCAUCUUUAGAACCUGUAAUGCAUGCCACUAUGCCAGGAGUUAUUUUCCUGGAGUAUGGAAAUGUUCAAGUAGCAAAAUAAGUAAUUCAGAGUGGUAAAAUAGCUACUGUAUUUGUUGAACCAAUCAAAGGUGAAAGUGGCAUAAAUAGUGCAACAAAAGAAUUUUUACUAGCACUGAAGGUUGCCUAUAAUAGUGCAUGUUCUCUUAUGUAUUUGAUGAAGUAAGAAACUAUACUGAGGCUUUUACUUAUAUUUUCUUUUAUUAGAUUCAGUGCGGCCUAGGAAGAAGUGGUUAUUUUUUGGCGCACGAAGCUUAUAACAAAUACCAAGAUAUUAUUUGAUUCUCUCUACUUUUAAAAUUUGUAUUUGUGUAUUUAUAAUUUACUUUAUCAAAAUAUAAUUAUAUUUAUCUUUUAUUUGCAGGAUGAAAAUGCAUAAUUCAACAAAAGUGUCGUACAAGCUAAGUACUAUUGGAAGAAGAGUUUUUGAAAAUUGCGUGUAGGAUUAGAAUACAAUGACUUGUCUAUAUAUAUAUAUAUAUAUAUAGAUAGAUAGAUACUAACAAUUAGUAAAGAUUUGCAUAAGUAUUUAGUUUUUUUAGGAAGGUGUAAAUAUCUAGACCAUCAAUCUUAUGUAUUGACCUUUGUAAAUUUAUAUAAUUUUUAGUUUCAAUAUUUAUUUAAAUUUUAAAAAAGAAAUGUGUAUUGUGUAUAUAACAACUACUUAAAAAUUGUUGCUAAAGGUGUAUAGAAAAUAUUUUUUUAUUGCAACAAAAAUUAUCGUUGCUUAAAAGCCUUUCUAACAGAAUAACAACUAACCAUUUGCUAAUUUUUGCAACAAUUAAUAUUGUUGGUAAAAAGUUCAAUUUGUGGCAACAACGAAUUUUGUUGCGAAAAUUUAAAAAGCCACAACUAUUAGAAUGUAAGGCAACAAGCUUUUUGGUUGCGAUAAGUCAUUUUUGGCAACAAUAUAUUUUGUUGUUGCAAAAACUUUUCACAUCAGCGUUUAUUGUGGCAAUAUAUUUUGUUGUUGCCAAAAGUACAAAAGUUAUACAUUGCUUGUAGUGAGACUUUCCGUUAUACAUUGCUCCAUGCCCUACUUAUUGUAUCUUGUCUAUCAAAGUGUAUGCAUACAGAUGCCAAAGGUUUGGGCCAAAAAAAAUAUCUAUCAAGAAAUUUCAGAGUCUUUCAACUUAUUCACCGACCUUAUCUAAAGCACCUAGCUCAGAGAUCAUUGUAGAGUUAGCGAUAAAUGUCUUUUUGAAAGAUUUCGAAGAGACUGCUCCUCCACCAAGAGUAAAUGCAUAUCCACUCAUGGAUUUUACUUCAUUUGAUCCCGGUGAUCCAAUUUGCAUCACUAUAUCCUUUCAAUACUGCUGGAUAUUGUUAUAAUGCAAGACAUAGUUUUGAGUAUGUUUUAAAUACCCCAAAACUCUUUUCAUUGUCAUCCAAUGAGUUUGAUUGGGAUCACUCGUGAAGUGACUCAGUUCAUUAAUAGCAUAUGCUAUAUCUGAUCGCGCACACUUUGUGAUAUACAUCACACUUCCCAAUACUCUAGCACAAUUCAAUUAUGAGUAACUUUUGUCUUCACUCUUUUGAAAUGCAAACCUCACAUUUAUUGGAGUCAUGCCAAUAUUGAAAUCAAAAUAUUUGAACUAGUCAAGUACCUUUUCAAUGCAAUGAGACCUGACAAUGCUAAACAUUAUGGAGUUUUAAGGAUUAUUAUACCUAAGAUCGUAUCAGCAACCCAAGAUCUUUCAUAUCAAACUUGAUUUCUAGCAUUCGUUUAGUAGCAUUUAUGUCAUUGGUGUCUCUAUUGAUGAUCAACAUGUCAUCAAUAUACAAACAAAGAAUGACCUUGUGAUUUUAAUGUAAACAUAUUUAUCACUUCCAUCAUUCUUAAAUUCAUUUGCCAACAUGGUUUGGUCAAAUUUCUUAUGUCAUUGUUUGGGGUGCUUGUUUUAGUCCAUAAAGUGACUUAACAAGUUCACACACUUUCUUUUCUUUACCAGGAACCACAAAACCCUCGAGCCCUCCAUGUAAAUUUCAUCCUCCAAUUCUCCAUUUAAGAAAGUUGAUAUACCGCAACUAAUAAUAUUAACAUCCGAAUGAAUGUAAUUCUAGUUACUGACAAGUAUGUGUCGACAAGAUCAAGACCUUGUUUUUGUCUAAAGCCUUUGACAAAAAGUCUUGCUUUAUAUUUGUCAACAGUUCUAUCAACUUUCAUUUUCCUUCUGAAGAUUCACUUUGAACCCAAAGGUUUAUUUCCUGGAGAAAGAUCAACCAACUUCCAAUAUGAUUGCUCAAGAAUUAACCAAUCUUACUAUUGACACCAUCUUUCCAAAAAGAUGAAUCCACAUAAGACAUAUGAAAUGUUACAAAAUCAGAUCUGAAGGUAGUAGAUGUCCUUUGACAUUUACUACGUGUAUGAAUCUCUUGAUUAAGUACAUUCUCCUUUUGUUCAUUCCAAGGCCUUUUAGACCUUUAACUAGACUACUCAAGUCUAAUUUUACAGUCCACAGUUCUUAGGUCCUAUUUUAUUCCUUUUAAGACUGGGGACUUGGACUUCGACUAGACACCCCCACACUUUGAAAUACUUCAAGUUGGAUUUUCUUCCUUUUCAUUUCUCUUAUGGAAUAGAUUAUGUCCUGAACAAACAAAAUUGUUUUCUUUCUGAAAAGACAACUUUUUGUUGUUCCCUUUUGCAUAAUGAUAGUUCCUUCACACAAGUUUUGUAGUAAAUCUGAACUUAUAAAUAAUGCAUCUAUCAUUUCUUUCAAUGUUCGAUUUUCUAUUAGAUUGAGGUGAAUAGGGCAACAGUUCAAUGGACAAUUACACUUUUCAAACAUAUUUCUGCAAAAGUAGAUUUAUACUCUCCAUCCUUGUCACUUCUUAUCUUUUUCCCAACUGAUUUUCAACUUAAAUAUUAUAUUGUCUAGACGUUUCUAUUGCUUCAUCCUUACCAUUCAGUAAAUAGACAUAGUCGUUUCUAAUGCAAUUGUCAAUGAAAGUUAUGAGAUCGAUACUCUUUUUCUGCCACAAGAUGGUGUUGACUUCAUAUCACAAAUGUCAGAGUAAAUCAACUCUAAGGGAUUAGAAUUCCUUUCAACAGAUUUAUAAGAAUGCUCAACAUACUUAGAUUCACACAAACUUGACAUUUUUAUUUAUUGCACUCAAAGUUAGACAAAACUUCUAAGUUGAUUAGUUUUCCUUACAAGGUUUUGUAAUUGACAUGUCCCAAGUGUUUAUGUCACAAACAGUUUUGACUCAAGUAAGUAAGAACAAAUAAAAAUAUUGAGUUUGAAAAGCUCUCCGCGAGGUAGCUUUUUCUCACAAAUAUUUGUUCCUAUUUCUUACAAUUUUGUGUGAUACAAACAUUGUUUAAAGUCAUUACCUUGUACAAUGUCCUUUCCAUGAACAAAGUUUCAUCGGGUCUAAUAAAUGCAAUAUAAUUCAAAUGCUUCUUUUACAAAACAUGACAAAUGACUAUUCACCAAUAUUCAUGUCUAUAUAAAUAGUUAUAUUUAAUAGACAUAUCUUUUCAUGAAAAAUCACAACAUUUUAAGUGACACUUUUUCAUAAAAGAACACAAUCAUUUUGAACAAGUAUACAUAUAAUUUGAUAAUUUCAUACUAGUCAUACCAUAUAUAUUAGUAAAAGAGAAACUCAACGGCCACAAUAUCAAAUAUACUCCAAGAAUUUUUUGGGUCUAACAUAAAACAAAAGUAUCAUCGAAUUUCAUAUCUUGUGCUCCAAAUUUAAAUCAGAUACUAAGUCUAAUUUUAUCUUUGUAAUAAGCAAAGAACUCCCCACAUUUUAAAUAUGAUCUCAAAAAUAUUUUUCAAAUAGUUGAAAAUAAUUUUUCCACAUAUAUUUUCAUACUAUCAAAAUGUCAUUCGCAGCAUGAAACCUCUUUUGGAAAUAUUAUUCUACGAAAGAAUUAUAGUGCUUCAAUUCUCUUUGACAAUUUUUAAAUAUUGUCAAAGUUCAUUCCAUAGAGGCACCUAUUGCAGGCACAAAAUCACACACUUUAAGUCACUAAUCUUUUUCUUUUCUAUCAAAGUUAGACUUACCACUUAGUAUUUAGAAUAAUAACAAUAAAGACAAAAAAAAAUUGUACAAUAAAUUAUGUACAAUUUGUUUCUACUUAACAAUGAAGUUUGUAGAAAAUCAAAAGUACAACACAGACUUAUUAAGUGAAGUUUUGAUUUUUUUUCAAACCAAUUGGAUAGUCCAAUUUAUCUAGAGUAGAAAACUAUAAAAGUUUUUAAUCUACAACAAUCAGACACAAUCAAAUUUCACACGGAGUACAAAACUACAAAAGUGUUUUUUUCUCCAAACAGAAUAAAGCAUAUUCUUAGAUUAUCACAUAGAAAUGCUUUUCUUUUCAAAUAGUCUUCCAACUAUAACAUUUUGACAUACUGUUUUAUCAGACAAAAAAGUGCAUCUCUCAUUCUGCAAACUAAAGAAUUUUAAAGGCAACACUAUUUGCCAAGUAAAAUUUAUUCCAAAACAUAUGGUUUGCAAAUUUUUUUCCAAAGAUACACAUGAAAAAUAUCAAAAGAAUUAACUUUUAGAAACUAUUUUCCUCCUUAGAUAAAUAAUAAGAAGUUUACAUGUAAUCUUUAACCAAACUACCACCAAUUUUUCAGCCACAUUCUCAAUUCGAUCUUGCUAAACAAGGCACCGAAUUCUGAAGAAGUAGUGCAUUAAUCUUCUACUUCCAUCAUCUGUUUCUCUCAAUCACUUUCCGCGAAGCAGUACUAUGUCGCCCAAUGACACAGAGCACGACGAUGUUGAAGGCUAGUGCAAGACGGUGACGAACUACACCAAAGGGCGAAUCGCCGAAUUAAUCGGCGAUUUCGACUAACCUCGCAGAACGAUCCGCCAGCACUAAUUUCUAAAGUUUAUAAAUACUAAACUUGUUAUUAAUUUUUAGAGGAGUCGAACAUUUAUUUUAAUUUUCACAAUAGAAUAGUACUUUUGGGAUAUUUUCUCUCAAGUUUGGAGAGGGUUUUUGGAAGACUUGAAGAAAGAAGGAUUUCACUUCUCCAACUUGGAAGUGUGUCUUCUCCAUUCUUCUUCCUUUUCUUAAUUCAAGGUUUAAUUCUUUAUACCCAUUUGAUUUUAGUAUCAUUUAAGGUGUAUUUUGUUAUUUCUUGACGUGUGGCUAAAAAUCCCAUUCUUGGGGUGUGAUUUAGCAAAUAUGUGUUGAUAUUAUUGUUGGGUCUUGCUUGCUGAUAGGUUAGAUGUAUUUUAAUGGUGAUUUGACCUAGUGGUUGUGGUUUAAUUUAAUGGGUUUACCAAUAGUAUAAGAAUUUCCUUAAGAUUGUUUUUCAUCCUGUAUUCCUAAGAUACUUUGAAGAACUUGAUAAGAAACAACAAAGUUUAAAGAGUAUUUUCAAAACUAGAAAAUUAAAAUCAGUGGAGAAAAUAAACUCAGGAAUAGAUUAGAAACAAUAUACAGAAUAUUUUUCUUAAAGAAGAAAAUUGAUCCCACUGAAUGCACAGUGUCCCCUUAAGAAAAUUAUUCCCCUCAAGUACCUGAGGUUAAUGGAAUAUAUCCUCCCAGGAUAGAAUGAUCUUACUCACCGGUGUAUUGGUACUUAAAACCAUGGUGUCAGCGAACCACUCAACGGCAGUAAAGUACACUUAAUAGUAGUAGUAGAAGUAGUAGAAGAAGAAGAAGUCUAGAAAAUUGAUUCUCUUUAAAUGAAAGGAAACCCCUCAAUUUCUAGAAAACAAAGGGUAGUGUGAAAAGGUUCUUAUUGUGCCUUACCGAAAAGGUCACAACCCUUUGUAAAAGUCACAAUCUUUUGGAAAGGUCACAACCUUUCAUAAAAGUCACAACUCUUCAUUUUCCAUUCACACCUUUUAAAACCCAACACCUUCAUAAUCAGUUCUCUCGAUAUUUUGUUUCAUGUUUUCCCCAUUUGUAAAGUGAUGAAUUCUCCAAACAUGUUGUUGAUCCACAACAGAAGGGGAAAAAGAACAAAUUAACUUAAGUAAUAAUGCUAACUUCCAUUAAUUGAGAUACAAAUGAGAAUACAUUCUUUAAUAAGUUGAACUAGAGCACACACAUCUUCACAACAAUUACAUAACAUUUUCAUACUACAACUUCUUCAGCUCAACAAUUUAUUUAUUGUUCCUAGUAGUACUACUAGUACUAAUUAAUAAUAAUGUCAAACUUUUCUUGAAAUAGGGGUGAGGUGGGGGUGUCCUCUUGGAAUCAUGGGAACAAUCUACUGAAACGGACACGUCGGUGGAUCAACCAGAAUAGAAUCAGGAAAUGUGCCGCCUGCUAUUCAAGUAGCACCCGGGUGGGUGGUCUUAAUUACUUUUUAAGUUAGACAUGUAAGGCUUGAUAAGUUUAAUAAGUGAGCCUUGAAGAUGAAGUGACAUGACUUCAUUAGUAGAACCAACCAAUA
rnacentral:lncRNA from 1 species